rnacentral:lncRNA from 1 species
AAUAUGAAGUCGAUGGUGCCGUAAAUGUCGCACUCGCGGUAAAACUUGUCAAAUAUAAAAAUGUUUAAAUACCGUUCUUUAACAGUUUAAACUUUUAGAGGACAACGGUUGUUCACAUAGUAUCAGAGCAGGAAGUAAUUCAAACCCAUGUCAUGAUCCGACCAAAAAAUUCCAAGCUCAGAUGUGAAAGAGAGUGUUAAAUAUAAAAAUAUUUAAAUACCGUUUUAUAAAAAUGUGAGAGGGAGUAUAACGAUUGUUUCACAAAACUCCCGUUGACUCAGAGGGCCAGGCCGACGAGGCCGCGUUCACUCGGAGGGCCAUAGCCUGGCCGGCCCUUUGCUGGCCCAGCUGUGUUUCGAGAGCUAAGAAGCCUUGCCCAGAAACUGCUGCGCAAUAGUUGCUAACGUAUUAUAAAGUAUGAAGUUAAUUAUAUGUAAUUUACUUCUAACUGCUAUCAAAACGCGUAGUUAGCAAAAUAGCAAAACGCGUAGCAAAAUAGCAAAACAAGAAACGUUAUAUGUAACUUACUUCUAACUGCUAUCAAAACGCGUAGUUAGCAAAUAGCAAAACAAGAAGCUAUUAAUCUGAGGUUCACGUGACUAAACUAGAUCAGAUAUAUUUCUAUUUAUUUAUUUAACUACAUUAAAGGUGGUUUGUUUAAUUUUUAAUGUAAUAUAUAUAUAUAUAUAUAAAAUUUAAAAUUUUGAUACUUUCAAAUUUUAAAGUUUUAAAUUUAAAAUUUUAUAUUUAAAUUUUAAAUUUUAAUUUUAACUUAUAAUAUUUAUUUUUAAGUUUUAAACAUCCAAAUUUAAAAUUUUAAAUCUCUAAACUCUAUAAAAUUAAUUAAUUAAUUAAUUAUAUUAAUAAUUAAUUAUAUAUAGUAUAAUUAAAAAAAUUUAUUUGUAAGUAUAGUUUUCGUUUUGUCAUGUGGGUGCCAGCACGGUGGGGAGGAAAAAAAAAGUGAAAAUAGUGAAUGGUCACCGCAUUCGUCAAAUUAUUUACGACUUAUAAAAGUGGUAAGUGGUUCAUCACUUUUAAAAAUAGCAUACAAUGACAGAAUGGGAGAGAGAAUGAGAGUAAAAAUUAAUAAAGGUGGUGAACAGACCACUGUCUUUAAAAUAAUUUUUUGAUUUUAAGAUGUGCUAUAAAAGCGAUUAAUGAUUCGUCGCAUUUAAGAGGCCGUUAGGUUGGAUAUAGUUACAAAAAGUGUAAUUGUUGGAAGUAUAUGCUGUUGCAAAUGCUGUAACCAUAAUUACGUCUAAUCUGUUUGGUUUUAUGUAUUUACAACUGUUGCAGUUACAUUUCUUCUGUUUGGUAGGUUGUAAAUUGAGAUUUGAAUUUGUAAAUUCUGUUAAUUUUUAAAUAGAAAGAUGAGAUUAUCUCUUCUGAAUAUAACGUAAUCAUGUUUUAAUUAUUAAUUAAGAAUUUUAUAUCUAUAUAUAAUUUAUAUAUUAUAAAAUUAUAUAUGAAUUUAAUAAAUUUUAAAUGCAAACAUAUUAUAGAUUUCGUCAAGACAAAAAUUAAAAUAUUAUUAAACUAUGAAAAAAAAAUCACACUUUAUUUUUUUUUAAUAGGCGAGUCGAUUCAAGUCCAACAACUGCAGUUGGUUUGGCUGCAGUACCAACUGCAGCAAUUGGGCUUUUUCUUGUAAAUGCAACUGCAAUAGUUGGACCUAAUUAUACCAAACCAAAUAAAAAUUUAAUAGAUGCAUAUAUUUUCAACUGCAGUUGAAAAUGUAUGUAAUAAAACAGCCCCAAAACGCGGUAAUUCAUUUAUUGUUUAUAUUAUUUAUUUUUAAAAAAAUUUAAUAUAGCAUAUUAGAGGUAUAUUUUUAUAAUUACUUUUUUACAAAAAUUAUUUUUGUAAUCCUAAAAAUUGGUAGGAUCAUUUCUAAAAAAAAAAAAUAGUUUAUUUUGCCUUUCCUUUCCAGCUUUGUUACAUUUAUUAAUGUACCUUUAUGUCCUUUCUCUUGAAUGUUUAACAGAUACUUCUGUUGGGUCUUGGUUUCUUUUGGCUUUCAUUUCACUUUUCUUGCUAUCUUGCCUCUCUCUAUAGUUUUGAAAUACAAUUGCCCAUAAUUGUUCAUCUUUUCUUUUUCCUUUUAUUUUAGAUUUUGCUGGAACUUUAUUUACCUGUUUCUCUUAUAUAUAUUUUUUCAGUUUUUUUUUCAGUUAUUAAAAUUUUACUUUAGCUGGAAUUGCCUAUAAAGUUUUAUGCUUUCACUUAUAUGUUUCAAUAAUUACUCUCGUAAUUUUUCAUGUUUUUCAUUUCAUCGAACUUUGUUACGUAAUGCUUCUCAGUUUCUACUACCAUUUGUAAUCGGUUCUGGAUCUUAUCUUAUUUGGCAUCUCUUUUUUUCCCCCUCCCUUUGUGAAACUAUUGCAAGGUAAUUAAUCCCCACAUAUAAUAAAGCUUAAGAUGAAUCACAUGAACCAUUAUAAGGACCCAAAAUUGGCAUGUAAUUACCAGGAUAAUAUAUAUGGUGAAGAAUACACACAAAAAAAAGAAAAACCAAUUUCACAAACCUUCACAGUUAACCAUCUUUUCUAACAUUUGUAGUCAUAAACAUCUUAUACCAUUAAACCUGCUGUGUACUUCACACCAGUAGAGGGUAACCACAAGUUGCCGUCGAUAAACUGCGCCACCGUGAAGUUGACGGCCUGAGCCGAGCUGUUCAUCGCGUGGUAACCUGGCCACUUGACCCGGCCGCCCAAACCUGAGCCUGGUCCAAAGUUCAUGUACUCGCCAUAAAACAACGUGUCGAGCCCGAAUGUUCCAUUCCAUUCGAGCCACCCUUCGGGUCUGAUCACGUUACCGAUGUACGACUGCAUUAUUACCGUUCUCGAGUACUCCUUCCACGGUCGACCCAAGUACGUGUAGGUCUGGUUCGUCGUCGCAUUCGCUAGGAAUGUAGCAGACAAGUCCGAGUCGGCUGACACGUUGCAGAAUUGGAGGGCAAAUCCGGUGUUUUGGUUCGGGUCCUUACGGCCGUGGGCUGUGACGGAGUUCUUCUGAUCCGGGAGGGGUCGACGCACGAAGAUCUGGCAGUUUUGGAAGACGGCAGCAGCAUUGCCGAAGAUGAAGUCGACGGUGCCAGAAAUCCGACAGUCGCGGUAGAAUUGGCGCAGGGAGUGCGCGUAGAGAGUGUCCUGAUAGCCUUCGAAACUGCAACGGUAGAACGCUGAGAGGUCCGAGUCCGACCGCAGCGCCACCGCCUGGUGCUUCGUCGGUCCUGCGGUGUUCUCGAUCGUCAGGUCGCGAGCAAUGAAGCCUUUGCCAGAUACGGCUGCACAUAGCAAAUCAGAAACAAGUAAACAAAACAUUUUAAAUAUUAAAUUUUUAUCCAACUGCAUUAAAUCUGAUCAGUAAUUUUAAAAUUUUAAAUUUACUUUGCGCGUCAAAAUUUUAGUACACCAACCAACAAUUACUUCAAAAGGAAAUGCGUGUGCAUGUGAGGUUGUACAUGUCUGUACAAUCACUGGAUUUUUUUUAUGGCAUUAAAAUCGAUCCCAUCCGUCCAUCAGACAAACAGUGAGGAUGUACAGUGUAUAAAUUAUUAUCUAUUUACACGGUGUUACGGUGCUCCAUAUCGUCGGUGAAUAUAUUAUUAUAUAUUUAGUUGGGAACAAUAUGGACACAAAAAUUAAAAAAUCCAAACCCAAAAAAAAUUAAAAAGAAAGAGAGAAAAAAAAAUCCGGUGAGAAAAGACGAGAUAAUGCGAGUCCCAAGGAAUCCGUAAAGCCACUGUGGUCCCCACGCGUACUGCUAUUUUUGGAUACUUUAAAUUUGACCCAUAGGAUUCACGGGGACCAAGUUUUACCUAUUAAAAUACUUUACAAAAUUACUAUUAUUUAUUUAUUGAUUAAUUUAUUUAUUGAUUUAUUUAUUUUAUAAGUUGUUUUUGAAGGUCUCAUUCCAAAUAUCCCUUCCAUAUAUAGUUAUUAUUAAGUUUUUUUUCUAAGUGUUAAAUUAGUUACUAAAAUGACAAUCAUUAGACUAAAAACAUAGAAUUAUAAUCUUACUAAUGAUUGCUGACUUAAACAGGUCAUUUUGCCAUAUGGCGAAAUGUCAAGAUGGACUGAAUCACGUUCCAAAUAAUGUGAGAUUGGUCAAGUCAAGUCAUAUUUCAAGUGAUAUAAAAUUGGUUGGAUCAAAUUACAAUCGAGAUUCGUAGGUAUUGAAUUGAUUGUCUAUUUUGAGUAGGUCAAGUUUUUAGAAUUAAUGAUUAGCAUCAACUAACAGACAGUGAUGUCUAAUAAUUCUAACCAAAUUACACUAAGUUGAUGUAUAAAUGUAAACUUAGACAAAAUUUUGACUAAUCAAAAUUUUAAUAUAAAAAUGAAAAAAAGUACUGUAAUCAAUGAAUUAUUUAUGAUCAGAAGAAUCUUAGUUGAAAGAGACAGAGAGAGAGAGAGAGAGAGAGAGUGACUGACCGACAGUGGCGCUCCUGAAAGUCGUCCAGCCGUCGAUGAAAUUGCGACUGCCGGUGAUGACCGUCUGCCCCAUGCCAUCGCCCACCAGCAUUAAGUUCCACUUCUUCUUCUUCACGUCCACAUUCUCUCUGUACACCCCCUUCUUCACGUAGAUCACGUACCUCUUCUCGCUCUCCAGCGGCGCCGCCUCCACCGCCGCCGUCACGGUCGUGUAGUUCCCGCUCCCGUCCUGCGCUACCACCGCAUCAGGCGCGAACGCUGAACUAGCAGAUUGGAGAAUUCUCCGCCGCGCCCCCGGUGUCACCCAAUUCGGAAAUCCUUCCACUAGUUUUCGACCGUUGCCGCCGCCGCCGCCACCGCCGGAUGCGGCUGCAGCGAUUUCGGACAAGCCUUCGCCGACGAGGGACGUGAUCAGCUGGAGCCCGCCGGAGACCAGCGAGCCCAGGAUGGAAUCAGUGCCGUCGAAGCCCUCAGUGCAUGUGUCCUGAUCACGCCGCAUUAAAAAAUAUAAAUAUAUAUAUAUUAAAAUACUGUUUUAUGGCAACUUAAACAACGGCCUAGAUAGUAAGUAUUGAGUUAUAUGAAAUAACUAUUUUUUUAAAAAUUUAAAUUAUCAAAAAAUAAUACUUUUAAUAUUUAAUAGAGGUAAGAUAUGAAUUUAAAUUAUAUAAAAAAAUUAAAUAAUACUAAAAAUCUGAUUUUAAGAUCUUCUAUUUUAAUAUCACAUAUAAAAUAAAUAUAAAAUAAUUUAAAAAAAAAAAAAAAGAUUAAGCUAUCACGUACUGCAUUUUUAGUAUUAUUUAAUUUUUUUAUAUAUAUUUAUAUAUAAAGUAUUUUAACACAAGAUUAUCGAUCGAUCGGGUACAGGAGUAUUUAUAUGUAUGUACUAUGUAAGGUGACUCUAUCGUGUCGUCUGACCCAAACCGUGUUUUUUCGUGGUCGUCGAGGUAUUUCGAAGGAUAUAUUUGUGGGUUGAGGGGGAUGGUAGGAGAGGAAUUAAUAUGUAUUGUAAUAUAGUACCGAGGAGGUGGGGGAGAACAACAUUAAUAAGAGGACGAAUGAGAGAAGGAAUAAGAGAGGGGUCGGGAUAGGGAGGGUCGACGAGGGAGAAGAAGAAGAAGGAGGCGGAAGCUUGGCCUUAAGCACGACAGCAGCAGCGACGACAGCUGCGAGGCUAGGUGCCGCCUGCUCUAGCCCUCCCACCGCAGCUACCACAGCAGCAAGAGGCCGUACUAGCCGCCGCCGCUGGAGGCGGAGAGGAGGCGGCAGAGGCUGACGGAGCUGGAGGAGCUGGAGAGGAGGCUGCUCGAGAGGACCUGGUAGAGGCGGAGGGUCUCGUGGUCGUCGUCGUCGUCGUCGUUGUGGUUGUCGCCUCCGCCUCCGCCUCCACCUCCGCCGUGGCCCUUGGCGGCGAGGCUGGAGGCGAGGACCGAGUCGCGGCGGGAGCCGUUGGUCCACGCACGGGUGUUAUUGGCAAUGAGAGAUUUUCGAAUUCGUCGGUAGAGGAUAGGAAUCGCGUUUAUCGCUUUUUGAAUCAUCAACUAUAAGCUCUAAGGUUUAAAGUUAAGAACAACUAAAUAUAAAAGUUGAUUCAAAUAAAAACUUUUUUUUAUCUGCUUCGUCAUCGAUGAGAGAUAAAGUCAAAGCGCCCGUUUUUAUGGAAGGCACGUCAUUGUUUUUUUUCACUAAUUUUUAUAUAUAUUAUUCUAUUUUAAAAAACACUAGGGCGGUUUUUAGCUUUUUGGAAAGAGUAUCACAAUCCAUCAAAAGCGAUAGGUUAUUUGAAAUAAGUUGUAAAAAAACAAUGNCAUAAUCAAAAAUUUGAUUUUUAUAAGGGACCAUUUGAUUAAGAUAUAAUUACAAAUACAGUUAAAAAUGUAGCAGUUAUAAUUAUAUAUAUCUUAUUUGAUUUGAUGUAGUAGAAAGUGUUGUAGCUAUAAAUAAUUUAUUUCGCUGAAUGCAGUUUGAUAAAUAAAUUUUAAAAUUUUAUCAUUGUAUAUAUAUAAUGGUAAGAUUAAUUACUCUAAUAUUGAAAAAAUAUAUUUUUAUUUAAAAAAUAAUUAAGAAUAUAAGUUUAUCUUUAAUUUGCUUAAAGUUACGCUCUCCAAUUGUUGCAGUUGAGCUUCCUUCUGCAGUUUCUACUACAGCAGUUUGAGUUAAAUAUAUCAAAUCAAACAACAAAUUUGCAUUUACAUAUAAUUAUAACUGCAGUACAGUUGUAAUUAUAUGCAACCAAACAGUCUCUAAGAAUUGUGUUAGCAUACAUUAUUUGAUAAUACAUGAGUAAUAUUUAUUAUCAAUAUUUCUAUCAUUAAAUUAUUGUUAUUUCAUCUGCCUCCACUAAAUUUUAGAUAUUUAAUUGCCAACUUUUUGAUAAUGAAUAUUAUUUCAUACCUUAUUCUAUCUUGACUAUUUUUAUAAUUAUCUUAUAUUUCUGUAUUUGGUUUAAUAUAGUAAUAUAAUAGGCAAGUCAUUGCUGAGCUAAGAACGAAGAAUUAGUUGAGUGCAGGAUGGAGAUCUCUCUGAUUGAAAUGAAGUAGUGAGAAAAUAUUUUUGAGAGAAACUAAUCCUCUAAGCUAUUAAUAAUUCUGUAUUGCCGAAAAUACUACAUGUGAAUAAACAAAAUAUAAUAAUUUUAAAAAUUUUCUGCAGUAUAUAACAUAAACAGAGUAUGCCUUAAGAUUCUAAGGUUUUGUGGAAAAGCUUUUCAUACAAUUUUUUCUUUCCAUUUUUAUGUAUUUGUAUUUUAAUUUUUUUUGUGAGAAAAUUAUCAAAUUCUUAAUCAAUUAAGUUCGCUAGGUGUCGUAGGUACUAAUUAUUAUUGAAGGCUUUUAAUAUAUAUAUAUAGAGUGAGGCUACUAUGCUAUCGGAAGCACGGAGCCUUCCGUGCUUCCAACUCGUUUUCGAUGUUGCGACUUUCGAAUCGUCGAUCGGCUCCGUUAAACUUGAUCUAGAGUAUUUGAAGUACCUAGAAAAUAAAUUUUAUUAUUUUUUGAUAUCAUUUGCCUAGUGAUCGAAUGAGCUCAAAAUCAACAAAUUUUAAUGGCCGUAGUGAGCUGUUUGCAAGUUUAACGGUGUAGAAAUAUCCAAAUCACGUGAAAUUUUGAUAGAAAAUUCUUUAUACUAUAUAAAACAAGAUCAAUAUCUUUGAUUUAAAAUUUUAAUUUCAUAAUUAUUACAUUUUGUAAGAUUUUUAUUUUCAGCGUUGAUUUAGCCCCUUCGUUCACUAGGCAAAUGAUAUCGUAAAAUCAUAAAAUUUAUUUUCUAGGUAUUUCAAAAUCUCUAGAUCAAGUUUAACGGAGCCAUUGACGAUUCGAAAGUCGCAACAUCGAAAACGAGCUGGAAGCACGGAAGGUCCGUACUUCCGGAUAGCAUAGUAGCCUCACUAUACUAGAUAUAUAUAUUAUUAUAUAUAUAUAUAUAUAUAUAUUAUAUAAUAUAUAUUAUAUAUAUAUUAUAAUAUAUAUAUGCUUUAUUAGAGAUCAUGGUUUUGGCAUGUUAUAUUUGCAUUAUUAGUUGAUAAUAGUUACCCAAUUAUUAUUUUUUUUAUGAACCUAGCUAUCUAUUUACGCGAACACUCUACAAAAUAAUCAUAUCAUGGAUUUCUCUAUUUAAUUAUGAGGAUUAUUCAUCUGAUCAAAAAUAUUCAAUUUUUUUUUCUAUUUUCCACAUUGAGUUCUAACUAUUUUCUUUUUUAUAUUGAAUCUUUAAUAGCUAUUUGGUUUGUGUGUUUCAAUAGAGUUUUUUCUAUCAAAAUAUAUAUACGUAUUAAUUCAAACAAAUAUUAGAAACUACUUAUUGCCAAAAGGAUCCAAACCUAUUAAUUAAUUCUUUAUUUUUUAUUUUUUUUUUAUUUUUUUCUUUAUUGGAUGAAUGGAAAUUGUUAGCUGUGACGCAGAGAUAUCUUAUUUAUCUUUUUCCCUAAAAUAUACCUUCAAAGAAAGCGACAUUUCAUAUUAAUAUUGUGGUACUUAACAAUUUAUCGAAUUAUAGGCCACAAAAAAGUUUGACACUAAAUGAUGUCUCAAUUAUUUUAUCUUUUAACAUUUUUUAUAAUUUAUUCUUUAGAGAAAAAGAACGUGCUAUUUAUUUUAUUUAUUUUUUAAAAAUUAAACUAAAUUAUGAAAUAAAGUAAUUAGUCUUCAAACUUCGUUAAAUAUUUUACCACUUGCGCUAUGACCAAUCAAUAUAUUUUAAUAUCUUAUUGUAUCUUUUAAUCAAUCUGAUUAGUUGUUGGUGUUGUUCGUCAGUGAAAAUGUUUCCUUAAUUUUUGGCUAAUUAAAAAGCCAGAGAUUGUUUUAAUUGUUCGGCGAAAUCAUAUUCAAGGUAUGGAAAAGUUUAAUUAGUCGCAAGCAAAAUUUUUGUAAACUACUAAUUAAAAUGUUAUGUCACAUUCGAACUAUAGAUUCAAAGUAUGGGUUUAGGAUUUAGGAGUUAAAAUUUAGAAAGGAUUAAUUAAUUACAUUAAUCAUGAGAUACGUACACAUUAUUUAUUAUGAUGUUGUACGAGAGAGGGUUGUGGGAUCUACCCCUUGUGGGAGACAAAAUCACAUGUAAUGUUGCAAAUUUGGUGGCUUGUCACCCUUAUUUAUUUGACCAGUUCAAAUUAGAUUUUGCACAUGAAAUUUUUAGAAUUUAAUUUGAAAAUCUCAAAAAUAACCUCCAUAUGAUUUGUAAUGUUCAAAUUCAAAUCAAUUAAAACAAUGGAUUGCUAUUAUGCAUUCUAUAUUUUGCGUACUGAGUUGUGAAAAAGAGCGUCCAUAUAAAUCGAUAUUGUAUGCUUAUAAAAAAAUAAAAAAUUAAAAAAUAAUUGUUAUUUUUCAAAAGUUUGAGCCGUUCGAAUGAUUCUCUUUCUCACGUCUCAUGCCAAUAUGCGGAAUAAUAAAAUAGGAUAAAAUUAAAUAAAGUUAAAAUCUAAUGGGAUUCAUUGAAAUCUUAUACUAUAUACAAAAAAAAUAAAUUAAACAUUUAUUUGUUCUAAAAUUUUAAACUGUCAAAAAAUAUGUCUAAAUCUUAUAAUCUAGUCUUUGAAAGACUAAAAUUUAAUCACUUGUCUUAUUAUUUUUUUUAAUACUAAAAUUUGAAUGAGAAUUUUAAAUCUUUAAGUUAUUGUGUACAUUGUUUUUCAUUCAAAGGAGCAGGAACUCCAAGCUCCACACAUUCAAAUCAAUAUUUUCAUGCAGUAAUAAAAGACACAUUCAAAUCAAUAUUUUCAUGCGGUAAUGAAAGAGAGAGAAAUGAUGAAGAUUUGCUCAGUAUCUAAUCUAGUUACCGCAAAAAUAGAUAGAAAUUAUUUUAAAAAAAGAAAAAACUUUUAUUUGGGAGAAAAUUUGGCUCGCAGAGGACGGAAAAUCAUAUCAUAAUUAAAACCAAGAUAAAAUUAAGCAACAUUAUAUAUAUAUAGAGAGAGAGAGAGAGAGAGUAAUUAAUGCUACUAUCCUCUUAUGAAUAUAGAAUUCUUCGUACUCGUAAGUUAUUUUUAAUGAUAUAACGAUUUAGAAUAUUUGAACUUCUAAAAAAUAAAUUUCGUAAUUUUUUGAAAUCAUAAUGAAAUCCAUCAAUUGGGCAUAAAAUGAACGGUCAAAAUUGAAUGACGUUCUAAAAUAAAUGAUCGGAUCCUUCAAUUUAAGAUCGGAGUUAUUUAUCAUUAUCUAGGUAAUGAAUAAAAUUUUUUAUAAAAAAUUCAACUAAUUCCGAUUCUUUUGUACUGUUAAACUAAUAAGUAUUUCAUACCGGCCGUUAAAAAUUGUCAAUUUUGAAGUAUUUUGAUCGCAAGAUAAAUAAUAUCAAAAACUAUAAAAUUUAAUUUUUAAAAAUUUUAAAUGCUCUAGAUAACAUUUAGGGCCCGUUUGGUUCGAGUUAUGUAAUAUUAUAAAGUAUCUCGACAUAUCCAGGUAUCUUGGAUUUCGGCGUGAGAUUACUACUGAUGCUGCAUUAGAGUGUUUGGUUUAAUACAGUAAUGUAAUACUAGAUUAUAGUGUUUAUAGUAUUAAUAUGUUUGGUUUAGUUUAUAAAAUUUAGAAAUCCUGACAUAAAAGUAUAGUUUUUUUCAAAAUUGCCCUUGUUGUGGUCAUUUGAAUAUUAUUUUUUGCGAAAAUGACGAAUGGAGGGAAGGAGAUCGUGAUGAUUACUUGGGAGGACGACGCAAUAGAAGAUGAUAGGUGUACGUGCGCGCGCGCGAGAGAGAGAGAGAGAGAGAGAGAGAGACGUCGAGAGAGAGAGAGAGCGAGAGAAAGCGGCGUGCAAGAGAGAGGGCCGGGGGGAAGGCGAGAGAGAUGAAAAUAAUGCUGUUAAUUAGAUUUGGGGUUGUUGGAGGGUAAAAUUGUCAUUUUACAUAAUAGGUAGUAUUAACGGAUUUCAGUAAUGCAAGAUACACGAUCCCCCUCUCGUUAAUAUUUUCGAUGUAAUCCUACUCGAUUUGUAAUGCUAUAUUAACGACUAGAUUAUAUAGCGGAUUAACCAAACACAGUUAUCCUGGCAGGAUUGCCUGUAAUCCUGCUAGGAUAACUCCAACCAAACGCAUCCUUAACGAUAUGGAUCGUUAAUUUCGAAGCUCUAUUAUUGAAAACAACUUAUGAGUAGGAAAGCGAUCGUACUCGUAAAGUAUAGUAUAGCGGGACUCUCUCUCUCUCUAUAUAUAUAUAUAUGUUACGAAAAUUCAAAUAUGUUACGUACCCUUACGAGCCGUAAUAUAAUGAUACGUUAACUAACAUACUAUUCCCAUGUAUUGUUGAUUUAUUUAUACAAUAGAGGGGCACCCAAAGCAUGACCCUUGUUUAAACAGAUAAUACUAUAAUUAGCAUAUUUAUUCAAGGAAAUGGUUACUUUUACUCAAAAAAAUUGUAUAAAUAAUAAUUAAAUAAAUAUAUGUAAAUAUAUCAUGGAACGCGUAAUGCAUGCACUUUUAAGCUGGACCGUGUGGGGCCAUUUAAUUUGUGGUAGGGGUUUUGGCUUUUACUUCAUUAAAUUGUGAUCAUGUGUCUCUUUGUAUCAUACCAUAAAGUUAGGGUUGGGAAUGGUGUGACAAUGAACCAUUUUUUUGCCCACCAUGCAUGGCUUUGCCCUAGCUUAGCAAAUGAAGAUUUUUUCUAGUAAUGGACACACACUUUGCUUUCUUGAGGACCUUCCCCAUGUGAUGAGAGGGGCUUUCCACUUGUCGCACUGCUUUUGCUUUCAGCAAUAAUUUUUAUUAGAACUGAGAUUAAGUAUAUCUAAAAGUGUAACGCUUUUGCUGCAUGAGAAACUAAAGUGAGACAGUUUAAAUGGCAGAAACUUCGAUUUAGUGGUCGGUUGUGGUUCAAUUAUUUAGAACGGUUGUUAAAAAGAUUUUAAUAUAGUGGUUUCACAGCUAGGAUAGUUCUUUUUCAAACGAUAUUGUUUAGUGAUGAGAGAAAAACUCGACAUAUUUACCAACGUCGCAACUGCAUAAGAAGUGAUAGCUAUUAUAGAAAUUUAUGGAUUAUAACUUCGAUUUUGUUUCUUCUUUUCAUCUUUUGAAUCUUUUUUAAGAUUAUAUGUAAAAUAUAUGACUAAAAUAGAUAUAUAAUUAGGGAUUUCAAUUGAAGAGAGCGAGAGAUGCCUAUUAACUAUUUUAUUAAGGGAUUUAAUUGACAAAAUUGAAAGUUUAGGCUAAACAAUUGGGGGAAUUCUAUACAUCUUUUCCUUAUUUUAAGAGACGGUUGUCAAAGUUUAUGCAAUGAAAGCUUAUUCUAAAUAGCAGAAACUACAAUAUAAUUAAUACAUCUGAAAAUUUAGAAAGUGAAGUAUGAGAAAGGCGUAGGCUAAUUGAGUCAUAGUAUAGUAUACCGUUGAUAUUUAGAACAGUUCACUGGUAACCUCAUCUUUAGAUGUUAAGUAUUGAGGUUUCAUUCUGUUAUAUGCGAAAAGAGUGCAUGCGUGUACCCUUCGAAAAGAGGUCAAGUAUAAUACAUUUGAAAAUUCAGAAAGUAAAGUACGAGAAACAUAUAGGAUAUAUAAUUAAGUCACUGUAUCGAAUAUCAUCGAUAUUUAGAGCAGUUUACCGACAGCCUUCUCUUUAGAUAUAUAUUAGGUCUCGAGUUUUUAUUCUGUUACGUGUGAAAAGAGUGUGAGUAUGUGCACCUCGAAAAGGAGGUCAAAUGCCUUGAACUGGAAAGUGAGAAUAGCUAUUCUCUCUUGCCCACUAUUCCACAUUUCUAAUUCUAUGCUUAUCUUCUACUCUGCUCCAUAUAUAGAGAAUAACUUAUUCUUAUGCAAGAUCUCAUUUUAGUAAGAAACAAAACAAAUUAAACCCAGGAGAUCGAAUCACGUACAUUGUCCCACACAAUCAAUGAGGCUAAUUAAUUUGUUGUAACUUGAUGCUCGAACUUUUAAAAUUAUUGUAAUUAAGUUCUGCAGUCUAAUUUAAUUGACUAGAUAUUAAUAUAUUAUUAAUACAAUAGUAAUGUAAUAUCUUAAUUAUUAUAACAUCGUCAACUAUAUAUAGCGUUACUUCCUCAGAACAAAAGCGUCACGUUCCUCAUAGUGUGAGAACCAAAAAUAUAAUUUAGCCAAAUUAAUGAUGAUGAUUAAUAUUUAACACUCUACCUUGAGAUAUAUCCCUAUUAACUCGCCAUUAAUUGCUUAUGUUCCUUCAUUAUUAUUAUUAUUAUUAUUACUUAAAGAAUAAAACUCCAACACCUCACCUUAUCCAUGAACGCGUGGAAUAAAUCUCCCUUGUUCAUUUUUUUUUUGGUUUUUAACACCUUGCAUUAAAUUCCUCACAGCUUGAUCUGUCUCCCCAACCAACCAUCUUAAAUGGCUCGAACCCAAGCUCGUGGUAGGGUCACAUCAACACGAUUUAUUUUUUUUUGAAACAAUAGAAUAAUUUGUUUCUCUUAUUAAAUGAUAUUUUGUCCAUUGGGAUUAUACUUGAAUCUAAUUUUGGAUUGAGCCAAGUGGGAGUUGUUGUUCCCUUUAUUGAUGUGUCUAGUUGAUUUGAUAGUACACUUGAGAUUUCAUAAAGGGGGAGAGAUUUGCUUCAUAAUUGCGUGAUUUAUAGAAGACUUAAUUAAUUCUCACCAACAUUAGAUAUAGUAGUUAAUUUGAUCAGAUGCUAUUUAAGAGCAAAAGAAAAAUGAAAAAGAUAUUGACAUAUAUAUAUUUUUAAUUGAAAUUAAUCAAAUUUACAAAUUAGAAACUCAUUGAAGUGGUGAAAUGCCCUAGUUAGUAAAUUCACGAAUUAUUCUCGAAUUAUUGAAAAUUCAAAUUAAACGGUCCGUUUACGAAUUUUUUCGAAAGAAAGAGAAUUAUUCACGAAUUUUUGGGCCAGCCGAAUUAUUCGCGAAUUAUUGCGAAAUUUUUAAAAAUAUGAAUAAAAAACUUAUAAUUUUAUUUUUAAAUAUAAAUUAUUUUAUAUUUUAUAUCUUAUAUUUUAUAUUUUAUACCAAAUUCAUUUUUUAAGUCGAAUUUUUCAACAAAUUUAAAAAUUAGAAAAUAAAUUUUAUACGUAUUAUAUCUGUACCGAAUUUUUGCCGAAUUCGAAUUAACUAACUAUUAUGUUUUACCUUGUGAAUUGUGAAAAGCAUUUUGAGCCAUAAAUGAGCCUCAAAAGAACACCCUUUUAGGGCACUCUUUCAUCUGAAUUAAUAAUUAAUUUGAGUGGGAAUCCAUGCAUGCACUAUCAUUGUAUUGAUAAAUUACGUCGCUCGAGGAAUGAGAUGCUUUUCACGAAAUUUGAUGCUCAAUCCUUUUGAGAGAGGAAUUAAUAUUAAUAGGAUUUUCUUUUCUUUUUUUUUUUUUUUUGUAUAUUGUUGAUGACUCAGCAAUUCUAUUCAUCAGAAUUUGAUAAAAUCUUUCGGGUAUCCAAAGUAUUAUUACAAAAAGUGAAAACGGUGGCUUUAUUUUGUUGAUACGUGAAAAUAAACAACCGUUAAAAUAUCUGAUCGGCAUUCAGUGACGGGCUUUAAAAGGUUCCGUGAUCAAACUCAAAACCUUUUACUGUACUUAGGCUAUAGCAUCGUUUGAGAUUGUGAGAAGAUUAGAUUACAAGUGGUGAGAAAAUUCGAUAACAAAAUACUCUGCUGUUCUUGUACACAAUACCGUGUUCUGCAUAUUGCAGUGAGUCAGUUAAAAUAUAAUUUUACUAUCCCACCGUAGAAUAUAGAAGCAUAUUUUUAUAUAUUUUUGCGUUAACUUUAUUUUAUCUAGUGUUAGAUGAACCUUAAUACCGAACGGGCCCUUAAUCCAGGAUUUGGAAUCAGUUUUCUGAUGGGCCAUUGGACUUGUUUUAAAACAAAUUUCAGAUGUUUUGGAUAUGAGUGGCCCGUUUGGGCCCAUUAGGCUUGGCCCAUUCACAUAAUUGUUGAGCAAAUAUGGGUGGUUUCAAAUUAACUAAAACGUUAGGGGCUUAUGUGAAAACUUGGUAGGUCUAGAAUGUCGUACGGUAUAUACACUUGUACCUGUAACUCGCUGUACGCUGUGCGUCGGAAGACUCUGGAUCCUUCCAUCAAAUCCAUCUAAGGCGCUCGAUCUACCGUCCGAUCGUAAAUGGACGGUCACGAACGCGUCAAUAUUGUCACAUAGCACCACCCCUUCCUCCUCCCCUUCACAAUUAACAACUCUCUCUCUCUCUCUCUCUCUCUCGUCUUUCUCGCUCUUCACCCACCCCCCCAAAUCCCGAGAAGCGUCCGAUCCCGAUCGCUCCUCCGCCCUCGGAUCGAUCACCGCCGUCCAAGGCCCCUCCUCGUCGGAGAUCGGCGACAGGUUCCCCCUCUAUUUGCGAUCUCGAUUCGUUGUUAGCGUUAUCAUCUGAAUCCAUGUGAGGACAAUUUCUUGAAUCGGCUUUGCCCUAGAUUCUUAUACCUCUCGUUCGUUUCAUUUUCUCUUUUGAAUCGCAUGUGUAAUGCGUAAACUUUGGAAAAAUUGUAUUUAGAGUGGGAAUUGUGUGCUUCUGUUAGGGUUUCUUCAAGCAAUUUGUGUUCUUUUUGAUUACUACGAAGGAUAUACUCUUAAAACUCUGCGAAUUUGGGUCUAAAUGAGGUUCGAUGUUUAAAAUUUAGUCUAUUUUGCAGAAAAAUUGAGAUCAAAUAGGGGUUUUGAGGGGUUACUUGGAGGGUUAAAGUUGUGGCUUUUGUUCACGGGACCGGAUAUUGUCAAUGGCGGAGAGGGGUUGUGUUAAGCGCCUUCAAAGGGAGUAUCAUGCCCUAUGUAAGGUAUGAUCAACUCUUUUUCCAUGCGAUUACUUUUGAUUAUUUUAAGGCUUUACAGUUUUAUUUUGCAAACCCUAGAUGGAAUCUCGACCAAUGACCAUAACGUGGGUCGGACUCUCUGAACUCUGUGGAAAGCAGGGUUUUACAAGCUUUACUUUUAUAAAUUUAUGCACUUCUGCUUGUUUUAGUUGCAAUUCACCACCUUUUUGAUAGGGAUCGGUAAUUUUUUAGUUAUAGCCUUCCGUUUUGGCGUAAGGUUGUGCUUUUCUUUUGCGAAAUGUUCAUGGAAUUUGACAAACGAACCCUAACGUGCAUCACACUUUCUGAAAUUUGCGGAAAACUGAAUUGUACAAGUUUUAUGCUUAUAAGUUUUUGCACUCAUGCCUUGUUUUAGUAGUAGUGCAGUACCUUUUGAUGAGGUGCUAUGCUUUAUGCUUCUAUUUGAAUAAUGUUACUUCAUCAUUUGCAAUAUUUGCAGGAGCCGCCACCUCAAAUUGUUGCUCGUCCUUCUCCUAGUGAUAUUCUUGAUUGGCGUACGUAUGCUCUUUCAUGAUUCCCCAUAUGCUUUCCAUCAUUGUUCUUGCCAUUCAGAUAUGUAUUUGUAGUUUUGAAAUUAUAUACACAUCAAGAUUCAAGUAUCCUUAUUUGAGAUUUUAGAGGUUCGAGUUCUAAGAUUGCUUGUGUAAAGUUUGAUAUGACGGUUGGUUGUAAGCUUGGUAUUGCAAAUAUUUUUUUUUGUGUGAAACUCAGUAUAGUUUUACCUGUGCUUUUAUUCUUAGAAGCCUUCAGACAGAAAUACUGCUUAGAUAUUCUUGUCACCUUUCAAAUUGGUGCAUCUUGAGCUGUUCUUUAAUUUUAAGUGGAACUCAUUAUUCCUUCUUCUCUCUCUCUCUCUCAGAUUUUGUUCUUGAAGGAAGUGAGGGCACACCAUUUGCAGGUAAAAUAGGGAACAUAUGUCAAGUCCAAGGUCUAAAUCAUUGGUUUCAAUUUUUUCUCCACAUUGAUGCUUCCUUUCGACAAAUUUGUGAACUCUCGAUUUGGUUUAACCUGUUGACGAGAAGAGUCUUAAGGUUUUCUUCAAAGGAAAUCACAUUUUCAACCUAAUUAUUGUAUUUGAUUGAAAAGGAUGCUUUUUGGUCAAAAUUUAUGGAAACCGGCUGAAAGUGGGCAAAGAUGGCUCAAACCGUGAAUUUCGAAAUGCUAAAUGUCCCAAAAUUUUACAUUAGUUUUGCUUGGAACUAUCAAAUUUCAGCUGAAACUUAAAUCCUUUUAGUAUAUUGCAGUAAAUGGUUGUGAAUUUUCAGAUUAUUGCCAUUUUUCUUACUUGGUGUUAUGUGUUAUUUAUUGGUGUCCUCGCGGUAGCUUUUUUUAAUUAAAUUUGUUGUUAGCAGAAAUACAUACUUUCAUUUUGCUUUGUUUUGAAAGUUCACAUGCUUGACUGUAUAUAUAUGUAUUUUUUGUUGAUUGGCAAUGAAGGUGGGUAUUACUAUGGAAAACUUAAAUUUCCACCCGAUUAUCCAUUCAAACCUCCCAGUAUCAGGUAAUAUUCCGUACACCUGUUUUAUUGUAAAUAAUGUUAUUUUAAGUUCUUCCACUUUUCUAAUAUAAUUUUUCUUGGCAUUUCUCUCUGGGUUAGUAUGAUUACUCCCAAUGGACGAUUUGCCCCUCACAAGAAAAUAUGUUUAUCAAUGAGUGAUUGUAAGUAUGAACAGUAUUGCAUGUUUGUUAAUCUGGUGUGUUAUGGAACUUGUAGACCUAAUUUUGUUUCUCCUUUCAUUCAGUUCAUCCGGAGUCUUGGAAUCCAAUGUGGUCUGUAUCAAGGUAAGAGUAACUAAUGAAGUUUGUGUAUAUGUAUCUCGAUAUGUGUAAAGUUUUGCUUUUUACAAUCACAAAUAUCUUGUCUCAUGAUUCUGACUUCUAUUUGUUGAUGCAGCAUUCUCACGGGACUUCUGUCCUUCAUGGUGAGUUUCUUUUCUCAUCACCUCUGUUGGCUUUAACCAGACCAACAUCUUUAAAGCAUGGGUACAUGUAUAUUAUACCUUUCCAUCUUGAUUUAUUAUGUAUUGGUAAGAGUGUGUUAUCUUUGGCCGGGAUGUAAAACUUGUGUCAUUUUAUUCCUACCUUUAUCCUUUCAUUCUGUUUGCAGCAUCUGAAAUGAUAAUAGUUACGAUUUUUCAGCUACUUACAUUUAGAGCCCUGAUUUGUAUAAAGGCUGCUGUGACAUGCACCGUAGCUCCAAAAAGUUGGGAGUUGGAACAGAUCUUAGAGGAGUUCUAAGCAGAGGUUCUUGUACAGAGUUUUUCAUUCAAGUCUGAGAUGUUUGGUUAGAACGUUUCCGUGGUUUGAGAAAUCUAUUGUGGUUCUGUUGGCAGAGUUAAGGACUGAAAGACUUGGGACAUAAUUUUUUGAAUUCUUUGUCAAGACAAUCAUUACUCCCUGAAAGAAACCCUGGAUUGAAUUGAAGUGUCUUCAAGUCUAGCAUCAUAGAACCACAGCCAAUGCUUUUUAUUGAAAAUCUGUUUCUUUCAGUACUAUUAAUACAGAUGAAAUAUGAAGAACCUGCUCUCUAUCUUUCUCUGUAUCAAAUUAUUGAUUUCCUGACUUUUCAUUCUGAUGCUUGUGCAUAUAGAUGGAUGAUGGUCAGACCACUGGUAGCAUUAGGACAUCAGAUGAUGAGAAGCGGCGAUUAGCUAAGGAUUCACUUGCUUACAACUGUGAGAGGUAAAUUCUUUCAUCUUAAUAUUUAUUUGUUCCAUGAUGUGUCUUGAUACUUUCAUAGCUCUCUAUGGCUUUUCUUCCUAUUAUUACCUAAACAUGUAAUGUACAUGUUUCUGAGAGGUCAAUUUCAUUUAAUGCUGUCUCCUUGCAUAUUCAUGCUAAUAUAUGCACCAUGACAUGCCUUGAUAUUUGUACUUCUGUACAAGUUUUCCUUCAGGUAAUUGUCACGCACUAAAUAAUAAGUAUAAGAAGAAUAUUUCAUUUUAAUAUGCGUGAGAUUGUAGGUCUUUAGAAAGGCAAUCACAUUUUUAAUGCUGUAUCUUGCUUUAUUAAACCAUCAUAAUUAUGCUACUUGCAGAAUAUUAUAGUGGCUAGGAGAAAUUUGAGGUUUGUUUAUUCUCUUUGAUGGGUGUUAUUCUACCCCAUAGGUAGCACUUUCUCGCAUGCAAUCAAUUUAGUUUUGUUUCAUUUUCAAACAUUUUCAGUAUUUGAUUGAACUAAAAGUAAAGUGGCAAAAAGGCAAAAAUUGUUGAUUUCAGCUGAGGAUGAAAUAAUAUUCGGUGAGAUAAAAUCGUAAUCUGGGUGAUGCUAUUCGAAUAAAAUUGCAGUUUAGCCAUGGCAUAAAGGGUGCCUUGCCUUUCUUUCUUGGCCUAAGUUACUCUGUAUUAAAGGAAAUAUAAGUUGGUAACGAACACCCCCUGUCGGAAGAAGUGAGUCAAUGAAUCUUCCUUAAUGAAUCUUCCUUUCUUUACACAAUAGGUGAAGUGCAUAUGAUGAUGCAUUAAGCUUGGUUGAGUUAUGUAUUUUUAAGCGUCCAAUUCAACCUAUAAAUUGUGGAUAAUUGAUUGAUUGCAAUGUAUCAUCCGAUGCAUCACAUUCUGUGUAAUAUCUCUCUAUCAUAGAAGCGCCUAGCAGACUGACGUUUCUAUGUGCCAUAACUUAUCUUGCAACUAAAAUGUUAACGUAACCUUUCACCUGUCGGAAUCAACAGCAAAAACUGCCCGAACUUCAAGAAGCUGUUCCCGGAAUACGUAGAGAAGUACAGAGAACAACAGGUGCCAGAUCACCAUCCCAUGCCACCGCCGGUGCUUCCGGAGAAUGCGGCACCCCCUCCUCCCCCCGCAGUCGUGCGAGCUCCGGUGGUUGCGGACGAAGAUAGGCGAGUACUAAACAACAAUAACGCUGGCAAGAGGAGGCAGAAAACGCAAGUGCCCUUUUGGCUUCUGCUUCUGUUGAUAUCGGUGUUCGGCGUGGUAAUGGCCUUGCCCCUGCUGCAACUCUGAUAAUGCCCUCUGCCCUCCGCCCUCCGGAUAGUAAUAUCUUAACGGCGGGGAGAACGUUUUUCAGUACAAAAUUACGGAUCCCUAGAUUUGUCUACCUGCAGAAUUUUGUAUAGUUAGUUCGUUCUGGAGUGGUCGAACCUUGUGCUCGCCUUCGUUGGGUUUGUAUCUCAUCUUGACGAACUCAGAUGAAAUAUGUCAACCGCCUUCCUUAAUCUUUCGUCUCUCCGAUUAGCUGCAUGAUGGAACUGCUUUUUUGUCGACUUUUCUUCGAGUAUCGUUACUAGUGCCUUCAUAUUGAGUUGUCAAGAUCUAUCAACUACCUCAUUAAGAAUGCUGUAAUUCAAAUUUGUUCAGAUUGGGUAAUUAUGAAUUGCGGAGUGCGAAGCCCUUGCAGUUAUUCACGGUGAACGCAAACAUUUGAAUUGUGUGUGGCGUGUUAUCAGGGAAUCCGUAAAUAAAAAUUUGGACCUGCAAUGUUGAGGUAUCUCCACAAACACAUCCUGGGCAUAAGAACUUAAAAAGUUGCAGCGCGAUAAAUGGCGGAUCGAUCGGCGUUACGAAGGAGACCGACCAUUUUCAUCAAAUUUUUAUCAAAAUUAAAUUUUGUGUGGUAAACAGUGAUAGAUCAUCCAUUACGGAAUAAAUUUAAAACAAAUUAUGCGCAAUAAUACAAGCUUAUAAUAGGAAGCCAAAAGAAGGAAAUAAAUAAAAGAAAACCUAGCUGUACAAUUUUGCAUCGACUGCUGCUACUACUGCUACAUCUCUCGCAGUCGAUUCCUCCUCUUUUUGAAUCAAAAUAAUCGACCAAAAAAACCAAAAAAAAAUUUCAAAAAAAAAAAAAAAUGAAAAUAAAAGAAAAUAAAAAAUUCUGGCGAUCGGCGAGCAACCAAUCCGUCUCAGAACCCCCUCAUCAACAUGCACAUACUAAUAGUAAUAUUAUUAUGUUUUUCCGGAAUAAAAAUCCCAUCUUUUUCCCCCGAACCUCUCCCUUCCUCCUCCCCGGAAACCCUAAUCCUAACCCUAACCCUAGCUCGUCGGCGUCCUCGGCGUCCUCGGCGUGGCCGCUCCUCCGACGGUACCCUGCUCGAUGUCGCCCCCUCUAGGGCUACACGACGACCCCAUCGCCUGUUUCCCACGGCUCAGCAGCCUCCUCAGCGACCUCAGCCUCGCCGAGCUCGGCGGCGGCGGCGGCGGCGACUUCAUCUCCUCCGCCGACAUCCGGCUCACGGGCAAUGGCGAGAUCGGCGAGGGCGGCCCCCCCAUGGCGCGCCUCGGGAUCUCGAUCACGAGCUCCCUAGUCCUCGACGACGAGGGCUCGGACGAGCUCGGCGAGUUCCCCGCGUUGAUCCGAUCCUGCGUGCCCCAGAAGAGCACGUUGGUGGGGAAAAUCGGCGGCUCCGCGGGCUCCGGCGCCGGGGCUCGGGCGGAUUCGGCGCCGGCCUCGGCGGGGCUCGGCGAGGACUCGNUUGGGCAGGAGCCGCGCCUCCUCCCCCUCCGCCACCUCGCACAGGCACACGGCGCACUCCAGCGCCUCCUCCUCCUCCUUCCCCGCCCCCGCGCCUCCGCCCCCGCGGCGCCCGACGACGACGACCGGGAGCGCGGCGAGGGCGGCGGGGUCGAGGCCGCGGCGCGCGGGCGCGCCCCCCCCGAGGUCGGCUGCGAAGACGAGGCGCGUCCCGGAGCGGCCGCGGCGGAGGGGGUUGGGGCCGAGGUAGCGCCUCGCGUAGAGGUAGAGGAAGAAGACGAACACCACGACCAUGAACAGGAACACGAUCGCCGCCACCAGGAUCUCGCUGCUUAUCGUCACCGCCGGGGACGGCUCUCCCGCCAUCUCCGGCACCGUCGGCACCGUCGGCAUCGUCGGCACCGUCCUCAUCGUCGGCAUCGUCGGCAUCGUCGGCCGCGGGAUUACCAUCGCCUGCCGCGACAUCGCCGGUGCUUCGCUCAAGCCAAAAAAGGUGCGAUUUUUACCGACCCCUUCCCCUUCAAAAUUGGAUUUUUGUGAUCGAUCUCACUCAAAAGGCUCGUAAAAAAUUUGGAUUUUGAGACGUUGGUUACUCGAAAGAUUGGAUUUUUGGGUGCGGGUCUCUCACCAAAUCGAUCGAUCUAUCACAAUUUGUCGAGAUCUCGUAUUGCAUACCUCGAAUUAUGCUGCAAAAAAGCUUCGUGUUUUUACGCAAUGGAGAGAGAGAGAGAGAGAGAGAGAGAGAGAGAGAGUACCCCUCGCUCUUUUAGUUGGGGAAUUUUAUAGCCUAAAAAGAAGGGGAUUUUAGAGAGAGAGGGAGAGAGAGAGAGAGAGAGAGAGAGAGAGUUAGAGGGAGCAGGAGAGAGGAAGGUGAGCAAACCAAACUGAGAGAGUGACGUUGAUAAUGAUCGGAUGGGAGUGAUCAAAUGCGUCAACAAAGAUGACUUUUUUUGGGUUUGGUUUUGUUUUUGGUUUUGGUUUUUCAUUUUCUUUUUUCUUUUUUCUUUUUUGUGGAACUUAAGAAGCGUUCAAAGGGGCUGCGGAGACCAGUGAGAAACGAAAGGGGAGAGAAGUUCAUAGUUUGAAUUGUUUUAUGCUAAUAUUACUAAAAGUACUUCUCAAAAUAAAUAAAUAAAAAGUAUACAAAGUAUGCUUUGGUUGCUUCUUCUUUCCUCUUUUUGUUCUUAAUGUAUGUUUUCUCUGUGGACUCGGUAUUUGACACGGCUCCAAAAUCUAUAAUUUGAAAGAGAUAUUCUAAUUUUUGACUGGGGAAUGUUUUGUAUACUAGGCACCGUUUGAUUUGGACAUAAACAAGAAUUAUUAUAGAGAUAGAUACAAAUAUGGGAUAAAAAAAAUAACGUUUGGAUAAAAAUUGAAUUAUUUCCGGAGAUAAAAAAAAAAUAGCAUUUGGAUAGAUAGUAUGAAAUAAAAAAAAUAAUAAAUAAUUAUAUAUAGAAAAUAGAGGUGUUGGUAAGAAUAGUUAUACCAAUUUAUUUCAGGUAUCCGAUAAUUACUAUUCUCAGAUAAAAAAUUAGCGUUAGGGUUACGUUUUGUUCACCGUAAAUUAAACUGAAAAAUUAUUUUCACUAUAAAAAGUAUUUUCGCUUGUUUGAUUUUGAAAAAAGGUUAAUUUUUUUAUUUUUUUGCUGUUUUUGGACGAAAACGAGAACUCAGACUGUGUAAAAUUUUUUAUUUAUUUUUCUGUUGAAUCAAAUAAAUAUGAUUUUUUUUUCCAAUCAAACAAAUAUCAAUGCAAAUUUAUUUUUUUCCCUAUAAAUCAGACAUUACAAAAUAUAAAAUUUUUGUUUCACGAAAAAUUAUUUUUCACGAUUUUACGUUAAACCAAACAGAUCAUUACAUGGAUUAAAAACAACAUCAUCUACGCAUCCUAAAUUUCAUAAAAGUUUAAUUUUAUUAUUUUUAGCAUUAUUUAUUUAGUAAUAAGGUGAUUUUAAAUAUAUCUUACACAUAUAGUUGAAAUUUAUAAAUUUUGAGAUAAUAAUAGCAAUAGAAUCAUAUUGAAAUAGUACGAAAUUUAAUUUUUCAAUUCGUAUUUAAUCGUGUCGAUCGUCGAUUCGCAUGACCCUUCAUUAGAUGCAAUAAAAAAAGUAUCAAAAAGUUGGUACUUCUAAAAAUAUUUUAGCAUAUAGCUAUAUAUAUUAUUUUAUUUUAUUAUUAAAAAAUAUUAGAUUUAAUGUAUGAACUUAUUGUAGAUUUAUUAAACUUGUUAAUUCUCUUCUAUGAAAAGCUAAUCGAACUCAUCUGAUAUAUUCUAUCAUUAACAAUUAUAACACUGCCAAUAUGGUUACACUAACAAGUUACAAAAUAAGAUCAAAUAUUUUGUUUAUUUAUUAUGUAUCAUAUUUUAGAAGUUCGUGCAAUAUAUCUACGUAUUUCAUAUGUAUUUAUCUUUACUUAAUACCCCAUCAACAUCUUUUAGUUUUUUACUAUUAAAUGUUUUCCAACUUUACAUCAAAGCCCAAAACAAUAAAUAAAUAAAAUAUACUACUACCAUUUUGUAUAGUUGAGUGUUACCAUGCAUGCUCAUCUAAGCAAAAUAUGCAUGUCAUUUAUAUUAAUUAAUUAAUUAUACUCCACAACACAAGGGAUAAAAAGUAGGUCGUUAUAGGUGGUAGUUUGUUUGUUGGUGUGAUAGGUUUUCUUUUUAAUUCAUAAAGAUCGAAGUAUAAAAAUCUAGUGACUGAUAUUUUUUUAAAAUUUUUUUAUACUAACCAUAAAGCCAUUUUCAAAUAUUUUAAAAUCACCAAAAAUAAACUAGAUUCAUACAUUUUCCUCUGCUUCGUGUACAGCAAUAUAGUACUCUUUUUAUUAGAUUAGAAUCAUGUUGUUUAUUUGAUUACAAUAACUAUUAUUAUAUUUUAAAUAUCUUGUCAGAUUAGGAGUAUGUUUAAUAUUUAAUUUUUAAUCAUAAUAUGAUUACUAUCCUACAAUUAUAGAAAUUCUUUUGGUUUAUUAUUGUUGUUUUUUUGUCCUUUCCUCCUCAAAGCAUGGCUCCAAUUUUCAGAGGAUUUUGACCUUGUGGAUCCAUUUCUCACGUACAGUCCCCGUGAAUGGUGGUGGUAACUAUUCUUCAAUUAUGUCAUAUUAUUAUCAUGAGAUUAUUUUAAGUGGUGAUUGGACCUAUAUUUUCACCAAAUUUCGUACGUGCUAAUACCCCUACUUUUCUUUAGCAAAAUGCUUUAGAUUCCACAAAAGAUUCUAUACAACAUUACUAACAUGUUAACACACUCGCGCACUAUAUUUGACGCACUUUUAAAAUCUUAUAUAAGUAUUUCAAGAUCAGGAUUUAAUUUAUUAUAUAUGUUUUACUAUGUUGAAAAGAUAACACAUACCAAAAAAAUUAAAUCGUAUACUCCUAUUUCUUACGAUGUGAAUGGAAUUAUUAUUUGUUUUCCGUAUCAUUAAUUUUUAGAAUUGUUCGAUGCUGAGGUAAUAGAUCUUAAAGCCGUAUAAUUAAUUAUCUGUAAAGUCACAUAAUCGUGUCAACCAGUGGGGUCUAAAUCUGGGACUUAAUGAAAAAAAAAAAGAAAAAAGAAAGAGAGACAAAAAAAAAAAAAAAAGAAAGAAGAAGAAAAGACAAGAAAGGCACUGCCAGCCAAUAAGGAGACCGACGACCACAAAAGGCGCGGAGCCGAGCAGGACCAAAACCAAAACAUGUUGACUCUUUUUCGGGUAUUAUUAGUCACACAAAUAUUCAAUAAUUGUACCGGUGCUCAUUUAAGUUACCCUUCCGUUUCCUAAUUUCAAAGCAUGGGUUAGAAUAGUACUCAGAGAGAGAGAGAGAGAGAGAGAGGGAGAGAGAGAGAGAGAGAUGCAUCACAUGCAGAUAAAUAUUAUUGAAAACACAGUUGUUUGUAAAAAGCAAUAUUUUCCAUGAUGGUACUAUUAUAAGGAACUAGGCUACUAUACUAUUAACAGCACAAAAUCAUUAGUACUAUCAAAUUUUUGGCCAUUAGGUUAAGAAAUAUGCGGUUAAGAUGAUGUGAGCUCUCUAGGGUUGAGUAGGUGGUUUGUUGAAUAAUAUGAUCUAACGGAUGAAAAUGAUCAAAAGGAUAGAUCUAACGGCGAAAAAUUUGGUAGCACCAAGUGCUUCGUGCUAUUAAUAGCAUAGUAGCCGGACUCCUAUUAUAAGACUAGGGCUACUAUACUUUUAUAAGUAUAGACACUUUUAUACUCAUAAAUUUUCGACCGUUGGGUGAAAAAAUGUACGGUUAGGAUAAUAAUGACCCGUAAUUAAGAUGAUAGUAAUCGGGUAGGAUUGAGUGGGUGAUUGUUUGAACAGAAUGAUCUAACGAUUGAAGAUGAUCAAAAUGAUAGAUCUAAUAGCUAAAAGUACAAAGAAAAUCUAUACUCGUAAGAGUAUUAUAGCAGCCGGACUCCUAUUAUAGAUCAAAGGGCUAAACAUUGAAGAGCAUACACUAUUCGUAUGCUUCUCAGAGCAUCCGAGAGGGAAUAGGCUUUCACUAGAUAAAUUCUGGGAGCACUUGAAGAAAAUAAGAUUUGUGUUGUAGUGCCUACAAGACAGGAUUUGGCUUUCAGUAUGACCAAAGGCAAACAGAUCAAAUGUGAAAAUAUGCUCAAGUGCUUUUCAGUGGAACUACAAAAAUCAUAUUAUGUAAACUGAACUCUUAUCCUGAACUAAUCAGGAAAGAUACAUGAAUCAAGCUCAGAACCUCAUAAAACAGAAGGGAAUGAAGAAUGACUCAAAAGCGUACGGUAUUAUUCAAGAACUAAUCUGGACAAUGGUUGAAGCUGCAACUUCUUUGUGUAUGAAGGCAUAGUCAUCUUCCCACUUAAUUCAUACUUUUGCCGUGCGUGGUUUCCUUCUUGGGUCUCUGAAAGCAAGCAGAAAAGCUUCAAAGCUUGGGAAACAAGUUAGUAGACUAAUCCCGAAGACUUUGAAUAUAAUUUAACAAUAGACUUGUACUACUCUCACUACUAAUUAAGGCGACACAUCUAACACGGUUUCUUUAUAAAAGCCUCGAAUUGAAAAGGAACUUAAUAUGAAGCAACACCGGUGGACGAAAAUAGUAAGUCUGAUACUUCUGCUGCAUCGGAAAGCUAAAUUAGCUUCUAAAACAAAAGUUGCUACCACAACAAGAACAUAAUUGCCGAAUACUGCAACUAAAAUGAACAUGUGGAUUUCUUUUCACCUUUGCCGUAAAUUCUCAUAAACAACACCUUCAUUCAUGCAUCUACGAUGGACAAAUCAAAUAUGCCUCUGGAAAAUUAAACAGCAAGCAGAGAAAAUAAGGGCGUGACAAUCUAAAUUAGAUGACAAACAAAAAAAAAAUAGAAUAGGUAUUCAAUAGUUGAGCUAGGACUGUUAAGUGAUGCAUGUAAAUUUGAGUUUAGAAACACAAAUAGCGAGACAUAUAUAUAUAAUUCAGUUCCUCAGGAAAGAAUAAAACUAGUAACGAGAAAUGUUUCUCGAUAACCAUUUGUUUAACUUGCAACCAGAUGACCGCCUGAAUUCUGCAGAAGUAUACCGUAGAAAUAAAAAUAACUAACAGAUCAAUCGGCAUCCUAUCAUCUUUCUGACAUAAACACAAACAAACAAACAGGAGAACAUAAACCAUGGCAAAUACUGGGAUCUUUCAUCAAGAUAAAGAAUCAUCCAAUUUCUGAAAAGAGCCACUACUUUUUCUCGCUCAAGCACACCAUAGUCUAAAUCUAUGGAUGAGAAAAGAAAAGGCAUUGGUCACUGGGAAUUUGGGAUCCUGCUUGUAUAAAGAUGCAUAUUACCAGGUAGAAAAUCAUAUGCCAACAUUACGGUGAUAUUUCCUUCCGAGAUAUGAGUAACCGGAGCUGUGCUGUUAGUUGUAGACCAUGUAUUUGGGCGUUGCGCUGAACUUCUGAUAACCCUUAAUAACCUUAUUCACUGCAUCAAGAAAGUCCUUUUCGGUUACCGUCUUCCUGCGUGCCCGGAUUGCAUACAUCCCGGCUUCGGUGCACACACUCCUUAUGUCCGCCCCUAAUAUAAAGAAAUACAGGAAAUAGUUAGAAACUUGUGAAGAACAAAUAGAGCAAUUUUGAUGUUUGUCCAAGUAAAAUAGACCGUAGAAAAACAUAUAACACCAAGCAUCUAAGUUCCAAGCAUUCAGACCGGCUUUUACUUUUAAAGAAAAGGAGAAAAAAAUGUGUAGCGGAGCAUAGUAACUUGUAAAGUAAAAAAGUACAGAGCUACAUCAGUUAUAGCACAUUUUAAAGUAGGUGCCUGAACUUCUAAAAUUUUGACAUAAACUAUCAAAGAACUUUCCGACUUCAAAGAACUUUUCGACUUCAGAAAAUUCUACCUGAGUUUUGUCAAAACUUAAAAAAGGAUUUUGUCAAAUUGGUUAUAGAAUAUUUUAUCAAGUAAGAAAUUAUCCCAUUAGAUUAUAAAAUACCCACCAAGUUUUGAACAAGAGGUACUCACAUCAAAAGAACUACAAGUUUAGAUGGUAAAUUAACAACUUUAAGUUCAGGUAGGUAAGAUCUGUUCAAUUUUGCUUAAUUGUUAGAUGGAGUAUUAUCAAGACAAACCCCUUAUACUAUUGAAAUGAGGUAAAGAAACACUUCAGUAAAUGCUCACCAGUGGAGUUAGGGCAGAGGCGAGCAAGAAGCUCAAAUCUGAUGUCCCUUUCGCAAUUCAUUGUUUUUGUGUGGAUCUUGAAUAUCUUUGUGCGACCUUCCAAGUCUGGCAGACCAAACUCAACCUUACGAUCCAAUCUUCCCGGACGGAGUAAAGCUGGGUCCAAAGUGUCAGGCCUGAAAAGUUUUGGAAAGAGAGGGAGAUGAAUUCAUAUGUUCUAAGGGCAUGGUUAAGAGUUGACUUGAAGCACAGCUAUAAACUAGAAAACAUCAAGCUGUCGAACCUAUUGGUUGCCAUUAGAACUUUGAUGUUUCCUCUAGCAUCAAAACCAUCAAGCUGAUUGACGAUUUCAAGCAUAGUACGUUGAACUUCAUUGUCCCCACCAACGCCAUCAUCAAAACGAGCACCGCCAAUAGCAUCAACUUCAUCAAAAAAAACAAUGCAUGCCUUCUUUGAACGGGCCAUCUAAAUGACAAGACUAGUUGUUAGACAAACAGCGAAAGUAACUAAGAAAGUAAGGAAAUCCAAGAACAAUAAUCAAAUAAGUUCGCCAUUGAAUCGCCGGAAACCAAACAACCUGGAAAAGUUCGCGGACCAUUCGAGCUCCCUCCUACAUACUUCUGAACCAGCUCACUUCCAAUGACACGAAUAAAGCAGGCAUCAGUUCUGUUGGCCACGGCUCUAGCAAGGAGAGUUUUUCCUGUUCCAGGAGGACCAUAACAAAGGACACCUUUAGGAGGAUCAAUUCCAAGCUUCACAAAUUUCUCUGGAUGAAGCAUUGGAAGCUCCACAACCUGAGGAACAAUAAUAAGAGAAAACAAAAAUGAUGCGCUCUGGUUUAAUUCACCAACUUGCAGGUACCCGCCAUAUGUAUAAUCAUUUUACACUGCUGUCAAACCUGAAUGAGCGAUAACAACAUGAUAUUUUUAUUUUUAAUCACAAAGAAAAGGCAUACCUCUCGCAUCUUUUCAAUCUGCUCCUUACACCCACCAACAUCAUUAUAUGUGACAUCAGGCUUCUCCUCCACCGUCAUCAUCGUAACACUUGGAUCAAUUUUUGGUGGCAAGGGAAUCUGGAUUUGAUACAUAUUUCGAUCAACUCUGCAAAUGAAAGAUUAUUAGAUCAAACCAUGAUGUCCAACCAACACCAAUUGAGAUUUUCAAUAAAAGUCUCAGUCCUAGUAAAAUUAUUUGAUUACAACUUUGCGGAUAACUAACUGCACCAUGCCACAAAUGCUUAUAGAUACAAGAAGUGCUGAAGCGCUACAGAUGGUUUGACGCGAUAUAAUGUAAGGUCAUCUAAACUGAAUAUUGCCAGUUGCACAACAAAACAUACAGUCCAGGUAAGAUUGAUUCCAACAUCCACCUCUGUAGUAAUUAUGAAUGUCACAGGAACUUUGAUGGCCUACAAGUAUUAUAAUUCUCAUGCAAAUACCAGAUUAAAGGACUCAAAAGACAGUACCAAGGAGAUAGCGAUGUAUAAUUCCUUAUAGAUAGUAUGUUGUCACAACCAGCAACUAGGUGCCAAGGCCAUCCAUCACUGUGAUUAUGUAACUCAAGUCUGUUUUGCCAAUUAGUUGCUUCAGAAAUAAUCUUGCACUAACAAAUUAUUGUACUCUAUUUGUUUUACUUUUAUUAUUCUACAAUUGCUUUUGUAAUAUAUUAGACACUAGCUUUAGCGCGGAUGGGGGAAUGGGAGAGAGGGUGGGAAAGACAAUUAUUGCUAUUAUAAUGGAAAACGUCAAUAACGACACACUAGCUAGUUAGAAAAACUAAUACACCUCAAAUGAAGCAGUCAUUGAAGAGAAAUUGAGACAACUAAUCAAGUGAAUGGUAUUGUAGCCUUACCCAACUCGCAUGGCUUCUUCAAUAUCAGUUGGAGAGACUUUGUCGCCCAACCCGACCACAAACUGCAUAAGUCCAAUAGAAGAAAGAGAAUUUAAGUUGGGACGACCAUGUUGUUGUCCAUUUGUCCAGACAAGUAAACAUAGUAGGAAGAGCAUUACAUGCUCAAAAAGUAUACCUUGGCAAUUUGCUUAACAUUUAUCACAUAUUUAGCAUCUUCUGUGUUCGGGCUAAUAAUCUUCGUACACCUAGCAACCUUUUGAUGAAACAACAAUCUAGUCAGACACCAAAUAUGUAAGACGUAAAACAAGUUUACUAAUAAACUCCCAGAUAUCACAGAAUAAAACAAGCACGAAUACCUAAAAUUCAUGCAAAUUUGAGACAAAAAUACCUGCAGAGGUUGUUCCUCUUGCAUCAUUUGCUUGUCAGAAACCAAAUCCCACUGGCUAGGUGUAGCUAAACCAGUGUCUGACUCUUUGAUUCCUGGCAUUUCAUAACAAAAAAUGUCUCAAAGGUUCCAAGAAUAUAAUAGCAACAGAUUUUAAUAACAAAAACUACCUAUCACUACAUUAUGCUAGUUUAAAUAAGCUGUGGAAUCAACUUAUUCCAAAUACUCUUUCGGAAAUCUAAAGAAAAGAAAGAAAGCAUUUUUAUAUCUAAAUUAGCUCUUCAUGAGUAACGACAACCGACUCCAGUCACAAAAGACGCCACCUUUGAAAAGCGCACCUCUAUUUCAAGCAUCUUAGUACAUACCCAUUUGUAAUGUCCAUUGUAUGCUUGAUUUUGCUACAUAAUAGAACCGGACUAUAAUAAGAUAAACUCAAUUCUUCAAGGAACUAUAACUUAAAACAUCAAUCAUAUGCAUCGGGAGCUUAAAUACACAAAAUUUGAGUCAAAACAAUGACUCUUUACGUAUCACUUGAGAAAGUAGAGUCACAUUAUUUCAUUACAAGAAAAAUAUAAGCAAAACAAGUUCCAGUUUACAUAUUUGUACAUCCAUUUCUUCGUAUGUAUCUAUAGAGAUACAUAUAUUUAGGCAUAUGAUGAUAUUAACACACUACUUACCACAUAGAUCAUUGAUCUUCUUCACCAUCUCCUUAAUCUCCUUCUCCGCCUUCUUUAUGCUCUCAGAAUAAGGUCCCAGACCCUGCCAUAUGACACAAUUCUCAUCUUAUCAUCAUAAAUGUACUUAAACAAAAUAAGAGGAACAUCAAAUAGUUUCCACACAAACCCUUACUAUACAAUCGAUCCAAACAACAAAGGUAUUAAUAACUCACCACUCUAGAUCGCAUUCACCAACAAUAAAACUAGAUCUAGCGGAAUCUGAUGCGCAAACAAAGUAACCUAACCUAACCUAGCCCUAAAUCGAGGCGAACCAAAGAAGUGAAGAGAUUAGGGGAUGCGUACGUAGGUUUUGAGGAGGGCGAUAUCGUCUUCGUCGAGGGGGCAGGCGCAGGUUCUUCUCGUUCAACUCGUCUUCGGGCUACAGAACCAUGGCGAGGUCGAGGGAAGGUAGCGAAAAUGGCGAGUGCAAAAUUACAAAAUAGGUCGAUUUCUUAUUCACGGCAACAUGUUAUAGUGGUCGGACAAAUUUUAGUCCGACACGCCUAGAUCAAUGCCACGUGUCAGCGGAAUGGGAUAUGUAGGAGUAGGACGAUUUUUGAUUCGGCGCCUGUAUGUGUGUUGACACGUGUCACCUGAUUCUUGAACGUUCGACAUCUAAAUCCUACCCAUUUUCUCCUCUUUUAAUACAAAUUUAUUUUAUUUGAUUGGGUAUGUAACUUAUUAUUAUUAUUAUUAUCAUUAUUUUUAUACGAAUCCGAUAUGAUUAGAUGAACUUCUUAAAACAACAACAACAACAACUAAAAUUCAUUUACAUCAAUUUUGAAAAACAAAGAGGGAAUAACAAUAUUUCAAUCAAAACCAUCAAAGUACAGCACACACAAUCUGCAAAUUCUGAAACAAACUUUAAAUGCUGCAAAGGCAGUGAAAAACAACAAUUUGGCAUUUAAGAUCUAUUAGCAAUAAAUUAGAAGAAAUAAGAUUGCAUGAAUACCAAGGUCUUGCUUGUCCUCAAAAAUAUCAAAAACUUUCUCACUAAAACUGGAAUAGGUUCUGCAAAAUGUCUAUUAAUAUGUUCCUCCUUACAAAAUACAACAAACACUAUUCCUACUGGUUAUACAGUUAAGACAGAUACACAUGAAAUUAUAUCGGAGAUGCCGCCGCCUUGGAAUAAGUUUCGAGUUUCUUAACAUUAAAGCAUUAGAAAUAUAUAGCAAAAGUAGUUUGUAGAAAAUAUUGCGGAACGAAUUUGCGGCGCAGGUUCAAAAUUUUUUUUGUCAGUUGAUUCAAUAUAACGUAAUUGCCGACUUCUUUAGGGUUAUUGGGUAACCAUAAGUUGUUGAUUGUUAUGCCAAGCCACGACAUCCUCGUAUUGUAGAUUGCCCCCAAAUAUAUCGAGAGAACUUCCAACUGUAACAUCAACGUGGCCCUUGCCAGCGGUUUUUAUCCUAUCCAGCUCUUCCAUUGUUGAGACCCCGCCAGCAUAAGUUACCGGAAUCUACAGUGUGAAAAUGUUGAAAUAUAUGUAUGAGUUUUUAUCGACAUCCGCCGAUCAUAUUGAGCACAAACAAAGCUAAAAUCUUUCAUGCUCAAAACAAAUUAAUAUAUACUGUAAACAGGAGUACUAAUUUUAUAAAGAGGCAAUGUAAAGUUGAGUUCAUCAGUGAUGCAAUGUUGCAUUUGAGGUUGGGCCAAAAGACACUACACCUGUAAGGUACUAGAUUUUAGAAACACAAAAGCUAAUAUUAAAAAUGAAAGUAUACAAUAAAUAGCGCCUUUAAUGAUGGCCUUUAGUGACAAAUUAGCAAAACCAGAGCUCGUUCUUGGGUUAGGGGAACCAAGUCAUAAACAUGUGGAGAAAACUAAAUAACAGAAAGUAAGGUAUUACGUACAGGUGAGUAGCAUCCAAGCAGUGUCACAAGCUCCUCAUCAAUUCCUAGCCUGCCAUAGCACCAAGAACAUUAAUUAGAAACCGAGAUAAUAUAGUUACCGAAUCAGUUCUUGUUGGAGCCUAUAUUUGACCGAGUCCAUCAGAAUACUAAAAUGCUAACCAUUCGCAAUGUGAUAGAGGUGAAAGAAGAAACCAGCGAUAUAUUACGAAAAACCAAAUGGCAUGCCAAAGGUAGAGCGGUAAGAAGCUCCGGGUUGCUUUGAAAAGAAUCGAGUAGAAAUACUGUAGAGUAAGUCACCUUUUCCCCUCCACGUCAACUCCAUGAACCAAAAACUCAUCUGCAUAGGUCGCAAGAAAUUCCAAUGUCUGCUCUUCUAGAAUGACAUCACUGAAUUUCUGCCAUCUGUCAGUAACAAUGGCGUAUUUACCAUUCUACACCAAAAUCAUAAAGUCUACAAUCAAAUAAUACUACCAUUGAAAAGAAACAUAAUUUGCUAUCAACUCGGUAUGCACAAAAAAAAGUCUAAUUGUAAAUGUCAAUAGCAUGUAGCUAGAGAAUGUAACAAGUGAAUAAGUAAAACCAACAAUAUCAAGAAAAUUUCCCGUACCUUCUUUCUACAACUAAGAUCCAAGACAAGCCUUUGCUUUCCAAUCAUACCAACAAGAUGUUUAAGCCGUUCAAGGUUCAUUUGUCCAUUACUGAAAACAUACUGCAAGUCAAAUAUUUAAAUAGUUACUAUGAACUCAAUAAAAAAGGUCAGCAUUGAAUUGACAUAUAAACUUACUAUAUAUUAGUGGCGGGCAAAGCAUUAAAUAUGUGUAGAGAACCUGUGCUCCCCGAGUAAUGUGUUUUACACUUUGAAAUGCAGGGACUUGUGAGAUUAACAUUAGUACAUUAGCUUUCAUUAGAACUUUGGAAUUUUAAGUUCUUCUAAAUUUUCAACUACAAAGCAGAAAAAAUUUCAAUUAUGAAACUAUUUGUUAUGUGAAAGUUAUUGAGUACAGGAGAGAAACAUACAAAACAAUGAUUAUGAUCAUUCCAAAGAUUGAUAUGAGCAAAUGCAAACCAGAAGUAUUUUGUGUAUAAUAAAAAAAAAGGGACAUGAUAACUAUGCUGUUGCUCAAUCAAGCAAACAAUGUCUGUGAAAUAAAUAAAUAAAUCACAUACUGAUGUAACAAUCACGUGGCUUGCACCUUCCUUGAUAUAAGUCAUGGCAUUGUCCGAAUUGAUCCCACCUCCAAGUUGCAUGCCACCUAAAGUCAGGACAAUUUAUGGUCAUAUUGGCAUGGAAUUACUAUGUCUAAAUUGUGAUGUCAUAUAGCAGACAAAGCUUCCAUACUGAGAGAAAAAUGCUAGAGAAAAUACAUCAAAACCUAUUAAGAGCAUCAUUGUAACAUUAUUUUACCACGGAUAUACAAAAAUCAUAGGCUAUAACAGAGCAACACAAUAGAAAAGGCUACCAUCAUUGUAGGGUCUAGGAGGAGUCUAUAGUUGUCUCUAGGGAGGUUGUUUGCAUGAUUCAAAUCCACACAGCUGAGAAUGAAAGGUUGACUACAGAAAAAUAAUAAAAUAAAUUAAAAUUAUCCUUCUCCUAUUACAGAUAGCUUCUUAAUGCUGGAAAUAGUAGCUUGUUCAACUAAACGAAUUAGGUCUUCAUGUCAUUCGCACAGUAACACUCCACUACCAUUCCAAUUCCUGCACAUAGUCAGAAUUCUGACAAACUACAAUUCAUUACAUCUUUAAUCCGGAUUGAGAGAACAGAAAAUUUUUCUACUUUACACCUGCUCAAGCGAGGACUUUUACUUUCAGAAGUUCAAGCAAGAAGAACCCAAAGUUUCCUCACAGGAUGCAAAUUAUAAGCCAUUUGAUUGCGUGCAACUACAGUUAACUAAUAAUAAGAACUAUGCAUUUACAAAAUCAGGUAAACUAGUCUAGUUAAAUCUCGAUAUUGUGAAUUUGACAGCUUACUAUCUUCCACAUCAACUACCAUUAAUGCAGGGUUCAGUUACUAUGAAUCUUACAGUUAAUUGACCAUUAAGCAACAUAAGAAAAUCAAUGGCACAGUAUAGUGGAUUCUUUGGACCUAGAGCAAGUAACAAUCAUGCAAAAUCAUGGCCGAACAUUUCAAACCCCCACAUUUCAUCGAAAAAAAAAUAAAAAAUCCUUCUUUGAAGGAAACAAGUUAAGGAUAUGAAACCCUAAUUCCAACCAAAGAAGAGAUGAUCUCACCAGGAUAAGCAUGCAAUGCCUCCAAUGCCGCGACUCGGCUCGCAUCAUCGGCCCCGAGCAUUAUAACAUGGCCCCCCGUGAGCCCAUCCUCCUUGUAUAGAUUCGCGAACUCCGCCGGAGACUUAUCCGAUUCAAAAUUCGUCACAAGAGCCGUACCAUCCACCACCGUAUCCCUUAGCGUGGAUCCCACGAUCUGCUUCACUUUCCCCUACCAACCCACAGCAAAUUCGAUCAAAAACUAGGGUUUAAACAAAGGAAACGAGCGCGGGGGCGAUCUCGAAUCUAGGGUUUACCUUGUGGAUGUCGAUGCAGGGUCUGAAUCGAACGGCGCAUGCAACGAGGGAGACGCGAUCUACGCCGUUGGAUCGACGAGUUGGGAGAGAGAGGGGUUUACCGUUAGGGUUUCUCCGAUCAGGGAUGGGGUUGAGGGGAGAGGGAGGGACCCUCGCUCUCGCGCCAAAAAUCGUGCGCGUCGCCAUUGUUGAGGGGCGGAGUUAGAGGGAAGAGAGAGAGAGGAGAACGAUCCUCUCAAAAAAAGAAAGAAAAAAAAGUUUAAGAAAUAAAAGUAAAAAAAGAAAAAAUAAUCCGAUCCUAAUGGCCUUUAUCCCAAUGGAGUGCAACAUACAUAUUUUUUUGGCCCUUUUUUUUUAAAAAAAUAUAUUCGAGAUUUUUAUUAGAGUACAUGUUAUUAUAGAAUAACUUGUAUUUAUUUUCUACUAUAGUUUUUAUAUUAUUCUAUUUGAAUUUUUUGAUGCAUUUGAAUAGAAUGAAUUUUUUUAAAAUAUUUUUUAAUUUUUUAUUCUCAAAAUAAUAUAAAAAUUAUACUAAUAUUUGUUUCAUUUUUUAAAAUUAAAACAAUUUUACCUUUCUCUCAAAAUAAUAGUAUGACUCAUUUCUUUUAAACUGUAUUCAAGUCAUAUAUUUUGAAUGUUUUUUCAUUUUAAUACUUAAAUAAAAAAUAAAGCAGUUAAACAAAAUUUUUAAACUUUAAUUUUUUAACUUUUAUUCAUAGAAGUGCACUACUAUACAUUAGAAAAGUGCACUACUAUACAAUAUUCAAAUUUUUUUUAAAUUUUUCUUUUUUUGCAUUUAUUCUUUAAUUUUUUUUUUCUCUUACCUUACUAUUUCUAAGGGUAGAAAUUGUAAUAUGAAUUGACACAAUUAUAAUUCGGCCGAGUAUUAAUUUAGUGAGGGUAUAUUUAAGAUCCAACAUUUAAUUAUCAACAAAAUUUAGAAUCUUCUUUUAAAACAUGGCUUCAAACUAUUUCAAAAAAAAUUUAUUUUUGAGAAUUUAAGUUUAUAACUACAUACUGAAUUUUUUGAACUUCUAUUCUUAAUAAACUUGAUCAACACGCAAAUCAAAUCUAAAUACCUACGUGGGUAGGAUACUGGCCUAUUUAGAAACAAAAUGAAUAUACAUUUUUCACUAUUUUUAUUUUGAAAGUAAUUUAGCAAUUGUAAAGAGGGCCCUUUCAAUGCAAGAAAAGAAUAAAUCCAACCACCCACCACCCACGAUUUUAAAGCCAAAGCUGACACUUCUAGAAACCCUUUUCUCCUUUUUUUUUUUUUUUUUUUUUUCAGCAACAUAGAAAUGACAAAGUUACAAAGAGAGGAGAAAAAAAAAAACUCUAGAAGAUUUUUAAGUCAUUAGUCAUUAAAAAUAUAAAAGGAAAUUGCAGAGCCUCCAACAUAUAAAACUGCAUAUAGAUCCCUUCAACAAUAUCAAUUUCGAAUUGUCUGAUCUGAUUUAUUCUCUAAAAUUCAUUAAAAAUUAAUGGGUUUGUUAAAUUUUACAUAUUAAAAUUGGACAAAAUUGAUAGUUUUAUUAGCUAAAACAAUGAAAAACUUAUCAUUAAUUUAAGUUAAAAAAGUGUUAAUUAGAAAAAUAAUAAUAAUAAUAGUCGUUUAAGGGUCGAUUUUAAAACGUUCUCAUCUUAGAGGGGUUUCCUGCAAAUGUUCACACUUAGGCGCUUUUCCCCCUCCCUUUAAAAACACUUCUUUCUCCUGCAGCGUAUCUCCAACGAUGAAGCAACAACCACUCUCCUCUUCCUCCUCCUAGAAUACCCCUCCUCUUCCCAAAAUGGCCCCGACACUUCUCCCUCCUUCCACCACCACCGAGCUCGACAAUGGCGACUCCCUCACCCUCUGCUACCUCCCUGUUUCCUCGAACUCCUCCGACCAGUCUCCGUUGACCCCUCCGCCGGAUCCCUCCCACUUCUCCUUCUCCUUCUCCAGCUUCUCCCCCGACAUACGCUACGCAGACGAGCUCUUUGGCAAUGGGAGGCUCCUCCCCUACAAGCCCCGACACCAAUCGGCACCAUCUACGGCAGAGAUGAGCAAUACCCACGACGCAAAACGCCUGCUUUUUCCCCACCGCCGCUCGGCAUCACUUGACGGGGGCAUUCUCCACCACACCGAGCGCCCGAGGCUUCGGAGGGCAACAUCGGACUCCGACCCAUUAACAACGGUGCCGCCGCGGCCAAGGUGGUACGAGGUGUUCAUGCUCGGGCCGAGGAGGUUCUCAGGCACGGUGGAGAUGAGGGAGGUAAGGAGUCGGCAGAGGCGGAGAGUGUCGCCACCGUCGACUCCUCCAAUGCACAAUUCAGCAUCGCUGCCGUGGAAGCUCCUGCAGUCGCUGAGCUGCAGGGGCAUGGAAAGCGCCGCCACAAUCUCAGCAGGGGCGCCGCAGCCGCCGCCGCAACAAGUCUAAACCUUACUAUAUAUCUGUUACCUGACAACUAGUUGGAUUUUAAAAAAACCUUCUAUGUUAUUCCAACAAUUAUAUAAGCUUUAUAGAGAAUCUAUUGAUUUUUACUGUCAUAUUAAUAUUUUCAAGUAUAUAAAAUGUGUUCUAAUCGAUUAGUUAUCUCGACUUCUUUAUCAGUCAUUUUCUGGGAUUUAAUUGGUGAACCAAAGGCCAGUUGGAGAGAACAAAUAAAAGAGUUCACGAGGAGCCCGAGAUUUGCAUUUAUGAGAGGCUCUUUAGGAGAUCCAAGAGUUCAAAAAUCAUAAACAGAAAAACCAUUGUAUUUCGCAUUGUUGAGACCUCAACUUUCAUUUAUUUUAUUUCAUUUUUUGUUUGUAACUGAAUGAUUUUGUUAGUAACUACAUUAAAAAAAUUCACCAAACUCAUUUAAAUCAUAGAGCAAAAUAAUUAACUAAUAGAUGACCAAUAGAUCUAUGAAAUUUAAAAAAUUCAGCUUAAUUUAGCAUAUUGUUCUACUUUUACCUUUGGAAUGUGAAGUUCAAACCACAAUAUGAACAUUACUAGAGACCUUUCCUCAGAACACUUGAUAAAAACAAAUCCAGAACAAAGUUAUGAAAUUAAUACUAAGAAAACAGCAAAUGUACUUUCAUAACUUUGCAACAAACAAAAUAUUCUUAGUAACACCCUCUAAUCUAAUGUUUCUCAUCCUCAAAUCAGAAAGAUCUAGAACCUUAUCUAGCAAGAGAUGAACAAAGACACAAUGGAGUUUUAAUGAUUCAAAACACACAUUAGGCACUUAGAUUUAGCACUCAUCAUGAACUAAAGAUGCAACUUAGAGCAAAGCUAUUUACAAAACCCCAUUAAAAGUGUUUUUCAUUAUUUGAGCAACUUCUAUUAUGGCAUAAAAACUUGUCAACUCCACUCCACCAAUAAAGGCACAAGCCAGUUUAGAUUCUGAGCAUUACUCUUCAAAUGAUCAAACCAAAUUUUGCACCAAUAUGUAGCGCAUGUUCAGAGAAUUUGACUGAUAUUAUGGUAUCUAUUCACCAUUCAAACACAAUUUUUACAACAACCAAAUUACAUGUAACUCAAUUGACAAGUUACAUCUCACACACAACAACAAAAAAAAGAGAAACCACAAAUAAAUCAAAGAUAAUAUCCACUCAGUUGAAACACUAGAGAGAUCCAAAACAAAUCUAAACAGAAACUUAGCAUUCCAUCCUAACACGGUUCAAUUGAGAUACAACAAUAAGACCCAAAAACAAACCAAAUCAGAGGGCUCACCAACGUAAAUUACACUUUACUGUCUAUCCCAUCCGGCCCAAUGAGAAGCACAUAAAACAUCAAAUAAAUAAGAAAAUAUCUCAUUGUAAGGUAAAAGUCCUUGUUCACAUUUGAGAGCACAACCACAUCCAUUCAUAUCAAACACCUAGCCACAUCCCACAAAAAAAAAAAAAACCCUAAAAUCGGAAGCUAACUACGAUCCAUAUUAGAUCCAUCCUUUUCCAAUCUCACGUACACUAACACAACGAUCAAAAUGGCAAAGGGAAAGAGAGAGAGGGAGAGCGUUCAACCACCGAAGCCAUAGAGGGUGCGGCCCUGGCGCUUGAGGGCGUAGACGACGUCCAUGGCGGUGACGGUCUUGCGGCGGGCGUGCUCAGUGUAGGUGACGGCGUCGCGGAUGACGUUCUCGAGGAAGAUCUUGAGCACGCCGCGCGUCUCCUCAUAGAUGAGGCCGCUGAUGCGCUUCACGCCGCCGCGCCGCGCCAGGCGCCGGAUCGCCGGCUUCGUGAUCCCCUGGAUGUUGUCCCGGAGAACCUUGCGGUGGCGCUUCGCCCCUCCCUUUCCCAACCCCUUCCCCCCUUUCCCCCUCCCCGACAUGGCCGAUCCCUCGAGCUCUCUCUCUCUUUCUCUCUAACGCUAUCUCUCUCUCUCUCUCUCUCUCUCAACUUUGAUGAGGGGAUUUGGGGGUAAUGGUAGGGAACAAGGGGAAGAGGAGGAUGAGGGGUAUAUAUAGGGAAGAGAGGUGUGAGAUUAGCCGUUGGAUGAGAUGGCGAUCCGAGGGAGAUCGUAACGCUUGCCGUAGUCCGUUCGAUUGGAGUAACUCGUUGUUGAUUGGUGGGAAUUGGGAGUAGCGGAUUAAGGUCGUAGAGUGGGCCGUUUCUAUGUCUUUGUAAUUUGGGCUCGCGGAGAAGUUAUCUCGGGCCUCGGCCCACUAAAAACCCCUCACCUAUUAAAACCUUUGAACUAGGCCCCUUAAGUAUAAUAUUUUUAAAAAAUUAUUAAAUUAAAUUUGAUGAGAUAUUGAUAAAGUUAAUAAAAUUUUUAAUUCAUUGGACGAAACUCGCUCGAUUCUAUAGAACUAAAAAUUUAAAACAUCAAUUGAAAAGAAAUAUUGAUUAGCUAUCUGAUAAUUACCUAUAGUUAAGGGGAUCGCCAUGCAAUUUUACCCAAAUUAAUCCCUCCCAAUGAAAGAGAGGGAAACCCCAAACAAACUGCUGAGUUUCAUUUUUAAAAAACCAAAAACAGCUCCGCGCCAUCAUUUCUCUUCAUUUUCAGAUCAAAACUGCGCGGAAAAAACCCAAAAAAAUCCCCAAAAAAAACAAAAACAAUACCCCCGCCCAAAUGCUCCACCACGACGACGAGGACGAAGACGAGGAUGAAGCCAUGGCCAUGACGAUGCUCCGACCCCAAAACCCUCUCCACCUCCCAACCGAAAAGCUCUCCCUCGGUUGCCCCGUCCUCGACCGCCUCCUCCAUGGCGGCCUCCCCUGCGGCUCCCUCACCGAGCUCGUCGGCGAAUCUAGCUCCGGUAAAACCCAGCUCUCCCUCCAACUCCUCCUCUCCUCCCCCUCCACCUCCCUCUUCAUCCACUCCCCCUUCCCCUUCCCCCUCCGUCGCCUCCUCUCCCUCCCCCAUCCCCACGCCAUUAACGACCCCAACUCCCUCGAUCGCAUCCUCCUCGCUCCCGCUCACUCCCCCUCCCACCUUCUCUCCCUCCUCUCCCGCGCCCCCCGCUUCCGCCUCCUCGUCGUCGACUCCCUCGCCUCACUCUUCCGCUCCGAGUUCGAUCCCACCCCGAUCGCCAUGGCCCGCCGCACCUCCCUCCUCUUUGAAGUAGCCUCCAUGCUCAAAUCCCUCGCCCUCCGCUUCGGCGCCGCCGCUGUCGUCACCAACCACGUCGUUGUGGUCGUCGGGGCGCAGGGUGGCCCCUGCGCUCGGGAUCUCGUGGGCGAAUUGCGUGAACACGAGGAUCUUCUUGUCGAGGAGCGAGGAGGUUGUUGAGGGUUCGGGGGACGAUGGGGUUACGAUGAGGACGAGGACGAGGAGGAGGCUGCAAGUGGUGUUUGCGCCGCACUUGCCGGAGUCAUCGUGCGAGUUCGUGAUCCGGAAGGAAGGGGUCUUCGGCAUAGAACCGCACAGGUAAAGCCGCUUUCGAUUUCCCUUUCCCGAUCUCAGUUUUUGUAAUGUUUAAAUUAAUGCAAUGUUCCUUUUCCAUGAAUAUAUUGCUUUCAAUUGUGUUUGUUUUGGUGGUUGUGAAUGUGAGUAGUUUCCUCUGUUUUAGUGUGACGCAUCAAACAUGUUCGUAGAAAUGUUUCAGUGACCUAUCUUCCACUGGAUGGCCAAAUUUGAACCCAUUUUACACAUCGUAGUACCGUGCAUUUUUUAGAGUCGUAUGAAUAGGCCGGUCAUUGACAAGCUAGACAGGUGUGACUGUGAAAAGGAAAAUCACUGAUGCAUUUUAUCGAUCAGUGUGAGCUCUUAUAAGGUACAAAUCGAAGAAGUCUAGGCAAAUCAUGGUAAGGACCAGCCCUGAAACCUAGCAUGCAAUUUGAAUGUAGAGGUUUAUGUGCUUCGUUUACUUGUAAAUCCAUAAAUACUGGACUAAAAGAUGAACUCGUAAGUAAUUAGACGGGUAGGAAAUUCUUGAUUUAAGGAGCUAUAGUCAGUUAUGCGAUUAUCUUAUACUUGCUGUCCUAUUUAACUAUAUUACAUUGCUGAGCAUUUAUAAGCAGGUUAUUGUUUCUCGCGACAGCAGUGAAUGUUCUAAAGUGUUUUAGUCUUCUCAUCCCUGAUUAAAUUUCUUGAUUAGCAAGAGGAAGGUACGCCAUUGCCACUUUUUUCCAUCAUCUCUUCCGAGAGGAUAUUUCUCUUCUUGCUUUUGGUAUGCCUUUUUUUUUGUGACUUUGUGAAUCCUGUCGAAUUUGCAUCAUUAUGCUGCCAAAUUUAGUAGAUAUUGCAUAGUUCUGGAAGAAUACUAUCCGGAUAUAAAAUCAUCUUUACUCAGUGAAAUAUGUAGCCCUUUUUAAGGAUACAGGAGAUCUUUAUAAGGAGACACAUCCUAUUGCAUUCCAAGGAUUAGAAUUAUUAUCUUCUUUGGACUUGAGUAAUUAAGUUUCCCAAGCACAAGUUCCUCAAACUAAGGAUAGGAUUUGUGCAGAACUGUAACCUUGCAUUAGCUGUAUUGCUUCUUUCCUAAGGAUUGGACUUGAAUAAUUAAGUUUCAUAAGCGCAAAUACCUCAAACUAAGGACUGGAGUUAUGCAGAACUUUAACCUUGUAUUAGCUUAUAUUGUUCUUUCCUAUGUAGGCAAUUACCAGUUUGAGUGUCCUUUCCAAGUCGGCCGUUGAUAACAUUAAUUUUCACUUUUCAGUCACCCUCCUGAUUAACCUAACUACUUGUAGGUGCAUCUGGCACUAUGAAUGCAUUCCUUGGUUACCUAAUCAGGCUACUUAAGUUUCUAUUCAUCUCUCAUCUACUGCUAUUUAUUCAUUACUCAUUUCUCGAGGGCCAUUCUAUUCAGUCUUUGAAUUCUCUUUAUGAAAAAUCGGCUUUACCUUAGCAGAUACAUCGAUAAAUUUUCAAGUGAGACAUGCAAUUCUUAAGUAGCUUUGUUCCGCAUCCAUAUAUGUUACGAGUUGAUGUGUGAUUUCAUGAGUCAUCUAACCUACUGUUGAUCGGAGGUCCUUACAGCACAGUAAAAAAGUAACCACUCGCGUCUUAGAUUUAAUAACUAGAACUCUUUAUGAAAGUUAAGUGUAAUUUGAAGGCCCAGCAAGUUCUUUUACUAGCUACAAAAUGGAUGUUCAGACCUACAACUGGAGAAAGUGAUUAGCACAAGAUUAGUUUCAGAGGCUAGGUCACAAUUAGGGUUGCUAAAGGGCCUGGGCUGAACCUGCAGAGGCUAAGGAAGGGCCUACAUAGAACACUUAAUGGGCCUAGAUCAAUGAUUGUAUUAGACUACAGGCCUCAACCUGUCUCUUUUAAGACCCUUAUAUGAAUUUAUCUGUUACAAGGUAAUGUCAACUGCAACUGCUAAUUAUUCAGCGUGUAACUUUUCCUACAAAUAUAAAGUGAGCACUGCUUUAUAUAUAUGAUGUAUCUCAAGCUCUACUAGAAUAUAGAAAUAUACACAUAAUAACUAGUGGUUUGUUUUAGUGCUUUAGAGUUGGUUUCUUACGCGGUGUUGUAUUUGCAAUGUAUAAAGAUCAAAUCAAUUACUAACUAAUCGUAUAGUACUAAAUCAUCAAUAAUAUCAUCAUGAUAUGAAUACUCAGUAAUGCUACCUGCACAUCUAUAUAUAGGUGUUAAUCUUAAACCAUAGGAUUUUAUGGUUUAGAUUUAUUCAUUUGUCUUAUCAAAAAAAGAUUAACAAUGAAAACUUAAAAGAGGUUUUUGAACCCUAGAACCAUAGAGUGUAAGAUUUACAUCUUACAAUGGCAUGCACAUAAUAUUAUAUUAAGUAUAUCGCAAUGAGCCAGUUAUAAUAUAAUUUUUAUGAUUUCGCUGUAAAAUGGAGAUGCAUAUUUCUUUAUGCUUUUUAUCCUAAUUCUAUUUUGCUUAAUGACUUCAGAUAACCCCUGAUACCAAAUUGACUCUAAGAAUAGAGUAGGGAUAGGAGAAGCAUUUUGUAUACUUUUACUCCAAUUUUUUUUACCUAAUGACUUUUAGGUUAGAGAUGUAGAGAGAGAAAGAGAGAGAAAGUGCUUAGCUUAGAGAUAGAGAAGCUGAGAUUAGAGAAAGGGGGAGAAAGAGAGUAUAAUUAGAGAAAUAGAGAGAGAGAGAGAAAGGGUGAGAGAGUUAAGAUUAGUAAAAAGAGAUCAAGAGAUGGGAUUAAAGAGAGUAAGAGAGUUUAUGUUUAGAGAAAGAUGAGGUUAGAGAGUAAACGGGAAAAGUAGGUGAUGGAGUGGAGAGAGAGAAAAAUAGAGGGUGGAAUUACGAAUUUAAUGAUUAUUAUAAUUCAUUAAUAUAAAGGUACAUACCUUCUCCCAAUGGAAUAAUAUUAUUACUUUAGUGUGAAUCUCAUUUCCAAAUGAAUCUAAUAUUAUCAAUCAAAUUACUUGAUAUAUUUAGCCAAAUGUCAUCAUUUUAUUUUGUUUCUGUUAGAUUAGCGAAAAUUGUAAAAAAAUAACACAAACUAAAUACAGCUGUAGAACUAAAAUUCUCAUUUAGAAUAUUUCUUACUAUUUCUUCUAUAGAAGUUUCCAAGACCAAACUUUGCCUAGAUUAAUCUAAUUUACCCACGAUUUGUAUUUCGAAAGAUUUUGGGUGAAAUCCGAAUCCAUAUUUUGUUGGCUUAUAGAAUUUCAAUAUGGAUCCAAGAAGGACUAAUAUCAGGCUUAUGAUCGAUUCUCCAAAAAUUCAAACUAGAGUUAGGCAAAUAUGAAAGAAAAACAAAUUUUUACAUCUCAGAUGUUUGUAUCCUCAUUAUGUAUGUUAAUCCAAAAAAAAAGAAUAAUGGGUACAAAUUAUUUGAUAAUAGUCCAAUAUUAAUUAGAUAUAUUUCCAAUCCAAAUGUGUACCCUAGUAAGUCACAUGUAGUCCUAUUCAAUGAUGGUUGUCAAAUAAAUGCUCUUUAAUUAUCUCAUGAGGAGAUCAUAUAUUGUUUAUAAUAACUUCUAUUAGGAAAUUGAUUUUUCUUUUAAGGGAAAAGGGUAUUUCUAUAUUUUUCAAUUUUUUAUUCAUUUUCAUCUUUAUAUAAUAUAUAAUGAAAUAUAUUGAUCUGUAUUAUUAAUAUAUAUAAAUGUCAGUAUACAUAUAUGUAAACCACUUCAAUUAAAGGCCAUUUAUAACCUUUUUUUGUUGACAUAAAUUGUACUAUGUACAAAAGAAAAUUAGUAUUUUUUCACAUGAAAUAAUAAUUAGAGGAAUAAAAGGUUGAUAUAUUUUAUUACGUCCAAAUGUGCAAAAUUGAAAUCAUAGAUUACUUUUCUAAUUAAUACAGUGUGACUAAUUUGGUUACUCUUAUUAAAUACAUUAAAGCAACAUCAGAUUCUUAAGUCAUGCAGAUUUAAAUGGAGCAGAUUCUCCCUUACAUCCCUUAUAUAUUAUUUUUAUAUUUAAAUUUAUUUUAAUUUAGUUAUUUAAAACAUAUUCUAAAAUUAGAUAAAUUAAACAUAAAAAUAACAACAUUUAUCAAAAUAUUAUACUUAUUAAAUGGAUGAACUCCUAUACUAUAUUUUCAAAAAAGAGAACGAGCAAUUUAGGAGAAGAGUCCCUUUCCCCUCAACAACCACAUAACGUAAUAAGCUACAUAAACAUAUUAUCUUACAUUAUUAUUUUACUAUUUUUGCAGGUUCAAAUAUUAUUUUACUAUUUUUAAUAGAGCAAGUACAAUUUCAAUGAAAAUGACUAAGAGCUAAUUAAGCUUUCGCCUGAUCGAGGUGUUAGCCUCGGAUUAAAAAUGAAAGUCCACACGACUUUCUCACCAGGUGUACACUGUUCGUAUUAAGAAAAUAUUAAUUAAACUAAUUGCAAUGAGGAAUGAUUAGGCUUUGACUCAAGGGAUUAGUAGCCAAUGGUUAUACUUUGCUUCUCCUUCCCCAUCAAAAGAUGUAAGCCAUUAUUUUCACAAAUUAUUGCCUACACUUAGUACAUCCGUAUGUACAUUCGUGUCCGUUCAAUAGCUUUUGAUCGUGUAUUAUAUACAGUGCUUGAAUCUUAAAGCAGAUAAUUUAUUGCCAGUUGGACGGUCCUGUUAUGAAUAGCGUAUGAGGAGUUUUUAUGUAUAUAAUUAGAUUUAAAUAUUUCAAACCGGCGGUUUGGAUUCAGUAAGCUGUUAAUAUUAAUAGGUUAAUUCUUUACUUUUGAUAUCAGAACCACUCACAAAUCAGAGUUACUUAAGCUUAAAUAUUUUGGGCUACUGAUUUGAAUACAAUAGAUUGCUAAUUUUAGCGCGGUAAGCUGACUAUAGGAAAAAAGAUAUCUUAUUUUAAUCUCGUAUAUUGAUUAUACAGCAAAGAUUAUUUUAGUUUUUGUUUUGUACUUUAUUUCUGUUUUAAGUGGGCUUAAAAAUUUAUAAUGAUAGUUGAAUUUAAGAGAAAAGCAUUAUGAAAUGCGUUGACAUUUGAUUUUGUUAUACGUUUGUUUAGCACAAUAGUAUAAAUUGAAUGUAUUAUGUAAUAAUAAUAAAUUGUAAAUUUUGGAAGCUGCGUAAAAUGGGAUCUGUUUAUCUAGUUAUGUAUCUAUUAAUUAAUUUACAACCCGAAAAUAUGUUCAAAUAGAGAACUGAUGUAGCAUGCUAAUUAUUAAUUCCAGAAAAAAAAAAUUGCAUGUGAAUUCAAUAAUAAUUCUAAAUUUUUAGAUUUAUUUAGGAAAGUAAUUAAAACACAACCUAAAUUGUAGAUUAAUUUUUAUGUCUAACCUUUUUAAUUAGGUUUGUUAUAGAGGCAUAGCAUGUGUCUUUGAAAUUAUUAAUAAGAAAUAUGUAUAUUAAAUCAACUUAUCGUGGGAAUGUUAAUAUCAUCAUUCUCUAAUUGAGAGAACGAAUAUAAGUUACAUGCUGGAUCUUUUAACAUGACAAAUAAUUUAAUCAAUCGUUUUAUUAUUGAUCACAGCUUUAAAAGUUGUGCGUACAAUGUUUUCAUUGAGCUGGUGCAAGCAAUAAACUUUUUUCUUUCUUUCUUUCUUUCUUUCUUUUUUUCUUCCUCCAUGUGAAAGAAGAUUCCCAUUUGGGGACUACAUCUUUAGUCAACUUCAUUGAAUCAAAACACGUGAGAGGAAAAGUAAAACAGAGUAUGAGAGGUGAAAUAUUCAAAGUAAAUUAUUCAAUACUCUGCCCCACCUCAUUCCAUAUUAGGGAUAAUAUAUUUCCAAAUAGUUAUUUCUUUACCAAACCUCAUUCCAAAACCAUGGCCAUAGUAACAUACAUACCCUAAUUUUAUAUGAAGCAACUAACUGCAAUUGGAACAUUUAUAUAUUAUUUUAUCAAGGCCAACUUUAAAAAAAAAAAAAAAACCCCAAACACCCCUUGUACUUAACAAGAAAUUGUUGUCUACAUUUGGUGUAUCUAUACGUCUUGUGCAUUGCAAAUAAUAUUUGAUGAUCGGUAUCUUAAAAUUUAGAUUAGCAGGUGUAAUCCAUAAAAUGUAAAGAGUUUAUCUUGUGAUGGUAAGUUUUGAAAACCGGUUGUAUAGGCAUCAGGUAAUAGAACAGAAUAGGGGUGGCAAUCCAGCUCGCUGUUCGCGAGCCAGCUCGUGUUCGGCUCGAAAUGAGCUCGAGAUCGAAUCGCUCUUUUAGUAAACGAGCCGAACAUGAGCUGAAUUUUUCAGCUCGUUUAAUAAACGAGCCGAACACGAGCUGGGGUUAGCUCGCUCGUGUUCGGUUCGAUAACAGCUCGAAUACAUAUAUUUUAUACUUAUAUAAUUUAUUUAAUUUAUAUUUUUAUAUAUAAAUAAAUAAUUAUAUAUAAUAUAUUUUUAUUAUUUAAUUUUUAGCGAAAUAAAAAUAUAAAUGCGAGCUUAAUUAUAAAAAGACUCAUUUAUAUGUAAAAUUUUAAUUAUUAGAUCAAAAUCUAAUAGAUAAGAUUUUAUAAAUUUAUUUUUUAUAUAUAUUUAAUCUAAUCCUUUUUAAUUUAUUGUUCGUUGGCCAGCUCGUGAGCCAGCUCGUGUUCGGCUCGUUAAUAAACGAGUUGAAUACGAGCUGAAUUUUUCGGCUCGAUAUUUUAACGAGCCAACCCCAGCUCGCUCGUGUUCGGUUCAUUUACACCCCUAGAACAGAAUAGUGCUCAAGUCAUAAAAAGUUUUUUGCCUAUUUUAAUCCUUUAGAAAUGGAUUUAAAGUAAUUGAGUUUCAAACUUAAGACGUUAGGUACCCAUUAUUAAGUUUGUAGCCAAUUAUGUAAGAUGAGGUUGGUGCUCGAUUAAUAAAAAGAUGAUGUGUGAAAUUUAUGAUUCUUAACAUGUAAGGCUUAUGAAUGGCGUUGAAUACAUCCACUGAAUUAGAUUCUAAUUUUAGGUUCUCCAUAAUAGAAUUUUAGCAAUACAGUAUACGAGAGUUAGGUCCUAAUGUUGAAAUAACUUAUUCAAUGAUAACUUGCAUGAUAUGAGAAUCUUCUUUUCAAGUUUGAAAUUAGGAGUCUGAAUUUUGCUCAGUGAAAGAUUUGUUGUCCGUAAUUUAAUACAAUAGCAUAUUUUAUCUAUAAGAUAAUUUAUUUUAUUUCGAAGAAAAUAACUUACAAGCUGAAUAUCAUCUGUUAGAGAGUACAAAAUUUUUAAACAAGUUAAAAAGCUAUGCUGAACAAAAAACUUAUGUAUUCAAAUAGGGCCUAAGUGCACGUAUUAUUCUAAUAAGGAAAAACUUCAAAUAUCAUUCCUGUGGUUUCACAUUUUUUCACUUUAGUAUUUUGUGAUGUAAAGUGUAUUAAUUUAGUGCCAUGUAGUUUCAUUUUUAUCUUUUUAUUAUUAAUUUCACCAAUUUUUUUGUUAAAUCAGUGACAAAGUUAAAACUAAAUAGUACUAAAGUGAAUAUUCGAUAAACUUAGAUGGAGUAUUUGAAAUUUUUUGUAUGUAAUUUAACGAAAUCUUAACGGAAAAACUGACGAAAAGAUAAAAAUGAAAUCACAUGAUAUUAAUUUGAUACACUUUAAACCACAGGAUAAUAAAAUGAGAAAGUGGAAAACCACAGGUGUGGUAUCUGAAGUUCAUCCUUCUAAUAAUACUAAUACACUUGGUUCACGCAAUAAUUUGUUUCUUCUAACCACCGUAUGUGCUCUGCUAUGUCCUUGGUCAGAAUCCUCGUUCCACCACACGUAUAUAGACAUAUACAUGUAAACUCCUGAGUCAUGGGUUUAUUGUAACACACAACACACAUUCCUCUUCUCCAAUCCAACAUUCCAACUAUGGGGUUCAUCACCCCAAGAACAUCAUCUCCUUACACCAUAACUCUCCUCCUCAUCCCCCCAGCUUUGCUUGCCCUGACUUAUCUCAUCCCCCUCCCCGACUUCUUCGCCCCCUGCGCCGCUCCGCUGCUGUUGUCGUCGUCGUCGUCGACCCCGUCCCCUCCCCCCGACCCCGAAUUCCGCCUCCUCAUCGGCAUCCUCACCCUCCCCAACCGCUACGCCCGCCGCCACCUCCUCCGCCACGUCUACUCCCUCCAGCAACCGACGAGCCCCUCCUCCGUCGCCCGCGUCGACGUCCGCUUCGUCUUCUGCAACGUCACCGACGAGGUCGACGCCACGCUCGUCGCCCUCGAGGCCGCGCGCUACGGCGACGUCGUCGUCCUCGGCUGCGACGAGAGCAUGAACACCGGAAAGACGUACACGUUCUUCGCGAGCCUCCCCGACAUGCUCGACGGCGACGGCGGCGACGGCAGCACGACGAGUCGGCGGGCGCCGUAUGAUUACGUGAUGAAGACGGACGACGACACGUACUUCCGUCUGGACCGAUUGGUGACGUCACUGCGCGGCCAGCCGACGGAGGACUUCUACUACGGCGCCGGCCUCCCCUUCGCCGACCCCAAAUUCCCCCCCUUCAUGCUCGGCAUGGGGUGCGUAAUUUCCCAUCUUUUAAAUACUCCCAAAUUUAAAUUUAAACUUUAAAAUUUGAAUCCAAUUCACCAAUGUAUGGUCGUUGUUCCCUUUUUUUUUUUUUUUUUGUAAUCAUUUACUAAGGAGGAGGUGUUUGGUUUAUCAAAAAUACUUUGGACUUUUAACCAAAAAAAAAAAAAAAAUCGUCUAUUUCAUUCUCAGAAAAAACAGUUUUAUUCUGGAAAAAUAUUUUAUGUUUAUUUGAAUUUUCAAAAAAAUAGUUUUCUUCAAAAAAAAUUUAAGAGAUCUUAUAGAAAAGUCUCCUUUUCGUUAACGUAAAAUGAGCUAUCUAGUUAUUCUAACAUUUGACUUAAUUAACAAAUUCAACGAGUUUUUACAGUGAUUAAUUAGUACCCAAAGUAUUAUUAUUGACUUUUCCAUGAAAACUACCUAAAUUUUGCAUAAUGAUUUUGUAAUUUUACAUAUAUUAAUGUUUUAUAAAAAAAAUAAUCAAAUCAUAAAUACGUGACACCGUUGACGCGUACUUAUUUAUUAUCAAAAAAAAGUAAUAUGUUAAUGUUUUAAUAUUCAACAGGUAUAUAUUAUCGUGGGAUUUGGUGGAAUGGAUUGCCACGUCGGAUAUUCCACGUAAGAACGCGGUGGGGCCCGAGGACAUGUUAACGGGGAAAUGGUUAAAUACGGGGAAUAAGGCGAGGAAUAGGUAUAAUACGGUCCCGUAUAUGUACGAUUACAAGGGCCCUACUUCGGGGGACUUUUUGGUGGACACCAUAGCGGUGCACCAGCUCAAGGAGAAUUCGAGGUGGGCCCACACGUUGAAGCACUUUAACGUUACCAAGGGAUUAGAAAAACCCUCUAAAUUUUACCAUUUUUCUUAAUUUUUUUUUUCCCUUUUUGUGGGGGUUUUAUUUUUUGUGUUUUGGGGGGGAAUUGGUUUAAUUGUAAUAGAUUUUUUUUUUUUACAUAUAAUUUACGUGAUUUAAUUUGUUAGAAGAGGAACAAAAGUUUACAAAUUUCAGUAUUUGUUUGUGAAUUAAAGUUUGGAUUUUUUUUUUUUUUUUUUUUACUGAUGUUUACUAAAAAUUUUUAUAUUAGUAUACAAGAAGGUGAAAGCAUUUAAAGCAACUAAUUUUUUUUAGUUUUUUUUAAUCUCUUUUUUUAUGUAAUUUGUUUCGUUGUCAAUUUGAGCAAAGUUAAUUAUGGCGUUUUGAAAAGGUUGAGUUAAGAUCGAAAUUAGUUUAUAACAAAUCAAAUAGCGAAAGUAUGUAUUUACUAAAACAAAUUGGGUCAUAGGUGCUAUUGAGUCUUUUAAUUUUAGUGUUUUUUUUUUCCCUAAUUUUUUAGACUAAUUGAGGUUUCUCUUGUUAAAUAUAUCCCCAACUAAUUAAAAAUUGAUAGGAAAUAUGCUUUGAAUGCUUAGUCAUUUAUUAAAGAGUACUGAGAAAAAAAUUCUAGGCACCAAAAUGAUAUUAAUGUAUAUUUAAUCUUUUUUUCAAUACUUUAAUUACAUUGUAAUAUUUCUUAAAUUAACACUACGAUUAUAGUAAGAAGCGCACGAACAAAAUAAAUUUUAAAUUUAAGUUGCAAUGGAUGCGUAAAACAGUUUUGCCUCGUUAAGAAGGAUUUUCGAAGGGAUAAAUUUUGAUCAUGAAUAUAUAGCAUUUUAAAGGGAUAAAUUUUAACCAUAACCAGAACCCGCGAUUUAUAGCUUAAAGAUGAGACCAAUUAUUAUGUAUAAAACAUGGACUCGAAAACUCUAUCAUCAGAAAUAAUAUGAGUAUGAUAUUCAUAGAAAUAUAAUAACUUGUGUGCAAACAUAUAUACACAAGCACGCAAAAUAGGCAUACAUAAACAUGCAAACAUGCAUAAACACGCAAAAAUUACGUACAUAUUUAAUAAAAGGGAUAAUAUUUUCUUCAAAAUUUUAAAAAUAUCUAGUUUACUCGUGGUCGACUAAAAUGCCUUUGUUUAUUUAAAAAAAAUCAAAUAUACCUCUGCCCUCUAGGGUUCACUAAUAAGAUUGGGGUUUUUAGAAGGAUAUUUUAGGAAAUAUGGAGUAAAUUUAAAAAUUUUGAAUAAUAGGAAGGGAUAUAAAAGCAAAAAAUCCCAAUUUAUAUUUAUGCAUGCAAUAUAUAUAAAGAGAUUUUCAUAAUAAAUUUUUUAGAAAUAAAUAAUGAUUCUGGAUUAGUUUAUGUGAUCGAAUCAUCGAGAGAGGUCCAUUAACUCUUAUAAUUAUUUUUUGCAAAAUAAGCAUGGUGUAUAUAUAUNCAACCAGACUCUAUAUAUAUAUAUAUAUAGAGAGAGAGAGAAAGAGAGAGAGAGUUCUAUUACUAUAUAUAUUAUCGAUAGUGAUCAAACGUUUUGUGCUAUCGAAUUUUUUGUUAUUAAAUUUAUCUCUUUGACUAAUUUUAUCCAUUAUAUUAUACUAUUAAACUAACCAUUCACUCAAUUUUAGAUAAUCACUAUUAUUCUAAACGCGCAUCUUUUCAUCUAAGAAUCAAAAAUCGCUUAGUACUAUAAUAGUAUAGUAGUCUAAUUUUAUAUAUAUAUAUAAAAUUAAAAUUAAUGCUACAAAUGCUUCGUAGAACAUGCCAAGUUGCACCAUGCACGUUGAUGAAAUUAAAGAGGGGGAAUUAAUUAAUUACUAAAUAUUAUCCUAUAUAUUCUUUUUGGUAGGUAAAUAAUUUUGGUUUGUUAUAUUUCGAGAGCAUUAAAAAAGAGAACAAUUGAAAAAAAAAAAAUAAUACUGCAAAAUACAUUCUCAUAUACAUGACAUAUCUCUUACAACGUGCCAUGAAUUGCGUGCAUAAUUUGGGACCUUAUAAAAUUAAUUAAAUGAAUACAUUUUAAGUUUUAUAGAUAUAUUUAUUUUAAGCCUGAAAUAAAUCGAGUCACGCAUGUUAAAUUAGAUCUGAUUUUCUUAUGUGAUUUUGUUUUGGUUUUUGCAACUACACUAGUAAUUAACUAAUAAGUUGAGUUCGAAAUCGAAACUGAAACCAACGAAAAAUAAUAUAUAUGUGUACGUACAUGAAUUUAUAGAAUUAUAUACCAACACUUCAUCAAAAUAUACCCUAUUAUUUUGAAUUUUGUUGAUAAUUUUUUCACUAUUGUAGAGUCAUUAAGAUAAAAUUGUGUUUGGAUUUCCAUUUGAUUGGUUAAAUUAAUUAAUUUGGGAGUUAUUUUCCCAAAAAAACCAAAUAGAAUUCGUACAUUGACAUUCUUAGGUACGUAGAACCUCACAUCUCAGAUCCAUUAUUAUAUAAAUUUAAUGUCCAUGAAGAUGCAAAUUUUAUACCCUAUUAUAUUAAAUUCAAUCAUCGUGUGGAAAUAGAUAAGUUUUUUUAUUUUUUAAUUAAUUGAUCAUACUAGAGAUUAGUGGCGAUUACGUAUGGUAAAGCUCAACCAGAAAAGGACUUCAAAAAAUUAAUUUACGUGUUGAUUUACAAGAAAAUGAAAGAAACUGAUAAAACAAAUUGGUCAAGGAGUGAGCGAAAACAGGUUUUAGAUAUGAGUGAUCAUAAUGCAAGGUUUAAUUUACAAUGAGUUUAAAUGAGUGCUCAAUUAUUUAAUUUCAUACAUAGUGAAAUAAUCAGAGUCGUAUUUCAAGUAGGGAUAUAUAAUUUAUUUUUUAUUUAUAAAUACUCACUUUAAUUCUUAUCCCAUCUUACCUAAUUAAACGCUAUUUUUCUUAUUCUCAGGAAUACUCAAUUUUCAUCCAAACGCAAAAUUCAUCAAAUCCCUGCUUAUACCUCAAUUUAUACCUAUUUUCGGAAUAUCCACUUUUUGCUUAUUUCCGAACCAAACGAUACCUUAGAGAUGAGCAGGAUUUUAUCCCUACAAGUAAGGGUGUAAUGUGAGCCGUAUUGGGUCGGGCACGGUCCACAUUCAUCCGGGCCAAACCGGGCCACAGGUCAGCCCGUCCCGGCCCGGAUAAAAUUCGGCCGGGCCGUUCCGGGCUGAAUUUUAUGGAUUCCCCGCCCGACAUGGCCCUCUGGCCCCGAUGGCACAGGUCGUGCCGGACCAGACCGGGUUCCGUACCAGCCAUUUAAUUUUUUAAUAUUUUAAAAAUAUUUAAAAUAUUAAAAAAUAAAAAAGUAAAAUGGUUCUUCUUCCGGUUAAUAUGUUAAAUCAAAAAAUAAAAUUUAGUAAUUUAUAAAGUAAUAAAAUUUUUAAAUAAUUUUAAAAAGUUAUGAAACUUUGAAAUUUUUUUAAAAAAUCUUUUUCUCCAAAGGUUUCUGAACAAUAAACCUUUGGAAUAAAUGUUCAUCCCCCAAGAAGGGCCUUGGGCCGUGCCGGGCCACGGGCCAAGCUAUCGGCCCGGCAUGGCCCAGGCCCAUAGCGGGCCUAGCGGGAGCGGCCCAGCACGGUCCGGCACGGGAUCUACAUGGCUAACUCAGAAAGUCAGAAACUUUUCAAGAAUAUAUAAGUAAUUGACCCAAUAUUUGAAAUAUAUUUAGUUUUUAGAAUAAUAUUUAAUUGCUAUAUAUUUAGUAAAUUGAUCAAUCAUACUUACUAAUUUGACAUAUGAACAAAAAAAAAUGGAGUGAUAAAUUGACAAUAAUAAAUCAAAAUUGGAAUUAGGGUUUGGCUACAUUUGUGUUAAAUCCCAAGUGGUCCGGCCUAAACCGGCCCAAACCGGCCCAAGAUAUGGGCCGGGCAGAACCCUUGCAAAAUAACCUGGGCUCGACCUAGGCCCAGCAUUCUCCUGAACCAUUGAUUCUAGAUCCAAGUCUCCCUUUUUUGAACUUUUGUUUUUUGUUUUUUUUUUUAAUUUAAGGACAAACUUCAAUUUAUCCUACUGCAGUUUAACAAUUUUUUUUAUUUUGUUAUUCCGCGGUUUUAAAAGUUACACUUAACCUAUGAUUCAAAAAAUUUCACUUUAAACAAUUUCACUUUCUACCCUAUCGGCGACAUGUUUUUUUUAGUGAAACAGAAUUAAAACCCCAUUCAUAUUUUAAGAAAAGUUUCAAAUUCAAAAAGGAUAUGCAAAUUACCUGCAGGUGUUUGGGAUAAGAUAGGACACAUGAAAUGCUUCUUCUCCAUCUAGUAAUUUGAUUAGAAAUUCGAAGAAAAAGUUCACGUCUUGGGUCUAAAAAAUUUGGUUGAUUUCGUUUGGCGUAUGUAAUGUUGAUAGUAUGGUUAGAAAAAUUGAGUAAGAUCAAGGCGAUCAAACAUAGGAUCUCCUGCUUUAAUACCAGAUCAAAUUAUACUGAAAUAAUUUUUUUUUUUUCCAAACACUAAAUCUAUCAAAAAAAAUAGUAAUGUAAUUUUUUAAUAUUCAUUAAUUUUAUUUCUCAACUCAUCAUGGUCCCUAGAAGUAGAAGAAAAAUUUACAUUAAUAACAAAAAGAGAUCAUGAAUUUGAAAUAUAGGUAGCAAUUAAAUCCAACAGCUCUAUGUAUUGUAAUUAAUACCUACUCAUAUCAUGAUCAUUAAAUAUUUUUCUACGAAAAGUACAUAAAUACUUUGUACUUCAUUAAUUAUUAUUCAAUUACAAUUUACGCCAACUAUGCAAUAUAUUCAACUCUCUUAAUUAAUUCAGAAANAAAAAAAAAAAAAAAAAAAACCCAUGACUUAUUUUAGUAGUUAAUAAUUAAUUAUAUUAUUUGUACUUUGUUAACUUUUCACUUUACUCAUCUUAAUUAGGGACCCCCCCACUGUGUGUUUUCAUAUGCCUAGCCCUACAUAGAUGAUACGGAAUUAAUUGUUUAAUUUGAUAUAUUUUUAUAAAUUCAAAGUACAUUAAUUCAUCUUAUUUUUUUAAAAAAAACUAAAAACAUUAUUGUGAUAAGUGUUAAUUUUGUAGCUAAUUAAAGAGGUUUACAUGUGGUCAAUAACAAUUAUUCGCGUGCUUCGAUCAAACUGAUAUAUAAACCUUUUUUUUAUUUUUUUAAUUUAUUUUUUUGGUCAAUGAGACUAUAAUUAAUUAAACAUUUUGAUCCACAUGCACCGAUCUCUACGUCUCACGUGAAAAAAGUGGACACGGCCAAAUCCUUUUGCUUGAUCAUGAAGUCAACUCGCACGUAUUAUUAUUUUACAUCAAUUUUCGUGCUCCAUGGUUUCAUGCAAUUCUCGUCAACUCUGCAUGCGCCUCGAGAUGAGACCUAGAUUCUCGUGUCAAUCUCGAGUUACGAAAUUAUUGCGUGCACCAGGUGUAUUCUUUAAUUAUAAACACCGCAUCUUAAAAUCUGAUUAUUAUUAUUUUAAAAUCAAUAUUCAAUUUGAUAAGAGAUCAGAGAAUCAUAUCACUAUAUUUACGAGGAUGGUGCAUGGUGCACUAGAUGAAGAAAUAAUUCUUUAAAUUUUUAUUUGUAUUUUUUUCCCCCUUUUGAAUAUGAACAAGCAAUAAGUACUCCUCUAUAAGACUCAACAUCAACUUCGCCUUUUAUGCCGCUUCCUCUCACAUGCUUUGUUGGUCUUGGUUUUCCCCUCACAUGCUUUGUUAUAUUAGUUCUACUAAAUUCAUUAUAUUAUUAUUAUGUAUUAAAAAAGAAAUACUAACAUUAAUAUUGUGGUCCUUCACCACCAUAAACCAUCUCCAAAAUACUUUGCGUAAAAAGCAAACUUCUUAAAUUGAGCAUUCAAAUUUUAAUUACUAUGAUAGCAGUCCCAAGGACCAUGUAACUUUGAUAGUUUUUUUUUUUUUUUUUUUUUUCGUUUUUGGUCGGGUUUUUUUUUUUUUUUUUUUUUUUUUUUUUUUUUUUUUUUUUUUUUUUUUUUUUUUGGGGCAACUCAAUAUGCGCAAAGAAAUUUUUUACACACUAUUUGUUUGAUCAUCAAUCAUUUGGGCCUUUUUAUUUUAGAAUAAUUAAAUAGAUUUAUGCUAUGUUGCAACCAUGUAAAAAAUUUCUGCACACUAAUUAAUUUCUAGAGAUUUGAAAAUUUGUCUAUUAUAUUGCAUCAAUCUUAUCAAUAUAUAGUAAAUAUGUUAGAACUAGUCAAGGCUAUAACAAAUAAACAAAUUAUUUUAAUUAUUAAAUAAAAAAUUAAUGGCGACAAUUUCUAACAAGUGAUCAUGUAAUUCUUCGCUCUCUCCACUUUGAAUCAGAGUAGAUCAUGAUAGACCAUAAUCACGUAGUCUUGCGUCAGAAACUGUUUCCAAUAAAUUUUUAUCCCUAAUUAUUUUAAAAAAUAAUACUAUAAAUAGAAGGAAAAUUGUAAUGUAUCUUAAGCUUACAUAAAAUUAAAAUGUUGUUUAUUAACUAAAACAAAACAAGAACCCGCACCACAUAAAAAUUACUAUGACAACUUCUUAAAUUAUUACGAAUGCUAUAAUUUUACAUGCACGUGGAGAGCGUAGCAAAAUUCAAAAGGGCAAAACUAGCUCUGGUCAAUGAAUGAUCUAUGAUGUGGAAGUACAAGUCCACACCAAAUCAAAAUAAUCUCCUCUCUCAAAAGCCCCUCCUCCAUAAGUAUCUCUCCCAUAGUUACAUAGGAGUGGUGCAACUCUACCUCCAUUGGACUCAACAAGGAGCAAAGUUGCACCAAAAGUCUCAGCCAUGGUGGUGCAUAAAACCCAAGUGCUCCCUCUCUCCUCCGACGUCCCCGUCAGCGCCGCCGUGACGAAGAAGCCGCUGUCCGUGUUCCCCAAACCCUCUUUCGCCGCCGGCGUCCUCCUCCUCCUCCCCUUCUUCCUCCUCGCCUUCAUCUACCUCUUCCUCUUCCCCCAGGAGUUCCAGCUCCAGUCCUUCAUUGCCUCCUGCAACCCCAUCGCCGCCUCCUCCUACGUCGGCUCCUCCGACGCCCUGACCACUCGCGUCACUCGCGAGCCCGACUUCCGCCUCCUUAUCGGUGUCCUCACCCGCGCCGACCUCUACGAGCGGCGCCACCUCCUCCGCCUCGUCUACGCCCUCCAGAUGGCCAACCUCACCGCGCACGUCGACGUCCGCUACGUCUUCUGCCGGCUCUACAAGGACGACCAGCGCAUCCUCGUCCCUCUCGAGAUCAUGCAGUACGUACUGUUAAAAUAGCCAGCCGAAGUCCUGUCGGGAUGCAUAAAUAUCUUGUUCGGUAUAUAUUUAGAGCGUGGUCAAAUACAUAGAAUGAAAUGAUAUGUAUAUUCAGCCUUUUAACUCAUUUUUUUAAAAAAUAAAUCACUUUAUAGAUGAAAUAUGCUAUAUAUAUCUUACUAAAAAGUCUUCGGAUAACUUAAUUUUGACAUCCAAAUAAUUCUAUAACUUUGUAUUCAAAAGGCACGACGACAUCAUUAUCCUCGACUGCGAGGAGAACCUCAACGACGGGAAGACCUACACCUACUUCUCGAGCAUCGCGAAGCUCUACGGCGGCGGCAGCGGGGCCGAGGGCGGCCGACGGCCGCCGUACGACUACGUCAUGAAGGCGGACGACGACCUAUUCGUGCGGCUCCUGACGCUGAUCGAGUCGCUGCGGCCGAUGCCGCGGGACGACAUGUACUACGGCGCCGUGAUCCCCUGCGAUAGCAUGGACCCGUUCCGAGACUACAUGUCGGGGAUGGGGUACAUCCUGUCGUGGGACCUGGUGGAGUGGAUCGGGUCAUCGGAGGCGGUGCGGAACAAGUCGGCGGGCGUCGAGGACAUGCUCACCGGAGAGUGGCUGCGCACGGCGGGGAAGGGGAAGAACCGGUUCAACGCGAAGCCGGCCAUGUACGACUUCCCUAUACCAGUGCCGAUCGACGCGUGCUCGCACGGCUUCGUCCCCGACACCGUCGCCGUCCACCGGCUCAAGGACAACCCCAAAUGGGCCACCACCUUGAAGUACUUCAACUUCACCCAGGGUUUGAAACCAUCCAAGUUUUAUCGUAUAGAUUAAUUGAACGUUUUUUUCUCUUAAUUUCUAAGGAGUUUGUAGUUUGUAACUUGUAUACGUACGUUACUUGGACAGAUAAUGUGGACACACAAUGCUAGCGCCACUUUGUUGAGUAGCUUCUAAAAUUUAAUUUUAAUUUAAGAAUUUUUUAUUUAAAUUUUAAUACUGUAUUAAUUAAACAGUGAAUUUAGAUAGAGUCCAGUGAAGGGGAAAAAAAAAACAAAAAAGAGUUCGCAUAUGGCGUAUAUAUCAAAUGUUUCAAACAAAAUAUGAAGGAGCUCCUCAAUGAAGUCACUCAUAAAAUGCAUAAAUUAUACUUCAAUUUAUUUAUUCAUAAACAUUGACCUUGCUUAACUCCUAUAUAAUAAAUAAUAUGAUAAGACGAGAGGUCGUUAAUAUAGAAAGAGGUUUUAAAAACUCAGAGGCCUCAAUAGAUCUGUUUAAAUGCAAUUAUAUUUCAUUUUGGAGCAGUCCCUUAUGUCAGAUAUUAAUCAUGAAUAUAAAAAAAUAUGUAUUAGUCUAGACCGGGGAUACCUAUACUCUUAUAAGUAUGACCCUUUUAUAAUCAUAAAUUUUCGGCUAUUGGAUAAAGAGAUAUGCGAUUAGGAUAAUAAUGGUCUCAGUUAAGAUGAUUAUGUUCUCCUAGGAGCUGUUUGGCUCGGGUAUAAAAGAGGAAAUAAAGAGAAUAUUCCCUCUUUAUACCCAAAUAAAAAAAGAGGGGGGUGGGAAUUAUUGUUCCCAUCUUACCGGGGUAAGGUGGGAACAAUAGUUCCCACCCGGUUGGAAACAAGCUUGUUCCCACCCACGAGAGAGAGAGAUAUUGAUUCUGAUUUUAAAUUUAAAUUUUUAAAAUUUAUAAUUUAAAAUUAUAAAUUUUAAAAUUUAAAUUUUAAAUUUGAUAUUUUUAAAUUUAAAUUUUAAAUUUGAUAUUUUUAAUUUUUAAAUUUAAAAUUUGCUAUUAUAUUUUUUUGAAAUUUAAAUUUGGUCUUAAAUUUAAAAUAUGAUAUUUAAAAUUAUAAUUUUAAAUUUUAAUUUUAAAUUUUAAAAUUUAAAAGUUAAAAUUUUUAAUUUUCAAUUUAAAAUUAUAAGUUUAAAAUUUAAAAAUUUAAAUUUAAUUAUAGGGAUAAUAUUAUUAUUAUCUAUUUAUAACUGAUAACUAUUCCUCUUAUUCUCAAUAACCAUCUAAACGCAAUUUUUUUAGUUCCAACUUAUACUCAUAUUUACAUCCAAACAAAAAAAUAUUCUUGUUCUUAUAAAAAUUCAUAUUUGUAUCUAUUCCUGGUAUAACUAGUUCCUACUAAUUCCGGAACCAAAUCUCUUUAUACUUAAGUUUUCGACCGUUAGAUCUAUGUUUUUGAACAAUUUCACCUGUUAGAUUAUACUAUUCAACCAACCAUUCAUUCAACCCUAGAUAAGAGUAUAGUAGCCGGACUCAUUAAUCUAAUUAACUAGUUAGGGAGGUAAUUAUUAUUAUCUUUAGACUAAAAAUUUUCAACAUAAAAUUAAUUGUACUUCUUGUAUCUUAUUUUCAGUGGUUUAAAAAGAUUUAAACUGAACCGACUGAAUAAUCUCGCUACAGUGAUGCUUUAAAUCCGGUUCGGCUCGGUUUAAUAAAAAAAAAAUAUACGAAAAAUCGCACCGAACCGGCCUAUGUUAACGGGCCGGGCUCAGCCCCGAACUCUAAACCUCCGAGCCCAACUCAGGCCCGGGCUUAAAUCCUUUUGCUCCCUCUCCCCGACCCCACCUUCUCCCUCUUCUCGCCGGCGCCGGCGACGCGGUGCCACCGCGACGGCGGCGGCGCCGCCGUGCUCCGCCGCCUCGGUAUCUUCCUCGGCCUCUCCUUUCAUUCGUCGGAGUUCCUCCCAUUAACAAUGUAUGGAUGGAAACGAAACCCUAACGAUCUCAAUCGCUUACACUGGUGCAUUUUGAUCCCUUUUUUGUGAACUGUUCCUUUGAUUUGAUAUCUCUGCUGAGUAGCAAUAGUUGAUGAAUUAUCGAGUGAAUUGUGCAGAUUAAUCGAUCCUCAUUUGAUAAUGAGUUCUUCAGAUUGGGAUAGUUUAGGAAAAUAUGUGCAAAAUGAUGUAUUUUACAUUGUUCUAGAUUAGGUUGAUACCUUAACAAUAUUAAACAUACCAAAUUUGUUCUUGAAUCUUAGGGUAUGCUCAUACCAAGUAGGGUUUAAUCCUGCGUCUAGCUUGAGAAUGAUUCAACUGUAGAUAAGUAAACUAGAAUACAGAUCAAGCUCAAAUUCUGUUUAAUUUUAGCCUGAGUAUAUGGUUCAUUGCUUAAUUCAAGCAAAUAUAACUCUUGUGAUGUCGUGUUUAGACUUGCACUGGCAUAUAUUUUUGCCCUUUGAUCUAUGUCAUGAAUAUGUUUUGGUGAUAUAGAUUUGAGUUUGAUCCAGUUAGAGUUUGUCUCAAGUUGCAGCUCGGAACAAAUCUCAAUCAUAAAUAGAAAGAUUGGGACUGGUUGUUUGUUUUUGAACCCGGGAUUUAGCCGGCACAAGUCAUUCAUGAUUCACUUGAACUGUUUGGCAUAUGCAGGAACUGGACAUAGAAAUUUAGAUGUUUCUUAAGUAGUCUUUCAUUACUAUUAUUUAUUUAUUUGUUAUUAUUUGAGACUUGAGUAAUUAUUUAGAUACUUGAAAUUUAGGAUCAUAUAAUGAACUUUAGGAUCACUGAUAACUACAUUACUGGGCUUGGCUUCAAAGAGAAAACUACGAUAACUUAUCGUCCACCGGUGUCUCUCGAACAAUCAACAAAGCCACUGACUCAGACUCCUCUCUUCCUGCUUGGAAAUUGGGGUCUUUCGGAGAUACAAUUAAGUCAUUAUCUUGCAACCCUCUAUUAGAAACCAAUAUAAUCAAAUUUUUUAUUUUUUAAGAUGUUUAUAGAUCACACAUACACACUCUUUUUCACAUGUGUAUAAUUCGAAUUCUAGAUCUACAUAUGAGAAAGCGGAUACAUAUCACCUACUCUAAAAUGUGGCUUUUUGUAUUAUAUUAGUCAUUAGAGGAGAGUCUCUACCUUGCUGGAACUAGUCCAACAACAUUAGUGUUACAAGAGUACUGUUUGAUUGGAUAUGCAUUUGUGGGCAUUCAAGUGUGUCACUGUGUAUGUCUUGCGUGCUUAUCACUCUGCUUGUACUCCCUACAACAUGCUCUCCAGUUCAGCUACAAGGACCAAAACAAAGGCGCCUCCAUUUUCAACCCACUUGCAUUGAGAUUGGUGCUGCACGGGGCAGGCUGUGUCUGUGUUUGUUUGAAGUUGGUACUAUCCGAUUAGAUUGAUUGAAGCUUUAUGGCGAACUCUAAUAAGGUGAAGUUGAUUAGUCAAUUUUCGCCUCCUGCGUAUAAUAGUAGCUAGUUCGACAACCUUUUAGGCUUCAAGUUCAUCUCGAAUGCUAUGUCUAAUUUGAAUCUAACAAUUCAAUUGCGCCUGAUUUACAAUUUAAGUAAUGAACUUGAUAUAAUGCUUCACGGAAUAGAAGGUCUCUUAGCUUUUCUUCUUAUAUAUGUUUACGAGUUAGUAUUUGAAACACUCGGUAGUUGUGAUUUAAAAUUCUCUAACAUGUACACCGCUAAUUCAUCAGUAACAUUUCGAGAAAGUUUAAGAAAAUGUAGUGGUAUUUGUGACGAUAUUUAUGUUCAAAUUUUGACUUAUAAGUUCUACUUUGAAUAUAUUUUUGUUAUAUUAGUACCAGCAUUGAAACCCUAUGCCUCAUCCCAUGUGCUAGGGAACACUACUAACCUAUCCAGGUGGGGCAUUGGGCACUAGGCAAUCCAGUACAGGGUGGAGAAAGAACCAAAAGAUAAGAUUAAGAAAGAGAGUGGGGGGAAGAGUGAGGGAAUAUAUGCCUUCGAUCUCAGUAGCACCAGGUCCACAUGUGAGAGUCCUUUUAUAUUUUAUUCAUUUAUUGAUCACUGUAGUUGUUUUAGAAACCUUAUGAACCUUUGGAUUCUACUGCCCCAUCAGACCUUUUCACCCUCUGCUCCCUCUGAUUCGAUUCUCUGUAUAGAGACCAAUUAAAUACGGGCUCUAUAGUACGUUACACUCUAGAGAAAAUGUUAUAUAUGUUCUUUGUUUAAUCCAUCCUAUGACCUCGUUGGAUUGAUCUCUUUUGAGUAGUUAAAUACAUGGUCCAAUAGGUGGCAAGAGAUUGUAUAAAAUUUUGUAAUAAGGGAAUAGGGGAUAGGGAUUUGCAUCACUAAUCGAGGGGGUUUAGACCAAUUAUGAGCCUCUUGUUUGCUGCUUCUUUGUUUCUGCAGGUUCUCCAAGGAUGUUGGGAAGUGGGUCAAAGCUGGUUCUUUGCUGAAAUUAAUGGUUGUGGAGGUUUCUCCAAUGCUUCAGUUUUUUUUUUUUUUUUUUUUUUACCCAGGAGAUCGAGAUCAUUUGGCAACAUAGUAUUACUAUUGCAGAUUUAAUCUAUUUUAGAGUAAACUUUUAUUAGAAUUUAAUUUAUAAAAUGUUAGAGGUGAGGAUUGAGUUCACCAUGAUGCGGAAGUGGAGGAGUUUAAAUUUCAUUCUAGGGUUAAUUUCUUCAAUGCACUCCUCAAAAGUGAUAAUUUCAUGAAUAUCCCUUCAAAGGGUAAAAUAUUAUUGGUGCUCUUUUAUAUAUAAAGGAAAAACUUCAAAAACGCCUCAUGUGGUUUUGUACUUUUUUAUUGUAAUACCCUGUGAUUUAAAGUGUAUUAAGUUAGUAACCUGUGGUUUCUCACUUUAUCACUUUAGUACCCUGUGGUUUAAAGUGUAUCAAAUUAGUACUUUAUGAUUUAUUUUUGUAUCAACUUAGUACCCUGUGGUUUUAUUUUUGUAUCAAGUUAGUAUCCCGUGGUUUAAAAACCACAGGGUACUAAAAUAAUAAAGUGCGAAACCACAUGAUACUAAAGUGAUAAAGUGCGAAACCAUAUGGUAUUAACUUGAUACACUUUAAACCACAGGGUACUAAAGUGAUAAAGUGCAAAACCACAUAGUACUAACUUGAUACAUUUUAAACCACAGGGUACUAAAGUGAGAAAAAGUGAAACCACAAUGGGGGUAUUUGAAGUUUUCCCAUAUAUAAAAGAGUUUAGGGUUUAGAGGAAGGGCCUAGGGUUUAGUGGAGUAUUUGUGAUAGAUUUAUAUAUUUAGAAGAGUAUUUAUAAUAGAUUUAUGUGUUUAGAGGAGUAUCAAUGAUUUAGAUUUUGAAACAGCAUUUAUAAUAUUUUUUGGAGUUUUAGAGAGCUAUGUUUGAAACUGUCUCUUCAUUCUAAUAAUAUAAUAUAUCAAGUCACUCAAAAGUACAAUCUUUUUUGUAACAAUUUUGCAUGUUGCUAUGAUAGAUUGCUUAUAAAUUGAUAAAUAUAUGUGGCAUCUUUGAAGCAUUUAUAUAAGUAAUCGAAAGCCUCUACAGGAUUUGUAGAGACAUAUUAAUAAUCUGUAAGGAUAAUAUUUUAGAGUACAUAAGCAAACUAAUAGUUUAUCUGCCUCUGAGGAGUAGAAGAGGGUCAAAUGCAUGGUCGAAUGUAGUUCUUUUUAACAGGAUAUGAAUAAAUUGUUUUGUGAUAUGUGCAAGUUAAUUAUACAACUUCAAAUUUUAUUCAUGUGAACUUUUGUAUAAAUGGGCAUACAGUAAGUAUUACUCAACCUAAACACAAGUGCCCUUUUCUCUCUCUCUCUCUCUCUCUCUCUCUCUCUCUCUCUCUCUCUCAAUGCCUGUGCCAAUAUAUUGUAUUAGAAUUUUUCUUGGGUUAACCACAUAUAUAUCCUUGUUUUAAUAGGUCUUAAAUUUCUCAACCACCCUUCUUUUAGUCCCAGAAGCCACUUCUCUUUCACCCUCUCUCUCUCUCUCUCUCUCUCUCUCUCUCUCUAGGUUCCUUGUAGACCAAGGCUUGCUUGUAUUGUUUGGCUAUGAUGAUCUCAGCACAUCAGAUUGAUUUGAAAGGCCCAAGUUGCUAACAGCUAAGAUCAUUAUUCAUAUGAACUUGGUGAAUUAUGAUGAACCUGAAAAGAGUAAAAUGGAUUGGAGAUUUCCACAACACAAAAGUGGGCUUCUCCAUAUUAUAGUCAUAUUACUAUAAACUGCUUAGUUUUAGAGUAUCUUUCGUCUUGUGGCAGAGAUCUUAGCCUUCUCAGCUGAAUCUAUGGGGUCCCAUUUGUGCAAUGUGGUUUUUUAGACCAAAUUCUCUGUGGUGCUCUGUUUCCAAACAUAAUGACAACAUAUGAGGAAUUUGCUUUUAAUGAAUACAAUUAAUAAUUAACAACUCUUCAUUAUUUUACAUUCAUAUCCUUAUUCCUGCAAAGUAAUCUACUAAAAUGAGGGGUAAAAUUAGAGAGUAAUAUGUCAGUAGAUAAUUGGAGUAAUAGAGUAUGUUAGAGAAGGAAAGGACUGGGGGAAGUUUUUGGAAAGUGCAUUAAUGUUGGGGAUUUACACAUAAUCUCUUGCAAAUCUUUGAGUAUUAAUUGUUUCCAAAACCCUCCGUAUAAGAUAAGACCCACUAUAAAAUGUUGGGAGGGAGAAAGAUUUAAACAUGAUCUCUAGUAGAUCUUUGUGUAUCAAUUGUUUCCAAGGCCAAAUUGCAUGUAUAAAAAUCUCUCCGAUAUCUAUCUACAUGUCAGGUAAAAAUCAUGCACCAGGUGUGUACCAUGUAGGCCAUGCACGACCCAACGUAUUUCAUAUGCGCCAAUCCACGUUGGAUGAUGUGUUUUAGUCAUUUUCUUGCUUUAGAAUUACUUUUAAUUAAUUUUAAGAUUGAGUUGAAAGUAUAAAAGCUUUUUUUAUUUUACUUUUGUUUCUAUUUCCAACAAUUGUUACCUUAUUAUAAUGUUUGGUAGUCAAUAAAAGUCACAUAAAUCUUACUAUACUUGAAAACAAAAAAUUAGAGCUUUCUUUUUUCUUUUUUUUUUUUUUUUUGCGCAUAAGAGUUGUCGCAAUGUUUCUUCUAAUAAUUUUGUUUUGUUAAGCGUGAUGCACCAAGUGCAUCAAAUGAUGCUUGGAAGGAGAGUAGGGAGGGUUAGGACAAAGAACGAUUUUUCUCCUCCCUUUUUUUUUNUUUUGACAAAGAAUCCACAAGGGCGUGUAGGAAACUGGGAGGCGCUUCAAGGCUCAAGCUACAGGGUACAGCACCUGCUCUGCAUGCUUCUAUAUAUAUAUAUAUAUAUAUAUAUAUAUAUAUAUAUAUAUAUAGAUAUUCCCCUGCCUCCUUUCAUUGUCUCUAACGUUUCUUCUUUGCAGUCCCCACAUGCAUACAUCCCCAUCGCCACCCUCUACAUCUUAAUUUCUUAAACCCCCCUCCAUUUUUCUACAAACCAAAGUUUUUUUUUUUUGAAAAAAGUAAGAAUCACAUCCUUAUUUACCUACAGGUAUGCCAUCUUACUAAAUCUUUUCUGUCUCUCUCUUCUUUUUUUUUGUUUUUCAAAAAGACAGAUUCGAGAGUAACCCUAAACAGAGAGAGGCCCGCUAUAAAUACCCUCCCCACCUUCUUGUAGGGAGCAUAACAUGCAAUAGAAAACAGAGUCUUUCUUUCUUUCUCUUUUUCCACUACUCUGUUUUUUCAGUUAAAAACAGAGUUUUCUUUUUCUCUCGGCUUCUUUUGCGAUACUUCCUCCUGUUUACAGCAGCAGGAUGAAGGAGUAUUGGUGGACUUCGUUGGCGUCCCUGCUGGGCGCCCUGGCCUUCGUGCAGAGCCUCCUCCACGCCGUCUUCCCCGCGGAGCUGCGCGUCGCCUUCGCCACGCUCCUCCGCCGCCUCUCCGGCGCCUUCUCCCCCUACUGCUACUUCGAAAUCCCCGAGAUCGACGGCGUCAACACCAACGAAUUAUACAAUGCCGUGCACCUCUACCUGAGCCGCGCCGCCGCCGCCUGUGCCGCGGGCUGAACUCGUCGGCGCUGACGUUCGGGCUGUCGAGCAGCGACCGCGUGGCGGACGCGUUCCGCGGCGCGGGGGCGGCGUGGGAGCACGUGGCGACCCCGCGCGCGGCGGCGGGGUUCUCGUGGCGCCCCUUCCCGGAGGAGCGGCGCGCCUUCACGCUCCGCAUCCGGCGCCGCGACGCGCCGCUGCUCGUCCCCUCCUACCUCGACCACAUCAUGGACAGCGCCGCCGACAUCCGGCGCCGGAGCCAGGAGCGCCUCCUCUACACCAACGCCCGCGGCGGCGCCGGCGCCGUCGUGGUCGGCGCCGUGGACGCGGCCCACCGCGGCGGGCACCCCUGGGAGCCGGUCCCCUUCAAGCACCCGAGCACCUUCGACACCCUCGCCCUCGACCCCCGCCGCAAGGCCGAGAUCAUGGCCGACCUCCGCGACUUCGCCGAGGGCCGCGACUUCUACAGCAAGACCGGGCGCGCCUGGAAGCGCGGGUACCUCCUCUACGGCCCCCCCGGCACCGGCAAGUCCAGCAUGAUCGCCGCCAUGGCCAAUUUCCUCCGCUACGACGUCUACGACCUCGAGCUCGCUGAGGUCCACACCAACUCCGAGCUCCGCAAGCUCCUCAUGAAGACCACCUCCAAGUCCAUCAUCGUCAUCGAGGACAUCGACUGCUCCGUCAACCUCGCCAACCGCGGGACGGCCAAGCGCCCGCCGGCCGCCGCCGACCCCGCGGCCGACAUGAUCGGCGGGGACGACGCGCGGACGGUGACGCUGUCGGGGCUGCUGAACUUCACCGACGGCCUCUGGUCGUGCUGCGGGAGCGAGCGGAUCUUCGUGUUCACCACCAACCACGUCGAGAAGCUCGACCCCGCGCUGCUGCGGUCGGGGAGGAUGGACGUGCACGUGUUCAUGAGCUACUGCACCUUCCCGGCCCUGCGAAUUCUCAUGAAGAAUUACUUGGGGAUCGACGACGCGGGCGCGGGCGAAGAGAAGGAUGGGCUGUGGAGGGAAUUGGAGGAGGCGGUCGGCGAGGCGGAGAUGACGCCGGCCGACGUGAGCGAGGUGCUGAUCAAGGGUCGACGAAUGUGGGGGUGCGGCGGAGUUGAGGAAGAAGAGGAUGAUGGAAGGGACCGAGGAGGAAGAGGAAGAGGAGGAGGAGGAGGAGCAGGAGAAGCGGGCAUUGGAGAGCCCGAAGGAAGGAGGAGGAGGAGGAGGAGGAGGAGGAGCCAUGGGUGAUGAAGCUAAUGAAAAGGAGGAGAAGGGUGGGGAGUAAACUGUUGAGAGGGUUGGGACUUGGGAGGGAACUUUAGGAGCUUUGAAUUUUUCUUUUUCUUUUUCUUUUUCUUUUUCUUUUUUUUCCUUUGCUUGAGUUUGUUGUCCUUCUCUCUUUCUCUGAAAGAAGAUUAAAAAAAAAAAAAAGGAAAAAAGAAAAAUAUGCGCAAGGGUCCUCUGGUGUUUCUUUCGCAUUUGUUGAGUGUCCCGAGUUAUACAUCUUGUUGUUGAUCUGGGUCAUACAUACGCUGCACUGUUGUUCCCUGGUUCUUUAGAGGAGGUUUUUAUUAGUGUCUGUUUGGUUCGGCAUUUCGCGCAUUGCAACUCUUGCCGCAAAUUGUAUCUGUUGCAGCUCACUCCGCUUCGCACCGCUGGGCUAAACAGAGUCUUAGUUUUAUUCGAUCUCGAUUACUUACAUAACAUAUCUACAUAAUUGGCAUAUAAUGAAUUGACAAAAUGGCUACUUUGCGCGCACUCUCUACUCACAAAAAUAUCCUUGGUGCAAUUUACACUCUUGAUUUGCAAACACUAUCAUCUUCAGAUGGUGUGAAAUUCGCAGAUAAGAGGUCUAAAUCAUACGAAAGUGUUUUAUUCAUUCUUAUGGUUAUGCAAUAUUAUGUGAUCUUAAUUAGCUUAUACAAAGAGAGAGAAUGUAAAGUUUGAUAGGAGACACUAAUAGAAAAGGUAAAAAUAGAAAAUAAGAUAGAAAUUUAUGUCAUAAAAUGAAGAAUUCGAAAAUUUAAAUCUAGAAACUCUUGGAGCAGAGAGAGUUUUGAACUGACUUUGGCCAUUCUACAUAGUCUAUGAAUAAGAUCAAUCUGAUAGUUCUUUGAUCUCCAAUCGGAUUAACGCGUUUGUAAUUUGGAUUAAAGCGUAUGAAAUCGCUAAUUAGUCUUAAAAAAUGGCCCCUGUGAGUACUUUUAGGUAUGUGAAAAAUUUGUUCCUUUCAAGCUUAACUAUGCGAGGAUAUAUAGCAUAGGGAAAAGGCCUAGAGAUCGAUCCAUCUUAUUUUUCCACAAAAGGUGACACGUUACCUGGGGGGAUUAUUGAUCAAUGUCUCACCCCAUAUUGCAAAAGAAUCACUAAUCUUUUUUAAGUCGAAAGUUGAUGUGUCCUAUGCAUUUAUUAACCUCACACUAAGAUUGGUCAAAGAUGUGAAUGUUGGUUAAGAUUCUUCUGUUUGAAGUUUAUUUAGCCCAGUAUUUUAUAGUUUGUUGCCAAGGAUGUUUUUUGCAGCUUUUUUGUGUUUUAUUAAUGGAGAGUGUCAAUGGUUGGUGUAUCUGGUUCUUUUCAUUUUUAGUACAUGCAUGAAGAUCCCUAAAAUAAAUAAAUAAAUAAAUAAAUAAUUCUCUUUCCAUUUUUUGGUGGAUUUGAAAUUUGGUUUGUGGUAACUGCACUAAUUUUUAUCCUCUACACCCUCUUUGGCUGGGGAACACAAGGGGGGAUAAGGAUAAGGGGUUAUCCCCCACUUGUUCCCCAACCACCCCUAAUUUUAUUUUUAAAAUUUAAAAUUUAAAAAAUUAAAUUAGAAUUUCAAAUUUUUAAAAUUUAUAAUUUGUAAUCACAAAAUUAAAGUUUAUAACUCCAAAUUCUAAAUUUUAAAUUUUACAUUUGAUAUUUUAAAUUUUUCAAAUUUAAAUUUGAUCUUAAAUUUAUAAUUUGAGAUUUAAAAUUUUAAAUUUUAAAAUUUUUAAUUUUCAAUUUUAAAUUUUAAAUUUAGUUUUUAGAUUGUGAAAUUUAAAAGUCAAAAUUUUAAAAUUUUAAAAUAUAAAUAUAAAAUUUAAAAAUUCAAAUUAAAAUAUAAUGAUAGCGGCAAUAUCAUUAUUUUCUAUGUAUAACUACCCACUAUUUUUCUUAUUUCAUCUUAUACUUCCAACUGCUAUUUUUUCUUAAUCCUAAGAACAACCUAAUUUUCGUUAAAAUAUAAAAUUGGUUUAGUUCUUGCUUAUAGCUGAACUUGUAUCAAUCCCUGUAAUAUACAGUUCUUACUUAUACCCGAACCAAACGAAGCCUUAAUAAUAUGCUUAACUCGUAGGGGCGAGUGGUCCAAUUUUUAAACCAUAAACAUCUUUUUCGCUUUUGCAUAUAAUAAAGGUUAAAACAAACAUAAUUUAUUUAAAUUAUGAACCAUCUUGAGUCGACCACCUAACCUUUCAAGAUUUUGAUUCCAUUAACUAACCUUUUAACAAAUUAAAUUUGAAUCAAUUUUUACUGCAUUUUGACUUCACAAUUGAAUGCGUCGUUUAUCUUUACAAUUUUAGCUAAUAUAUUUCAAACAAUUUUUAAACCAUAAAUUUAUUAAAUUAAAUAGAUUAAAAUAUUGAAUAAUAAAUUAAAAUUUCGAAACAUGGGAUAAUUAACUCAAAAUAAUCUAUAUAUUUUGUGACAUUGAGAGUUUGGUGAGCAUACUUAGUAUGAUAUUUACACAAAUGUGGAGCAAUGAUUGGUUUCGUAGACGACGGUUGUGGGUGGGAGUUAAAGGAGGAUUGCGGAAGGCUGCAGGUUCCCAGCCACCAGCAAAAGUGGGGCGGACAGCUUAGAUAUGGUUUUGAUGGUUUCAAAGGACUGAUUGAUGAUGGAAUAUAAUUUUUCUGAUCAGGCAGAGCCAGACUCUGCAGAAUCCCUGCUAAACCAAGACAAACUGGUCCUUGAUACUUUAUUCUCUCUCUCUCUUUCUCAUACACACACCAUGACAAGUGAUUCGAAAUAACAACACGUCGCGCAGAUCGCACUUAUUUGGACCGGAAGAUCGAUCUUUUUAGCUUCUGGCUCGGGUAUGAUAUUACAAAAAUAGUACGGUGCGCACUACAACAGAAUUAGGUUAUAGAGAUACAUGUUUGGGACACUUUUAAGUAAGUGUCCCAUUUAUGCUAAAACUUGAAAAAACAUCUAUUUAUGCCUAAAUAUAAAGUUCAAUCCAAUCAGAAAUAAAAGAUUACUCUACUCAACCCACCACACCCAGUCCAUUGUACCCGAUUACAAACAGAAAAGAAAAAAAAGAAAAAUCAAUUACCAUCUUUUCUUCUCUCUUCACUCAAUCCACUGAAAUUCUAGACGAAGAGCUUUUCCUGUCGUCCUCCUCCGCCACCGCAGCCAACGAGAUAAAGUUUCGGCGGUUGCUAAAUACUUAAAUAAGUGUUGGUAAAUUAGCAGCACUCUUUUAGAUUAUAGCGACACACUUUAACUGUUACUAUAUACCUAGCGACCCCACAUAUAGCAACACUUUUUAAAAGUGUCAGUAAUUUUAGCUAGCAGCACUUUUUUGACAUAUACCUAUAUUUAAAAGUGUCGCUAUAGACCGCUUUUGUUGUAGUGGCGUUGCAUCUGAAUGUGCAAUAAUGAGAGUAGUUCUAUUUGCUUUUGUUUGUGAUCGCACAGCGGUGAAAUAUCAUGAGUUUUACAGUUCUUCUGAUAAAAGCUAAAUUUAUCCAUUUCCAUCUUAAGUACUUUUGCUUAUCCAAUAUUAUUAGAUCAUUUUGAUACCAAACGGUCCCGAGUUUCAUUUUAGCCUUCGAAUUUUUAAUAAGCGUGUUAGUUGUACUCAGAAUAACUAUGCGGACAAAUAUGUUAGUUGUACUCGAAAUUUUGAAUCUUAAAGAAAAAAUUUGUUAGCUGUAUUCACUAUAAUGAGCCUUUUCAUGAGGAAAAAAAAAAAAAAAAAAAAACAGAGAGAAAAAAAAUAUGCAUGGAUAUGCAGAUGAAUAUUUCUGGGUACGGACGAAAGUGAAAUACUUUAAAAAAUUUAAGAUAUUUAGUUGUAAAAUUAUAAUGGACAAAAAGUUAGGAUCUAACAAGCAAAUUUUACCUUGCUGGAAAAAUAGCUAGUACGUUCAGCAGCCUCUUUUUUUUUUUUUUUUCUUUUUUUUUUGAGAGAUAGAUAGCACAUUACCCGCUUCGUUUAUUUCAUUUAGAAUUUAGAAAUAAACUUAGCUGGAUAUGUGAAUCAACUAGGAUUCAAACUUGAGACCUCGGAUACCAAUCGUUAAAUUUUUUGCCACUUGCUCCAGGGACAGUCAGUCAGCAGCCAAAUUAUUAGACUGACAAAACGGCUACUGCUUCUCUGAACAGCAAAUUAAUCACACACCACCGUCUCUCAAAGUGGACACCCAUCACAAUGAUUCAAGUGAAACCUAUCAUUUCCCUUUUCACAAAGCUUUUGAUUAAGAGGUUGAGCGGAUCUUGAGCUGUAAUCAAUUUGCCCCCCAGGCCCAUAUCCAGCCUGUUAGUGUAGGGGCCCAAUUUUCUCACCCAAAAAGCGCGGCUUUGACGAGAAGCGCCUCUCAACUAGAUCUCAUUGAGACAGUCCGGCGAGCCGUAUGAUACAGUGCAUAUUUUUUGCGUAAAUAAUAGAAUUAAAAUUCCACAUUUUAAUCGAUCGUUCCUAAAGCAAGUGGCAAAGGACUUGAUGGUUGGUACUCGAGACUCAAGUUCGAAUCCUAAUUGAUUCCCAUUUCUUACUAAGUUUAUUGCUAAAUGACAUAAAACGAUGCGGGUAGCGUGCUACCUAUCUCUCAAAAAAAAAAAAAAACUAGCGCAAGUUGCAAAGGGCUUAGUGAUUGGUAUCCAAGGUCCCCAAGUUCGAAUCUUAGUUAAUUCACAUUUUUAGCUAAGUUUAUUUUUAAAUGAAAUAAAUGAAGCAGGUAGUCUUUUACCUAUCUCUCUCAAAAAAAAAAAAAAAUUCCACAUUUAAGAAUGAGACGCUUCUCAUUCGAGUUUUUUUUUUUUCUUCCCUCCUGAACAGGGGCCAAACAAAAGCAAGCAAAACGGAGAAAAUACUAAUCAUUUGGUUCUAUAUAUCCUAUUUAUUACGACGCGACUAUAAGCCCAGCAUGUCCGUGUCGGACACGUGCUUGUCCGUAUAGAACUCGUGUCUGAUGCGGGCGCCCCAUAAUUAAGCACGUGUUCAUAUAUGGUGCAUCCCAUUAAUUUUUUUUAAAUUUAUUUUGUUAUCCGUAUAUAAUAUAAGAUGAUACAUAUUUUGAUUUUGUGAUGAAUGCAUAUAAAUUUUUUUUAGACAAUAUAAAAAAUUAUAUAAAGUGGGGAAUUUUUUUUCUUAAAAUAUACGAGAAAUAUAGCAAUAUUUUACAAAAUUAACAUUUUAUAUAUAACAAAUAUAUAUUAUUGAGUUGGGCUAGAAUAUUGAUAGCAAAAGGCCUUUUUUGCUAUCAAAUUUUUAACCUUUAGAUCAAUUAUUUUCAUCAUUUAUAAUUAUUGGAUUAAAUAUUAUAGCACAGUGGGGACCACUCAAUUCUAGGAGGGUCACUCAACUCUAAGGGACUAAUAUCAUUCUAAUUCUAUAAUUUUUCAUCCAAAGAUUAAAAAUUUGAUAGUAAAAAGGAUCUUUUGCUAUCAACAGUAUACCAGCCUAGCUCAUAUAUUAUUAUAUUAAUAAUAUUAUACUUUAUUAGUGGUGUUUAAAUCAUGUAUAUGUUUUAAUUUUUGAAACUAUUGAGUCACCGUAUCAGAAUCGUGUUACAUUCUGUAUCUCGUGCUUGCCUCCAUAAAGCCUAGAUUCUAUCCCUUUGGACCAUAUCUAUUCAUGGCCAAUGUCAUGAUUCCUCUUUGUUUGUUAUGUCACUUUUUUGUUUUGUUCAAAUUGUUUAUGGAUUACUCAUGCUGUCAAGCAGAGGAUCCAACGUUUGUUACAUUCAUUAUUAGAGGAUUAUGCAACAAAGAAUGUGAAGUGCACCAAAGUUUUUUACACUAAAAUUUUCACCCAGUUAACUUUGCGUUACCAUAAAAGAGGGUAUUUGUUACACGGAUCGGAUCCAUUGGUAACCAAAAUCCGGGACCGAUAAACCAGGUACCCCUACUCUAGUUGUAAUAUAUAUAUAUAGAGUUGAGGUAGAAUACUAUCAGUAUUAAGCGAGCCAUUUUACUACCGAUUUGUUUUUGAUGAUAGAGCUUCCAAAUUGACGAUCGGCUUCGUUAAAUAUGAUCUAAACCAUUUAAACUACCUAGAAAUCAAAUUUCAUGCACUUUCGAUAUUGUUCUUUUAUUCAUCAAGUGAACAAAAAAAUGAGUGGCUGAAAAUGAAUACUCUUUAAAAAAUGAUGGUAGGAGUCUUGUAAUCAAGAUCAAGAGUAUAGAUCUUGUUUUAAAUAGUUUAAAGAAUUUUUUUAACAAAAAUUCAAUUGAUUUGGAUAUCUUUACGCCGUUAAACGAGAAAACGCUUCUUAUCGACCAUUAAAAUUACAAAUUUUGAAACUCUUUGAUCAUUAUUGCAAACAAUGUAAGUAAUAAUCUCCUAAUACGUUGUUUCUUACACUUCACGUGGUUUCAAAAAAUGUGAUUUUAAAAGUGGGUCAAUUGAAACGCAAUGGUAUUUUCUCCCAUAAACAAUGUGCCUAGCCUAGGUAACCAUUGGUUUUAGGCCCUGGCUAUUUGGUCCAUGGGGAUGAGAUCAACAUUAUAUAUAUAUAUAUAUCUCAACUCCAUCUUAUGAUAGUCAUAAUUCGCUCGGUAAAAUGAUGGCUAAACAAAAACUACUAUCUCGAAGGUUUAACUGCUAGCCGAAGCAAUUUAUACUAGAUUUGGUAAAUUUGAUGGAUCUUUAGUUUAAAGUACGUGAAAGCUAUAACAAGAAAAUAAGUAGUUCACUUGUUUUUUUACUCACCGACUUUUACUUAUGAGAAAUUUUUUACUACCAUCCUCAGAACAUUAGUUCUAGUUCUCAUAUCUAGAACAAAAUUUAUCAAAUUUCUUAAAAGAUUGUUUUUAAGUUAACUAAACCUAUAGAAAUGCGGCAAUUUGCUCUUUUGCGGAGAAUAGCUGGUAAUUUUAAUGUUUAAAACUUUGGGAAACUAGUAAUCCGUUUACUACAGCUUUUCUAAAUUUUAAACUAAAGAUUUGUGAAGUUCACCAUAUCUAGUACAAGUUGCCUCGGCUAGCAGUAAACCUUCAAGAUAGUAGCUUUUGUUUAGCCAUCAUUUUGCCGAGCAAAUGAUGGCUAUCGUAAGAUCGAGUUGAGAUAUAUAUAUAUAUAUAUAUAUAUAUAUAUAUAUAUAUCUCAGGCCGAUGAUAGGAUAAUUAUCCUAACCCUGGGAACAGGAUAGUUCAGCUAGACUAAUUAGCCUUGAAGUUUAACUAUUAGCCGUGGCAACUUUAACUAGAUGUUUUAAUCUUUACAAAUCUUUGGUUUAAAACAUUUUAAAUUUUUGGUAAUAGUUCAAGUAGAAUUCUCAACUUUUUACUUGCCAGUAUUUACUUAUUGGAAGAAUUUUAUCUCCAAUCUGAAAGAGUUAAGUAUUAGUCUCAAUAGUUUGUAAUAGAUUUAUCAUAUUUUUUAAAAGAUAGUUUUUAAGUUCGUUAAACCUAAUGAGAUGUGGCAAUUUGUUCGUUUACCGAGUAUAUCCGGCAGUUUUUAACAGCUAAAAUGCUGUGAAACUAGUGGUACAUUUAUUAAAAAUCUUAAAUACUUUAAAUCAAAGAUCUACAAAGUUUAUGAGAUCUAGUUGAAGUUGCCGAGGCUAGUAGCUAAGCCUUAGAGUUAGUAGUUUUUGUUAAACUAUCCUGUUCACGAGGAUAGGAUAAUUAUCCUAUCAUCGGGAUCGGAUAUAUAUAUCUCUCUCUCUCUCUCUCUCUCUCUCUCGGGCCGAUGAUACGAUAAUUAUCGUGCUUCGUGAACCACGAUGGUUCAAAAGGCAGCAAUCUAGGUGGGAAGACUAGUAAAAGUGGACAAUCUAGUAUGAUAAGUUGGUUGGUGGGUGAGUUGGGAUCCCCCGGUUGUAGUAGGAUUGGUGUGUAGAGAAUUAGGUUACCGGUUUUUGAACCAUCGUGGUUACUGAACCACGAUAAUUAUCAUAUAAUCGGGUCAAGAUAUAUAUAUAUCUCUCAACUCGACCUUAUGAUAGCCAUCGUUUGCCCGAGGCAACGGUGGGUAAACAAAAGCUACUACCUCGAAAGUUUAGCUACUAGCCGUGGCAACUUAUACUAGAUAUAGUGAACUUCAUAAAUCUUUAAUUUUAAGUUUAGAAAAGCUGUAGUAAAUGGNUAUAUAUAUAUAUAUAUAGUUCGGCUACUAUACUCUUAUGAGUACGAUUACUUUUGUACUCAUAAGUUAUUUUCGAUGAUAGAGCUUCCGAAUCGAUGAUCCAUACUGUUAAACAUUAUCUAGAGUAUUCGAAACUUCUAAAAAUCAAAUUUUAUAAUUUUUCGAUAUCAUUUACCUUACGAUCAAAAGCUUACAAAAUUGACAAUUUUUAACGGCCGGUAUGAGAUAUUUGCUAGUUUAACGGUGUAAAAGAAUCAGAAUAGGUUGAAUUUUUGAUAGAAAAUUCUAUUCACUAUCUAAAUAAAGAUCAAUAACUCUGAUCUUAAAUUAAAGGAUCCGAUCAUCCAUUUUUAAUGUCGUUCGAUUUUGACCCCUCAUUUUAUUCCCGCUUGAUGGACUUUUUAAUAAUUUCGAAAAAUUACAAAAGUUAUUUUCUAAAAGUUUCAAAUACUCUAGAUCAUGUUUAACGGUGUGGAUCGUCGAUUCGAAAACCCAACAUCAAAAACAACUUAUGAGUACGAAGGGCUCUAUACUCAUAAGAGUAUAGUAGCCCUACUCUCUCUCUCUCUCUCUCUCUCUCUCUCUCUCUAUANGAGAGAGAGAGAGAGAGAGAGAGAGAGAGAGAGCGCUACUAUGCUAUCGGAAGCAUAGAGGAUCUGGUGCUUCAGAAUUUUUUGGCCCUUAAAUCAGCAUCUUUAAUCAUUUUUAAUUUUUAGAUUAAUACUAUUAUUCUGUAGGGACCACUCAAUUCUAGAGGUACUACUCAACCCUGAAAGAACCGCAAUCAUCUCAACCGUACAAUUCUUAAUUUAAGGGUUAAAAAAUCGAAAGCACCAGAUCCUCUAUACUUUCAAUAACAUAGUAGCUCUACACACACACACACACACACACACACAUAUAUAUAUAUAUAUAGAGAGAGAGAAAGAGAGAGAGUAGAUCUUGUGUGUUAUUAGGAGCACGAAGGCCUCUGUGCUCCUAAUAGCGGCCUCCGCGCUUCUAAUAGUACACAAGAUUCCAUGGUCCUAAGUCCUUUUCGAUGAUGGAGUUUUCGAAUCGACGAUCGGCUCCGUUAAACUUGAUGUAGCAUAUUUGAAGUAUAUAGAAAAUAAAUUUUGCGAUUUUUCGAUAUCAUUUACCUAUCGAUAGAAAGGGUUCAAAAUUAAUAAUUUUUAAUGGUUGAUAUAUAUUGUUUGCAAGUUUAACGGUGUAGAAAUAUUCAAAUCAGAUGAAAUUUUGAUAGAAAAUUCUUUACACUAUUUGCUGCAAGAUUAAUAUCUCUAAUAAAAAAUUUUAAUGCUAUAUCACUACUUUUUGUGAGAUUUUUAUUUUUAGCCGUUGAUUUUGAACCCUUUCAAUCGUUAGGUAAAUGAUAUUGAAAAUCACAAAUUUCAUUUUCUAGAUACUUCAAAUACGCUAGAUCAAGUCUAACGGAGCCGAUUGUCAAUUCAGAAGCUCCAUCAUCAAAAACGGCUUAGGAGCACGGAGGCCUCCAUGCUCCUACUAACACACAAGACCUACUCUAUAUAUAUAUAUAUAUAUAUAUAUAUAUAUAUAUAAGAGAGAGAGAGAGAGAGAGAGAGAGAGAAGAGAGAGAGAGAAGAGAUAGAUAGGCGCUACUAUACUCUUGAUAUAAACUUUUGUAUCAUAAUUGUUUUUCAUUGAUGAUUGAGUCUCCGAAUCGAGCGACUCCACUCUAUAACAUUAUGAUGUAGAGUAUUUGAAAUUAUCUAAAAAAUAAUUUUGUAAUUUUUAACAUAAAUAUUAUAAAGUCCAUCCAAGCGGGAUACAAAUGAACAGCAAAAUCGAAAGAUAUUCUAAAAAUGGAUAUCUGGAUUCCUCUAAAUUAAAAUUGGAGUUAUUGAUCUUUAUCUAGAUAGUGAAUAGAAUUUUUAAUCAUAUUAAAAAUUCAAUCGUUUCCAGUUAUUUUACACUGUUAAACUAGCAAAUAUCUUAUACCGGCUGUUAAAAUUUGUCAAUUUUGUGAUAUUUUGAUCGUCAGGUAAAUGAUGUUGAAAAAUUAUGAAAUUUGAUUUCUAGAAGUUUAAAUGCUGAUAAUUUUUAACGAUAUGGAUCGUUAAUUCGGAAUCUCUAUCAUAAAAAAUAACUUAUGAGUAUGAGAACGAUUGUACUCAUAAGAGUAUAGUAACCAGACUAUGUAUAUAUAUAGUUGAGCUGGACUGCUAUCGGUAGCAAACGAGCUCCGUUGUCACCUAUAUUUUUUCAAUGAUGGAGCCUCCAAAUCGACGAUCAGCACCGUUGAAUAUGAUCUAUACCACUUGAAGCAUUUAGAAAUCAAAUUACAUAUUUUUCUUAUAUUGUUCUUGUCUAUCAGGUGGACACAAAAAUGAACGACUGAGAAUGAAUAUCUUUUAAAAAAUGAUGAUAGAAAUUUUGUAAUCAAAAUCGAGAAUAUAUAUCUAGUUCUAAAUAGUUUUAAAAAUUUUCUAACUAAAAUUCAAUUAAUUUGGAUAUUUUUACAACGUUAAACGAGAAAACGCCUCAUAUCGAUCAUUAAAAUUAUAAAUUUUGAAACUCUUUGAUUAUUAGGUUAAUGAUGUCAAAAAGAUUUGAAAUUUAGUUUUUACAUGCUUUAAGUGCCGAUUGUCGAUUUGGAGGCUCUAUCAUCGAAAAUAAAUGGAUGACAACAAAGCCAAUUUAUUACCUAUAGCAAAUGGCUCCAUCAUCAAAAUCUCUCUCUCUCUCUCUCUCUCUCUCUCUCUCAAGUUUCUGAAACAGUUUCUCAUCUUCGAAAAGUAGGAAGUAAAGUGUUUGACAAAUAAGCAAUGUAAAGAUUUUGUUCUAAAGAAAGUUAAAGUGUAAAUCCUUUCAGUUUUUCCGCUCAGUUAAACUAAAAAUUCUAUCCAAUAUAUAUAGCAACUCUAUAUGUUAUUAACUAUUAAUCGUACUAAUUUUAUUCACUAAAAAGUGUGCGAAAUUACUAAAUUUGGUGAAAUCAUUGAUAAUUUAAAAUCUCAAAUUUUUUUUGGCUAUUUCCAAAAGAAAACAAAAGUGAAAGGUUCUGAAUUAAAAUUUCAAAAUGGCAUAUAUAUUAUUUCGAGCGGGUGUAUAUACAUUUUACCUUACAUUUUUACCUUUUUAUGGUCUACAUUUAGUUCAAGAGGGCCUGCUAAUUUGAAAUUUAGAAAUUUUAGCCUACUAGUGGUGAUGGGCCGAACUUGUUUGUCACUUUCGUUAAUGGCUCCAUAUAUAUAUUAAACUCAUUUUGGUACAACAUAAUAUUAUUAUUAUUAUUAUUAUUAUUAUUAUUAUUAUUAUUAUUAUCAAUCUCGUAGGUUAUUGGCCGUAGAUGCACCCUUCUGGUUUUCUUACUUCGUCCAGUAUUCGAUUAUGAAAUCAUGUGAUAUCAUCGAAAGCUCAAACCUAAUAAAACUAUAUAUGGAUGUCAGAAUAAGUUAUUCAAAAAUAACUUAUUCGGUAUGAAAAUUUUUUAGCAUAUAAGAUUGUGAUUAAGGCGUUUGAUUUUUGUUUUUUCAAAAGUUGUGUUGUUCAUGAUUUAUUAUAUAAUAGUAUAUUUCAACUAUGAUGUAGUUUAUUUUAUUUUUAAAAAAUAAUUUUAAUGCCAAAUAUGAUAUUUCAUUUUAAAUAUUUGAUCUUACUCAUUAUCUACUAAAUGUAUAAAAUUUUUCAGUAAAUCAAGAGAAUAUACUGAAGAAAAUAUUCAUACAUCGAGACAAGUCCUAUGUAAUUUUAAGUUACUUUGAUAUGAAGUAUUAGAAUUACUAAAUUAAAAUUUUACGAGAGGGAACACGCAUUCUGUUUACUUCAGAAACACGAUUAAAUGUUCAUGAAAUACUUUCGUAAACGGCUCAACAAUUCCUCAAAAAGUACAGUUUGAUUAGUCAACACUAACCAAUCCGAAAUUUAGUAAUAUAUAUGUAAUUAACAAUGCUAACGUAUACGUAAUUUAUGAUUACAUAAAAGGCUAAAUCAUAGAGCUUGAGUGGAUAACAACUUUACCCAAAAGCCCAAAACAAAUUUAUUGCAUAAUUACAAACAAAUGAAAAUAAAUCAACCAACAAAAACAAAUCGAAGAAUCAAAAUUCUCUUCUUCUUCUCCUCCUCUUUUCCCCUCUCCAAUUACUUACAAACUUGUAAUAUUGGAAAAAUAACCACUCAAAUAAUAUUGGUUACUUCCCCAUUAAUCGAACACAUCUAAUUACAAGGAUCAUUGAAUUUUCUCCAUACUUAUCUAAUCCGAUCGGGUCCUCUCCAGGCUCUUCUCCCUUUCGCUGUAUCGGAGCUCGAGCGACACCUCCCUCUCCAUCCGAAUAUGUUGAUAAAAAUUCGCGAUAAAAACAUCCGCCCUCGCGUCGAUAUCGUCGCCCCCGGGCGUCGACAGCAAGCUACUCGUCCGCGACACUGCACCAGUACUGGAGCUCGAAAAAGAAGAUGCGCCCGUGUCGACGUAUACGCCGUCAGUGGCGUCGGCUAGGCUCGGUCGGGGGCUAAAGCUCGCCAGUUGUGGCCCGGGCGACGAACCGAUGAUCGAAAACAUGACCCACCUGGUGGGGUUGAACGAUAGCAAAAAUUUCACCUUGUGAAUUGCCCUUCUCAGGCGACUAAGGAGUUGAAACGUCUUAGUAUUAGUGAUUGCCAUGAGUGCUUUCGUUAUAUUGGUGUGAAAGAGCUUCGAAUAGAGUUUGUUAGGGUAAAUGUAGGUGUGUGUUCCUCCAAAUGAGAGAGAUUGAUGUAUAUAUACAUAGGGAGAGAGAAAUAGAUAAUGUGGAAUGGUCUCAUGGGAAACAAAUUAGAGAGGAAGCUACAUGGCUUUAAGAGAUUGCUGGGAAGGUAAGGAAAGAGACGUGUGGGAGACUAAGUCCACGUAUGCGGCCACAACGCGUGGGGGGGAAGCUAUUGCACGCGUGCAUGCACCAUGCAUGCAUGGCCUGUAGACCGGGUCUUCAGAACUCAAAAAUAGAUGCACCAAGGGUUAAAUAUGAUUUAUAUAAUGCUAGAAAGAGCUUGAGUGAAGUUGACCUGGGUACCCUGGUUUAUUGAAGCUGAUUAAAUUUAACUAUCGUUAGUAAUUUUCAUAUUUUAUUAUUUAGACAUCAAAUAGUUGCAAAAACCAAUAGUUUUAAAAUAUUUGAAGUUAAUUUGCUACGAACAUGAGAAAUGAUGUUAAUUAAUUAAUAUAUUCUUAUAUUCUGAUGUCUUAAAUUUUUUGAUCUGAUUAUAGUGAUCUAUAUAUAUUUCAUGUAGGCUUUUUAUUUCUCGUAUCAUGUUAUAUUAUUUGCCGUCUAGUAAAUUCAUAGAAAUUCAAAUUACAGAGAUUUUUAAGAUAGAAAAGAGAAACUUCGAUUAGUCUCCGGAAGGCAAAGUGAAAAAUGAACUAAUCAUCAGAUAUCUAAGAGUAAUAUUUUGAACCUCAACAUACGAGUAAUAGUCUAUCUGAAUUAGUCGCGUGUUGGUGGGUCACUUGGAAGGUUAGAAACGAGUUUAUUUUUAGAAAGAUCCAUCCUGACCCAGUGUUGGCCGUCCACAAGCUUAAGGUAAUGCUAAAGUUCUGGGACUACCUCCGCCAACCGAAGUAGAAGAGAGUAUUGGCCUUCCACGAGUUUUUUCUUUUUCUUUUUUCUUUUUUUUUUUGCUCUCUCAAGGCUCCGGAUGCCUCACCCCUGUAUCCUAAUUCAUCGUUCCAAUGAAUAAAGCCGGUAGCGUACUACCUUUUUCUCAAAAAAAAAAAAAAAAUUGAACCACAUGUUGUUCAUUUUUUAAAAAUAAAUUCAGCUAGAAAUAUAUAUUAACUGCGCCAGGUAUACAGUCAAUUACAGUAGAUUAAACUUAAUCCUCUAGAUUUAUGUUUUGAAGGCUUUGGUGUAUAGACCACGGUCCAUGGAAUAAUUUCUCCGAGUAGGGACACACGUAGAGCAAGUCAAAGUGUUUCCACGUAAUCAAAUAAGUUGUAACUUGUACGUGUUGGGAAACCAAAACACUUUUGCUUUGUGGUGAAGUUCAAUGCACGUUGCAGGUUUACGCGCGGUGGAUUGAUUGAUGAUGAGAAAAUCUCCACCGUACGAUGGAUUGAACAUGUCACGAGACAUACUAAGUGCGAAGUUCAUUGCAUUACCAGUCAACGGUCAACAGUUUUUUUUUGUAUCUUGUACAUGUGGCUUAAUUGUAUAGGAUGAGUGUGCUAAUGUGUGCAUGUUUGACUCGGUAUCUAAGCAAAGUUGAAAAUCUACAGAUACUUCCCUCUCCGCCUCUCUAAGAAAUAUAUAUUUCACUUACAAACUUGAUUAAUUUAUACUUUUUUAACCAAAAAAAAAGAAGAUAAAUUUGAUUAAUUGUUCAAAAUUUACACUUAAUUUGCAAUGCCAUCAAUACUUCAUCUUUUCGGAUAACAAACGAAAGGGAGAAAAAGAAAAGAAAACAAAAGAAAAUGCAUGUUUAAUUAGCCUACUUAAGGGUAUAGGGUCGAAACUUACGUGCUUAAGCUCUUGGAGUCCGAACGUUCUAGUCGAAGUUUCGAAUAUUUGGACGGAUGUAGGUAGGCCUAGGUUAAGUCAGAAAAUUCUAACAAUGGUAUUUGAUAAUAAGAGAAUUCUGGGCUAAUCAUUUAAGCAAUGUACAUUGUGCUCUCGAGUACCGUUAGUGCAUGGAUCAAAUAAAACCUGCAAUCUUAAGCUUGUAAAUAGUGAACUUAAAUGCUUUCGUGUGAUCGGUUUAUGUGUGAUCGGCUUAUUAGUUUACUGUUGGAGAAGACCUUCAAAAGAACAAAUUGAUUAGGUGAAGGGCAUCUAAACUUUUCUUAUACACUCUUUUACAGAAAGCUAGAAUUUUUGUGUUCAUCAACAACUGUUCAAGAACUAAUCAAGUGGAUCAAUAUAACUAAUGUUAUUAAAGUGAAAUUUGUAUUCUUACAUACAAUUGUAGAUAUCCAUCAUGCAUAAUAUUAAGCCAUCUCAGCUGUAAUUAAUAUGCUUUGUUCACAAUGUUCCUAAGGCAAGUUUACGACCGGGGCUUUGGGAAAUGGUUUGCAUGAAUCGACAUUGACUCGAAUCAAAUCCAUUUAUAUUAGAAGUACUAACAUUAAUUAACUAGAGCCAAUUCCACCACACAACUAAGAAGGAAAAUUGCUAGAGAUCUAGGGGUAAAAUGUGCCGGGACCAUCUCAAAUAUGGGCUAUUAAUUUACUUUGAAAUUUAUGUCCUUUAACUUUUCAUCUCAUAUAUGGACAUUUUUGACUUUCAUUUAUUUUGAUUUUUGUUAUUUUAGUCUUAUGUAUAUAAUGGGUAUAUAUUUCGGGUAUAUAUUUAAUUAAAUUAAUCAGUAGUUUAGCCAAAUUUCAUGCCUUUAACUAUUUUUUUGCUGAAGGAAAAAUAAAAUUUUAUCUAAUUAAUUAUUAACGAUAUAUAUAUNUAGAAUACUAUCGAUAGUAAACGGGCUCCGUUGCCACCCAUUUGUUUUCGAUGAUGGAGCCUCCAAAUCGACGAUCGGCACCUUUAAACAUGAUCUAUACCACUUGAAGUGUUUAGAAAUCAAAUUUCAUACAUUUUCGAUAUUGUUCUCUUAUCCAUCGAGUAGACACAAAAAUGAACGGCUGAAAAUGAAUAUUCUUUAAAAAAUGAUGAUAGGAGUCUUGUAAUCAAGAUCAAGAGUAUAGAUUUUGUUUUAAAUAGUUUAAAAAAUUUUCUAAAAAAAUUCAAUUAAUUUGGAUAUCUUUACGCUGUUAAACGAGAAAACGCCUCAUAUCGAUCAUUAAAAUUACAAAUUUUGAAACCCUUUGAUCAUUAGGUAAAUGAUGUCGAAAAGAUUUGAAAUUUAAUUUCUAAACCCUCAAGUGGUAUAGAUCACGUUCAAUGGUGCCGAUUGUCAAUUUGGAAGCUCUAUCAUCGAAAACAAAUGGGUGGCAACGGAACCCGUUUGCUAUCGAUAGUAUUCUAGCUCAACUCUAUAUAUAUAUAUAUAUAUAUAUAUAUAUAUAUAUAUAGACCAUCUACUAUUCUAUUAAUAGGAUUGAGAACAUUGUCCUAUCAAAUUGUUUUGAAUGAUCGGAGCUUCAAAUUCAUAAUCGGUACCGCUGAAAUUGAUCUACACAAUUAGAAAUAUUUAGAAACCAAAUUUUGUAAUAUUUAAAAAUCAUUAUCAAGUUCAUCGAAGAUUUUGAAAAAUGAACGGUUAUAAAUGAAUAACCUUCUUAAAAUAGAGGUUAAACUUUUUCAAUUCAUAAUCAGAGUUAUCAAACAUUAUCUAAAUAGUAUAAAAAAUUUUCUAUCAAAAAUUUAAGUAAUUUGGAUUGCUCUACACCGUUAAACAAGCAAACGGCUCAUAUAGGCCAUAAAAAAUUGUCGAUUUUACGACACUUUGAUCACGAUGUAAAUAAUUUUUAAAAUUUAUGAAAUUUAGUUUCUAGAUAUUUCAAAUACUCUAGAUCAACUUCAACGGCUCCGAUCAUCGAUUUGGAAUCUCUAUCAUCAAGAACAAGUUGAUAGGACAAGUACUACUAUCCUCUUAUAGUAGCCCUAGCAUAUAUAUAUAUAUAUAUAUAGUCCAGCUAUAGUGCUUGUAAAAGUAUCAAGUAUUUGGUACUUGUAAAUUUUUUACCAUUAGAUCUACUUCUCAGAUUAUUUUCAACCAUUAGAUUAUACUAUUCAACCAACCACCCACUCAACCCUAGGGGGCCCACAUCAUCCUAACUGCAUAUCUCUUAAUCCAAUGGCUAAAAAUCUACAAGCACUAAUAACUUGGUACUUUUAAAAGCAUAGGAGCUCAAUUCUAUAUAGUACGUCUUCUGUGCUUUCAAAAGUACGAAGGCCUUCGUAUUUGUAAGUUGUUUUCGAUUAUAGAGUAUCCGAUUUGAUGAUCGCUUCAUUAAGCAUAAUUUAUGCUUUUGGAACUAUCUAAAAAUCAAAUUUCAUAAUUUUUUGAUAUCAUUUACCAAGUAAUCAAAAUGUCUCAAAAAUAACUAUUUUAACAGUCAAUGUGACACAUUUUUAAAUUCAACGGUGUAGAACAAUCCAAAUUAUAUAAAACUUUAAUAGAAAAUUUCACUUAACAUAAAUAGCAAGAUUAAUACUUCUGAUUUAAAAUUUGAGUCUUUUAUCAUUAUUUUUUAUGAGAAUUUUAUUUUCAACCGUUUAUUUUGAUGUUACUCGUUCGCUAGGCAAAUGAAGUCAAAAAAUUAUAAAAUUUUAGUUUCUAGAUAGUUCUAAUAGUGUAAAUUAUGUUUAAUGGAACCGAUCGCCGAAUUGAAUAUCUCAUAAUCGAAAACAACUUAUAAGCAUAGAGACCUUCGUAUUUUCGUAAGCAUAAGACACUCACUCUCUCUCUCUCUCUCUCUCUCUCUCUCUCUCUCUCUCUCUCUCUAUAUAUAUAUAUAUAUAUAGGUGAUGAAGAUGUUAAUUUUAAUCAAAUUUCUAAACCAAUUAAUUACUUGACCAGCAAAGCUCAACUGUAAUAUAAGAAAGUGUUAGUCCCAAAAGUGGUAGGUAAAGGGUCUAUUUCAAAAUCGCCUAUCCGUCCAUUUUAUUAUUGGUGAUUUGUCUUUUUUCCCCCUUAAACAGUGAGGAAGAUGUGGCGGCUAAUUAGAAAAAUAUAUAUAGUUUUAGCACUAUUUAUCGUUGAUCGACAAUGACUUAAAGUUCUAGUCUUUUAAUCUUUUUGCGCUUCAUUUAUUGCUUAGCACACCCACAUUUUCUUAAUGCAAUUUGGUCUUACAAACAUUUAAUAUGCAUUAGUUUUAACAUUUAAUAUGCAAUUUGGACCAAGAUCUUGGGAGUUGACUUGGAAGAAAUGCAAGUACUGAUACCGAACCUCUCGGAGCUAGUGGAAUGGCUAUCCCGUUACACCGUUGAGAGCAGUCAGGAUGAAAUUCAGUGGCGAUGGAAUAAUGAUGGACACUUCUCGGUUAAAUCGACCUAUUCCGCUUUGACGGACGGUGGGACGAGGGAUGCCCGAGCCGCCGCCAUUUGGAGUCUCAAAAUUCCUCUCAAGGUUAAAGUAUUCAGCUGGCUGGUGCUCAAGAAAAGAAUUCUCACACGGGAUAAGCUAGUUAAGCGGGGGUGGAUUAACGAUCCUAUUUGUGUGCUCUGCGGGGCGGAUGAAGAAACCGUGGAUCACCUAUUCACUUGCUGCGUAUUUUACAAGUUUGUGUUAGUGACAGUUGUGGACGACAUCCAGGCCCAAGAUUUGGGGGAUGACGUACAUCUCGUGUGGGAUAGGUGGAUGUGCUUAAAGGACCAUUGAAAAAAGAGGAACAGACUUACAGACCUAGUUGGCUGCUGGUGGAACAUCUGGAAUGUCUAAAACGAUUGUAUCUUUCGGAACAUCCCGCCAAACCCCGGUUUAGCGACCCAGAGACUCUUCCUGCUGCUGAAAGAGUGGGAUCUUCUUCUAGACACGUAGCAAGUUUGGACCCAACAUUUUUUUUUUUUUUUUUUUUUUUUUUUUUUUGGAAAGNGGGUGGAUUAACGAUCCUUGUUGUGUGCUUUGCGGGGCGGAAGAAGAAAGUGUGGAUCAUCUAUUCACCCGUUGUGUAUUCUGCAAGUUUAUGAUAGUAUCAGGGGUGGACGACAUUCAGGCUCAAGAUUUGGGGGAUGACGUCCAUCGAGUGUGGGAUAAGUGGAGGUGCUUGAAGGACCACCAAAAGAAGCGAAACAGACUUACAGACCUAGUAGGCUGCUGGUGGAGCAUCUGGAAGGUCAGAAAUGACUGUAUCUUUCGGAACAUCUUGCCGAACCCCGGUUUAGCGACCCAGAGACUCAUCCUGCUGCUAAAAGAGUGGGAUCUCCUUCUAGACACGUAGCAGUUUUGGACCCAACAUUUUUUUUUUUUUUUCGGCUUGUUUUCUCUCGGGGCCGUGCUGCCCCACUCUUGUAGCUUAAUUUAUCUGUUUAAUGAAUAAAGCGGGUAGCGUGCUACAUUUUUCUCGAAAAAAAAAAACAUUUAAUAUGCAUUAAUUGCAUCCUUAAUUACUAUGAUUUUUGGACUUAAUCAUUUGGAAGAAGCCUAAUUUGCACCUUUGAAGAAGCAUGAGCAAAUGCAGGCUCCCAUGAAGAGUGAUUGUUUCCGUUGCCUCAUAAAUACUAUUGUAAUUAAUAACUAUUAUCUACAAGAAUAAUUUUCUGCAACAAACAAGAAUUAUUGUAAAUCGUUGCUAUAAAUCUUGUGAUAAUAGACAACUAAACCGAAUAAUUUAUAUUAUCACAACGGUACAAACUGUUGCAAUAAAUAUAUAUUGUAAUAAUGUAAUUCUCAAUACAAUUAAACUGAUGUAACAGAAUAAAAUUGUUGUAGCACAGCCCCUCUUCACUCAGUAAAUUGAUUCAAUUAUUAUAAUAAUUAAAAUUGAAACAUAGUAUCUUAAUUAACUAAAAUUAUAAUUUUAUUAUUAUGCUGCAAUUUAGUAUUGUUAUUAUUUUGUAGUAGAACCUAUUUAAUUAACUUGCCACCUCUCCAUAUGCUAUGGUGUGCAAACUUUGAAUAUUUGUCAAUUAUUGAUUUAAAAGCUGUAGUAAAAUUUUCUCAGUUUAUCGAUAAAAUUAAUCACGAACUUACUGUAUCUUAAUUAAUGGUUGAUUUAAAGAUUGUGAGAAUCAUAUAUUGAUAAAAUAUAUGUUAAAGGGGAGGUUGUUCAUGCACUUGUACCCAGAAACUUGUUUCCUCAAAAUUAAUAGAUUACAUGGGACUGUUUUCGAUAUUUACAAAUGGUUGGUUCUUUGUUUCGUAAUGUAGACAAGUAGAAAAUGACUUGGCACCUGCAAUUUAGGAACACAACAAAACAAUAGUCUCAUCAAACCAAAGAUAAAAACUCAAAGAGUGCACAAAAUUAAUAAUCACGUACAUAGUUUUUAACUAAGAAGCGUAAAGCGUCCUCUAAGCAUUAGAACUCCUGUUUGUACCUUUUCUUCUUAGUUGUGCGUUUGUAUUAGUAAUCAAAAUAGAAAUUAUUGCCUACACAAAGCGCGUAUGCAUCUCUCGAUCAAUCGUUCGAUUCAUACGUAUGCAUGUAUAGUGACCUAAAACUAUGUAUAAUCUGAGAUGCUGGGACCUUGAAUCUUUCUUUCUUUUUUCUUUUUACUUUUUACUUUUUUGAAAUGCAAAAUUGGUUAUUCGAAUUGUAAUUGACAACCGGCAAAUUUACGUUGUACGUAGAGAAUAGAAUAUAUAAACACUGUUCUCUGCUGACUUAAACUUAAGAUUUCAGAAAAAAAUAAUUAUUUUAUAUUAUUUAACAUAGGAUGAGGAUAAGAGGUUGUAAGUUCGAAUCUCACUAGCUCGUAGUCUCAUUUAAUUCUUUCUAUUAAUUCAAGUUCACGUUUCAGAUGAGGGCCUGAAAGGGAGUGUUGAGAAUGAAAUAUAAAAACAAUUAUUUUAUAUAAUUCAAUAAAGGUGGUGGUUGCUAAAAUUGAAGUUAGAAUUUACUUGUGUAACUUUAAAAACUUCAUUAAUUAACUACAUAUUCAUAUUGUCAUGGACAUUUGUGCAUAAACUUAUUUAUCUAAAUGCUGUUGAUUUUUGCAUAAAUACUUAAGCUAUUUUUACGUGUAUCAGGGCACUGACACAAAUACGUAGGAUUUUACAUGCUUUUUUUUUUUUUUUUUGAGAGAUAGGUAGCACGCUACCCGUUUCGUUUAUUUCAUUUAGAAAUAAAUUUAGCUAGAAAUGUGAAUCAACUAUGUAGGAUUUUACAUGCUUGAAUAGUAAAUUUAUAGGGUUAAUUCUGAUCGAGAUAAUGUCUCAUAGUUGUAGAGGUAUCUAUUGUACCAAAAAACAAUAAAUAUUGCUUGCCGUACAAAGUAUUCGAAACAUAUAUUUAAUUUGGGUCCCCAACACUAUUCUUAUAGGUUGUUAAUAUGUCCAUAAAUACAUCUGAUAACUUAAACUUCGUGCACGCAUAUGCCAUCCAAUAAUACUAACAGUGUUUUGAAAGAUUGUAAAGGCCUGUUUGGUUUACAGUUUUAAAUAUUUCGAUAAUUCUUCGUAUUUUUUAUUAAAAAUAUUCAAAUUAUUACGAUUCAACUCAAGUUUGGUAGCUAUAAAAGAUGUUAGGAAAUCAGUAAAAUUAAUAAUUGUAAAUCUCUAGAUGGUAAAAAUUCAUCGAUUAUGCAUGAGCCAUUCUUAUUAUCAUACUCGAUGGUAAUCAUUAGUAAUCCAUUUAUAUAUAAAAAUAUAUAUAUUCGUUCUUAAUAACUUUCUGAUCCGAAUUAAUGGCUUGGUAAAUUAAUAAGAAACUUAUCUUUCCCAAUAUAAAAUAUAUAAUAUUCUUGAUGAAAUAUGACAAACUUUGAACAAUAAUUGAGAUAUUAUUCUUUGUAUCUUGUACUUCCCAUAAUCCUAGUAGAGUCCAAAAAUGUGCCUCUCACGAGGGGAGUGGUAAUAUUGCAGGAUAUUAAUUAGUGAUCUAGGAAUUCCGCAGCCAAGUUGCUACUGCAUGUGGAAAGCUCCUCGAACCACAACUAUGUUUGCGACAGGUGCGUUUUUAAUUUGAACACGAGUGGGGAGUAGAAGCAUAUAUCACCGUUUCGAGUUGUCCUUCUCUAGAUAUAAGACAAAAGAAGUCUCCCCCACAAUCCGUAUAAGUUUUUUUUUUUUUUUUUUUUUUUGAGAGAUAGGUAGCACGCUACCCGUUUCGUUUAUUUCAUUUAGAAAUAAACUUAGCUGGAAAUAUGAAUCAACUAGGAUUCGAACUUGGAUCUCGGGUACCAACCACUAAGCCCUUUGCCACUUGCUCUAGGGCGGUCGGUAAUCCGUACAAGUAUCGAUAUGACCAUCUAUGAGUGCUUCAAACUUACAUAAUAAAUAUUAAAUAUCUAAAUCUAAAUUUAUUGAUGUACUGUCACAUAAAUUAGUGCAAGCAAAUAUGGAGGUGAAAAAAAAUCUAAAAUGUAUCGAAUAUAUUGCUGACGUUGUGUUUCUAAUUAAUAAAAUUAUUUUUUUGAAUUGAUAUAUAUAUAGGGAUGUCAACGGAUCGGGUUUGGGUCGAAUUUUUAAAAACCUGAGCCCGAACCCGAAAACCAAAUUAAAAUCUGUAUCCGGACCCAAACCCGGCGGGUUUUAAAAAUCCAUACCCAUAUCUGUACCCGACCAAAAACCCGAAACCCGAACCCGGACCCGGACCCAGACCGGCCGGUUUUAAAAAUUCAUACCGUUAAAUGAAGAUCUAAGAGAUAAAAAUUAUUAAAUAUUUUAUAUAUUAUAUAAAUAAAUAAAAAUAAAAUGUGUAUAUAUAUAUAUAAUUUAUUCGGGUUCGGGUUCGGAUUCGGGUCGGGUUCGGGUUCAGGUCGGGUAAAUACAAAAUCUAUAUCCGUAUACAUAUCCGUCGGGUUUUUAUUUUCUAUACCCAUAAUCAAAUCCAUACCCGUUUAGCUCGGAUAAAUCUGCCCUGUUCGGAUUCGGGUUCGGGUAAUAUUUCGGGUAUUCAUGCCCAUUGACAUCCCUAGAUAUAUCCCAUUAUAAUAAAUAAAAAAUAUUUUUGUUGUAAUUUUUUUUUCAAAUGAAAAUAUAUGAUUGACUUGUUAUUGAUGAUGUGGUGCAAAUGUGAUAUAAUAGACUUCCUCGUACGAAAAUUUGUUGAUGCAUCAACAACUCACAAAGCCGAUAAUAUUAACGUUGGAGCGCGAUAUUCUAAACACUAAAAUAUUCUAAUUUAAACAGUUAGAAUAUGAUGUAUAACUUUUAAAUUAUUAACAAAUAAGCAUUAAAAGUUAGAUGGUCACAAAAUCACUUGAUUAGAAAAUUUAUUCUUUGUUAAACAACAAAAUCGGUGUCAACAUACUUAUGAUUUUUAUGAUUGUGGAGCACAUCGAUUAUCUAACUGUUUAUAUUUAGAUUAAUGAUUUUGAGAUGAAUUGCAGAACUAAAUAUUUUUGACCAACUAGAAAGUCGAUCUACUCUUCGAAAAUAGUUACUUCCAAAGUUUAUUUUUUAUUAUUAAAAUUUUAAUCUUGUUAGUAACAAAAUUUAAAACAACUAAAAGAUUAUAAAAAAAAAAAGAAUAAAAAUUUCUUCCAUGCGCAAUUGAAUGUAUCCAUCACUACAAAAUAUCUUACAGCAUUUUAGCACAUGUAUUUUACGAUUCAGGCAGUUUAUAUAUGAAAAUAACAGAGAGAUAGUGAUGGAGAUAGAGAGAGAAAGAGAGAUGAAAAAAAAAGUGAUUUUUUGCGAUUCAGGCAGUUUAUGUAUGAAAAUAACAGAAGAUAGAGAUGGAGAUAAAGAGAGAAAAAGAGAGAUGGAAAAAAUGUGAUUUUUGGAUUGAGAGAGAAUAAUAAAAUAUAUAUAGGCAACUCUUAAUUAAUUUCCACAUUAAAAUUAAAUAAUUCGAGAAUUAUAACCCACGUAUUUACAUGAAACUUCCAACCAAAUCACCAUUUAUUCAACAUUAAGGCUUCGUUUGGUUCGGGUAUAACCAAGAACUAGUUAUACCGGGGAUAGGUACAAGUAUGGAUUUUCGUAGGAAUAAGGAUGAAAAUGUGAGUAUAAGCUGGAAUUAGAAUAAUUGUGUUUGGAUUAAAAUAUGAGUAUAAGGUGUAAUAGUUGGUAGUUAUAAAUAGAAAAUAAUGAUAUUACCCCUAUAGUUGAAUUUAAAAUUUUAAACCAAAAAUUUUAAAUUAAAAAUUUUAACUUUUACAUUUUAAAUUUUGAAAUUAAAUUUAAAAUUUUAAUUUUCAAAAAUUUUAAUUUUAAAUAUCUAAUUUUUAAUUUAAGACCAAAUUUAAAUUUGAAAGAUAUAAAAUAUCAAAUUUAAAAUUUAAAAACUAAAAAUAUCAUAUUUAAAAUUUAAAAUUUAAAAAUAUCAAAUUUAAAAUUUAAACUUUAAAAUUUAUAAUUUAAAAUUAUAAAUUAUAAAUUUUAGAAAUUUAAAUUUAAAAUAAAAAUCUCUCUCUCUCUCCUCUCUCCUCUCUCUCUCUCUCAUACC